rnacentral:lncRNA from 1 species
CGCUCUGUGGAUCUGGGUGAAGGUGAAUGAGGGAGGAUUGCGGCGGCGGUGAUGGGGAUGGAUGAGAGAGAGGGGGGGCGGUGAGGGCGUUUAUAGGUGGAAGAGAGGCGCGCGUGGCGCCAAGAAAGUUGAGCGCCCGAGCAGAGAGGGGGGGGAUUGGCGCCAAGAAAAUGGCGGUAAAAUGAACUUGGCGCGACGGUGGGGAAAUGGAAAUGGCGGGAGGCGGGAACCCCCUUAUGUCUAUGCGCAUGGGCCCCGCUUGGCAGGCCGUUCCCGUUCCCACACCUGUCUAUGCGCCUGGGCCCCGCUUGGAAAGCUUCCUCACCUAUGCGCGCCUCUCUCUCUGCAGGUGGGCCCACUGUCAUAUCUUUUUUUACCCAAGUCGUCUAUUUCAUUUGUGGUAGACAAAAUAAUAUUUACCUUCAUUUUCAAGUUAAAAACACCACGAUUAAUACAUAAACUUGUCCUAGUGGGAACAGAGUCAUAUACAAGAACUUAAAAACACAACUCAAGUGGCCCCUGAACUAUGGUAAAUGAUUCUAAUCAUCCGACCAAUAAGAGUGUGUGUCUCUGCCGGCUUUGUGGCUGUUGGAUCGUAUUUUAAUGAAAGCUCGGGAGCAACGUAUUACAUGGACUAGUUUUCGCAACCAAGUUGUUGUUGCAAUCCCCCAUUCCAACAAGCAAUGUGUUGAGAGAUCUGAAUCUAGAUACUCUCGGGUUCUCCCGAGCUUCCCGUCAACCUAAUACCUUCAUGCGCUCCUCCGACUGCCGCCACCGUUGCUCGUCGUCGACAGUACAUGGGCGAGGCCACAUAUAGCACGUGGACGAGGCCGCCGACAAGCACGCGAUGAGGCCACCUAUGUCUGUCUCCAUGUGUCUACUCGCGAUCAAUGGCCAUGGCCGCUCGAGCACGCAUGUCGGAGCUCUUCUCCGGCCGCCGUCGCCGAGCUAUGUCGCUCCGGCCUCAUGCUCCUUGAUGAUCCCACAAGUAUAAGAGAUCAAUUAUAGUCCUUUCGUUAAGUAAAAGUGUCGAACCCAAUGAGGAGCAACAUGAAAUGAUAAGCAGUUUCAGCAAGGUAUUCUGUGCAAAGGCCGUAAGUAACGUUGAUAGAUAGUUUUAUAGUAGGAUAAUACAUAACAAGUACUCCCUCCGUCCCAAAAUAACUGUCUCAAGCUUAGUAUAACUUUGUACUAGAGCUAGUACAAAGUUGAGACACUUAUUUUAGGACGGAAGGAGUAUCAAGUAACAAUAGUAGCAAGUAUGAAGCAAGAUAGUCUGAUACGUCUCCAAGGAUCUCUCUUAUGCAUGAUUUCAUAUCCUUGUAUUUCUCUUCGAGUUGUGGGUUUUGUCUGGCCAACUAGAUCUAUGAUUCUUGCAAUGGGAGAAGUGCUUGGUUUUGGGUUCAUACCGUGCGGUGACUGAUGACCCACAAGUAUAGGGGAUCAAUCAUAGUCCUUCCGAUAAGUAAGAGUGUCGAACCCAACGAGGAGCAGAAGGCUCUGAUAAACGGUUUUCACUAAGGUAAUAACUGCAAGCACUGAAAGUAGCGGUAACAAGUGAUGGUGUAGUGAGGUGAAACGUAGCGAGCGAAAAGUAACAAGUAACAAGUAGUAGCAAUGGUGCAGCAAGUGGCCCAAUCCCUUUUGUAGCAAGGGACAAGCCUGAACAAAGUCUUAUAGGAGGAAAAACGCUCCUGAGGACACACGGGAAUUUCUGUCAUGCUAGUUUCAUCGUGUUCAUAUGAUUCACGUCUGUUACUUUGAUAGUUUGAUAUGUGGGUGGACCGGCGCUUGGGUACUGCCUUACUUGGACAAGCAUCCCACUUAUGAUUAACCCCUCUCGCAAGCAUCCGCAACUACGAAAGAAGAAUUAAGACAAUGUCUAACCAUAGCAUUAAACUAGUGGAUCCAAAUCAGCCCCUUACGAAGCAACACAUAGACUGGGGUUUAAGCUUCUGUCACUCCAACAACCCGUCAUCUACUUACUACUCCCUAUGCCUUCCUCUAGGCCCAAAUAUGGUGAAGUUUUAUGUAGUCGACGUUCACAUAACACCACUAGAGGAAAAGACAACAUACGACAUAUCAAAAUACCGAACGAAUAUCAAAUUCACAUGACUAUUAUUAGCAUAACUUAUCCCAUGCCCUCAGGAACAAAAGUAACUACUCACAAAGCAUAAUCAUAAUCAUGAUCAGAGGUGUAAUGAAUAGCAUCAAGGAUCUGAACAUAAACUCUUCCACCAAGUAAUCCAACUAGCAUCAACUACAGAGAGUAAUCAACACUACUAGCAACCUUACAAGUACCAAACGGAGUCGCAAGACGAAGAUUGGUUACAAGAGAUGAACUAGGGAUUGGAGAGGAAAUGGUGCUGAUGAAGAUGUUGAUGAAGAUGCCUCCCCUCCGAUGAGAUUAGUGUUGGUGAUGACGAUGGCGACGAUUUCCCCCUCCAGGAGGGAACUUUCUCCGAGCAGGAUCGUCCUGCCGGAGCUCUAGAUUUGAUCUGUUCAAGUUCCACCUCGUGGCGGCGGCGAAACCACGAAAAAGCUCCCAAUUGUUUUUUUUCUGGAACGAAACCCUUCAUAUAGCAAAAGAGGGGGCCAGUGGGCCGUCACGGAGCCCACAAGCUUGCUAGCUGCCACCAGGGGGUGGCGGCUACCAGGCUUGUGGCGCCCUGGUAGCUCCCCUCUCGUACUUCUUCAACCCAGUAUUUUUUAUAUAAUCCCAAAAAAUUCCAUGUAAAUUUUCAGGGCAUUUGGAGAUGUGCAAAAUAGUGGACUAAGAUUUGCUCCUUUUCUAGUCCAGAAUUCCAACUGCCUGAAUUCUCCCUCUUCAAAUAAACCUUGCAAAAUAAGAGAGAAAAGACAUAAAUAUGUUACCACAAAGUAAUAUAACAACCCAUAAAGCAAUAAAUAUCAACAUGAAAGCAUGAUGCAAAACGGACGUAUCAACUGCCCCAAGCUUAGACCUCGCUUGUCCUCAAGCGAAAACCAAGUUCCAUAAACAUGUCCACAUGUUUAAGGACGAAGGUGUCGAUAAAACAUAAUACGGACAUGAGGGCAUCAUGAUCACACAUAGAACAGCAGUACAUCAUAAAGAUUCUUAUGGAAAAGUAACAAUUCCUUCACAAAGCAAAGUAUGAAGCAAAAACCUUACCGAGAAGUAACCAACAACAGUCCAAAGUCAUUGAAGCAAUUGCAAUUUAUCAUAACAUCAGAAAGAGUCAAAUAAGAGCUUGUAAGGCAAACCCACAUACUCAAUCAUCUCUUUUAUUUUCCACAAUUGUUACAACUCAUGUGGUAAUCAUGGUGUCAAAGUUUCAGCUGGACAUAGAGGAAGAUAGGGGCUUAUAGUUUUGCCUCCUAACUAUUUACCUCAAGGGUAAAGUCAACAAUAAUAAAGCAUAAGUACUCAACUCCAAGUUGAUAUAUGAAUAUAGAUCUUUCCCAAGCAUGUGACGGUAGCCGAGACAAAGGCAAAAAUAGGGAAUUGGUGAAGAUCACCAUGACUCUUACAAGGGCAAAAAGUAAAGGUACAAGAUAGGCCCUUCGCAGAGAGUAGCAGAGGUUGUCAUGCGCUUUUGAGGUUUGAAUGUGUGUCCUCUUAGUGCGGAGGAACAUCACUUUAUAUUGCCUCCUGUGAUAAAAAACUUUAUUAUGCAGUCUGUCGCUUUUAUGUCUUCCUCAUCACAGGUUCAUACAAAGCUUAUUUUCCACACACUAAUAGAUCAUACAUAUUAGAGAGCAAUUUUUAUUGCUUGCACCGAUGACAACUUACUUGAAGGAUCUUAUUCAAUCCAUAGGUAGGUAUGAUGGACUCUCAUGGCAAAACUGGGUUGAAGGUUUAUGGAUGCACAAGUAGUAUCUCUACUUGGUGCGGGAGUUUUGGCUAAAAUGAGGUGGAAGCGAUCGUCACAUGCUAAGGGAUCUCUACUCAUAUAACAUUGUUUGGAACCAAGAAAACACAAUUCAUUAUGUUGUCUUCCUUGUCCAACAUCUACUCCUAAGCAUGUAACAGUUUGGUGAGUGCUCACAAUUGUAAAAAAUGUCUAAGAUGAUAUAUUUAUUUGUGAACCUCCCUUUCCUUAUUACUUCUUAUUAAUUGCAACAAUGACUGAGGUCUAUGUUGAUUUAUUCUCAACAAGUUUCAAUCAUCAUACGUGUCAUAUGUGAAGCUAUCACUUUCCAUAAGAUCAUCUCAUGAUCUUUCAUGCUAUCGUUCUUUUCAUACUUUUGAUCACGACACAAAGCAAAGCCCUUGACUAAGAUACUCUUUAUUAUAUAGCUCGUAAGCUCGAAUACAAUGGGGGAAAGACAAAAGCAAAAGACUCAAACUAAACACUAAAGACUUAUUCCACUAAGAGAAAAAAUAAAAACUGUAAAGGAAAGAACUAAAACAAAGGUAAAAGCAAAAGAUAUAAAUGUGAUACGAUACCUGGGCAACUCCCCCAAGCUUGGCAGAAGCCAAGGGGAUUGCCCAUACCAAUGCUUAGUUGUCUUCCUUUGGCGGCGAUGGUGGUGGUGUUGUUGGAGUGGUCUGGUCCUUCGUCUUCCAAGGCAUAGGUGCUCCAUCAUGGCAGGAUGAGCGAGUCGCCGGAAUCCUCAAAUCUGCAGCCAACCUUAUUGAUUUAAAUCUAUACUCAUACUCACAGUUUUGGUUCUGCAGGUCAUAGAUCUAGCCCUAAAGUUGAUCAACCCUGUCAUAGAGCCUCGAGAGGUGUUUCCCAAUGUCAAUGACAUCCAUCUUGUGAUUGCUGGUGAACUCUGUGAUCAUCAUGUGGUUGGCGUUGAGUCCACGCUCCACCAUCCCUUGGCACUUGAAGACUUGUUGCUCCAUUGCUUCGAGCCUCGUCUCCACGCUUCCGGUCUUCUUAGGCCCCUCAACAUCACGGAUGUGCAACAUCCCCUUGCUCAUCUUCAUAGAUUGAGGGUGUUUCAGCACUUCCGUGAGGUAGGGAUUGAUGACCUUCUCGAAGAUCUUGUCCUUAGGAGCGUUUGGGGAAGUCAUGAUGAUCUAGAUCUGCCACAAAAACAGGCUCGAAACGAAAACAGAGCAAAUAUUGCGUGAUACGGAGAUCAAAACCUUCGGACGAAUAUAUAUUGAUUUUUUCUGGACCAGAAGGAGUGCUCCGCAAGAAAACGGAGUCCGGGAGGCACACGAGGUGCCCACAAGCCCCCUAGCCGCCACCAGGGGGUAGGGGGCGGCUACCAAGCUUGUGGCCGCCUCGUGCGCUCCCCUGACUGUUUUUUAUUUUUCUAAUUUUCCAAAAAUUCCAAAACGGAGGAAAUUUCCUAUUGGAAAAGUUUCGGAGUCCAAUUACUUACGGAAACAGAUACCUCUUCGUUUUCAGGGUCUGAAAUAGGCUGAUAAACAUCCCUUAGGUACUCCCCUGGAGUUAUGACAUUGAUAAUAUUGGUCUCAACAUUUAUGGGAGUACGAGAGAUGUAAUGCUUGAUUUUUUGCCCAUUUACCACUCUAGGAAAAUUGCCUUCCGUGUUAUUGAUUUUGAUGGCACCGGAACGAUAUACUUCCUCGACAACAUAGGGACCUUCCCAUUUAGAGAGAAGCUUGCGUGCGAAGAAUCUUAAGCGAGAAUUGUAUAGCAAGACAUAAUCACCUACAUUGAACUCUCGUUUCUGUAUUCGUUUAUUGUGCCAUCUCUUAACCUUUUCCUUGAACAGCUUGACAUUCUCAUAUGCCUGGGCCCUCCAUUCAUCUAAUGAGCUGAUAUCAAACAACCGCUUCUCACCGGCAAGUUUGAAAUCUAAGUUGAGCUCUUUGAUUGCCCAAUAAGCUUUGUGUUCCAGCUCAAGAGGUAAAUGACACGCCUUACCAUAAACCAUUUUAUACGGUGACAUGCCCAUGGGAUUCUUAUAAGCAGUCCUAUAAGCCCAUAGUGCAUCGUCAAGUUUGCUAGACCAAUUCUUUCGAGAUCUAUUGACGGUCUUUUGAAGGAUCAACUUGAUCUCCCUCUUACUCAACUCCACUUGACCACUAGACUGAGGAUGAUAAGGAGAUGCAACUCUAUGGUUGACAUCAUACUUAGCGAGCAUCUUACGGAAAACACCAUGAAUGAAGUGUGAACCGCCAUCGGUCAUCAGAUAUCUAGGGACUCCAAAUCUCGGGAAAAUGACUUCUUUAAGCAUCUUAAUAGAGGUGUGGUGAUCAACAUUUUUAGUGGGGAUAGCUUCUACCCACUUAGUGACGUAAUCCACAGCAACUAAGAUGUGAGUGUACCCAUUGGAACUCGGGAAGGGUCCCAUAUAAUCAAAGCCCCAGACAUCGAACGGUUCAAUGACCAGUGAAUAGUUCAUAGGCAUUUCCUAACGUUUACCGAUGUUCCCUAUUCUUUGGCAUUCGUCACAAGACAAGACAAACUUCCGGGAUCCUUGAAGCGAGUGGGCCAAUAGAAACCUGAUUGCAAUACCUUAUGGGCAGUUCUAUCUCCAACGUGGUGUCCUCCGUAGGCUUCGGAAUGACACUUCUGUAAGAUAUGUCCCUGUUCAUGUUCAGGCACACAACGUCUAAUAACACCAUCUACUCCUUCCUUAUAAAGGUGAGGAUCAUCCCAAAAGUAGUGUCUCAAAUCAAAGAAGAAUUUCUUCUUUUGCUCAUAGGUGAAACUGGGUGGUAUGUAUUUGGCCACGAUAUUAUUUGCAUAAUCGGCAUACCACGGUGCACUAUGUGAAGUGCGGAUGACAUUUAAUUGCUCAUCAGGAAAGUUGUCAUCAAUAGGUCGUGGGUCAUCAAGGACAUUCUCUAGCCUAGACAAGUUAUCUGCUAUAGGGUUAUCAGCACCCUUUUGGUCAACGACGUGCAAAUCAAAUUCCUGUAGUAGGAGAACCCAUCUGAUCAGCCUAGGCUUAGCGUCCUUCUUCUCCAUAAGGUACUUAAUAGCAGCAUGAUCAGAGUGAAUAGUGACUUUGGAGUCAACUAUGUAAGAUCUAAACUUUUCACAUGCAAACACGACUACUAAAAACUCCUUUUCCGUAGUGGCAUAGUUUCUUUGGGCACUGUCUAGAGUUUUACUAGCGUAGUGAAUAACAUUCAACUUCUUGUCAACUCUUUGUCCUAGAACAGCACCAACAACAUAAUCACUAGCGUCACACAUGAUCUCAAAGGACAAGUUCCAGUCAGGUGGUUGAACAAUAGGUGCGGUUAUCAAAGCCUUCUUAAGUAUUUCGAAGGCUUCCUCACAAUCCUCAUCAAAAACAAAAGGAACAUCCUUCUGCAAGAGGUUGGUAAGAGGCCUAGAAAUCUUAGAAAAGUCUUUAAUGAACCUUCUAUAGAAACCAGCAUGACCUAGGAAGCUUCGUAUACCUCUGAUAUCUGUGGGGCAAGGCAUUUUCUGAAUUGCAUCAACCUUAGCCUUAUCAACUUCAAUGCCUCUUUCGGAGAUUUGUGUCCUAAGACGAUGCCUCCAUUAACCAUAAAGUGGCACUUCUCCCAAUUCAAGACGAGGUUGGUAUCUUCGCAUCUCUGUAAGACUCGGUCAAGGUUUCUAAGGCAACCAUCAAAGGAAGACCCGUAAACGGAGAAGUCAUCCAUGAAAACAUCUACAAUCUUUUCACAAAAGUCAGAGAAUAUAGCCAUCAUACAUCUUUGAAAGGUGGCAGGUGCAUUGCAUAAGCCAAAAGGCAUACGUCUAUAAGCAAAGGUACCGAAGGGGCAGGUGAAAGUAGUUUUCUCCUGAUCAGAUUGUGCAACAGGUAUUUGCGAGAAACCUGAAUAACCAUCUAGAAAGCAGAAGUGUGUGUGUUUGGAUAGCAUUUCUAGCAUUUGGUCGAUAAACGGCAAAGGAUAAUGAUCUUUCCUGGUUGCCUUGUUUAGUUUCCGGAAGUCUAUCACCAUCCUAUAGCCAGUAAUAAUCCUUUGUGGGAUUAGUUCAUCCUUAUCAUUAGGAACGACGGUGAUACCUCCCUUCUUAGGUACGCAAUGUACUAGACUUACCCAAUCACUAUGAGCAACAGGAUAAAUGAUUCCUGCUUCCAGAAGCUUUAAUAUUUCUUUUUUAACGACCUCUUUCAUAUUAAGAUUCAAUCUCCUUUGAUGAUCAGCAACUGGUUUGAAGUCAGGAUCAGUUUUAAUCUUGUGCUGACUUAGAGUGGGACUAAUCCCCUUAAGAUCACCAAGAGUAUAUCCAAUAGCAGCACGAUGCUUCUUCAGAGUUUUUAGUAACUUCUUUUCUUCAUGCUCUGAGAGGAGAGCACUAGUAAUAAUGGGAUAUAUCUCCUUCUCAUCAAGAUAGGCAUACUUAAGAGUAUGAGGCAACUGUUUAAGCUCGAACACAGGAUCACCCUUCGGUGGGGGAGGAUCCCCAAGCAGUUCAACAUGCAGAUUGUUCUUGAGAAUAGGAUAUUGUUCUAAGACAAUUUUAUCUAUCUCAUCUCUUUACUCCAUAUGCAUAUCAUUUUCAUGAUCAAGAAGAUAUUGCUCUAAAGGAUCCGUAGGAGGUAUGGCAAUAGAGGCAAGAGCAAUGAUUUCAUCCCUACGAGACGACUCUUUUUCAUGGGGUUGUCUUCCAAACUUGGAGAAGUUAAAUUCAUGAGACACACCCUCGAAACUAAUAGUGACAGUCUGCUUAAUGCAAUCAAUGUGAGCAUUGACAGUGUUGAGAAAGGGUCUACCGAAUAUGAUGGGACAAAAGCUAUCUUGUGCAGUACCAAGGAUGAGGAAAUCUGUAGGAUACUUCAUCUUACCACACAGGACUUCUACGUCUCUCACAAUUCCUAGAGGGCAGAUAGUGUCUUGAUGACCCACAAGUAUAGGGGAUCAAUCGUAGUCAUUUCGAUAAGUAAGAGUGUCGAACCCAACGAGGAGCAGAAGGCUCUGAUAAACGGAUUUCAGCAAGGUAAUAACUGCAAGCACUGAAAGUAGCGGUAACAAGUGAUUGCGUAGCGAGGUGAAACGUAGCAAGCAAAGAGUAACAAGUAACAAGUAGUAGCAACGGUGCAGCAAGUGGCCCAAUCCCUUUUGCAGCAAGGGACAAGCCUGAACAAAGUCUUAUAGGAGGAAAAAUGCUCCCGAGGACACAGGGAAUUUCUAUCAUGCUAAUUUCAUCAUGUUCAUAUGAUUCGCGUUCGUUACUUUGAUAGUUUGAUACGUGGGUGGACCGGCGCUNNNNNNNNNNNNNNNNNNNNNNNNNNNNNNNNNNNNNNNNNNNNNNNNNNNNNNNNNNNNNNNNNNNNNNNNNNNNNNNNNNNNNNNNNNNNNNNNNNNNGGGGGGGGGGGCGUAAGGCUCUAUCUUGAGGGCAAAUAUGGUCGUGAGCUCACGCUUUCUUCAGCCCAUACUUCUUCCCUUUGCUUCGACAUGCCACUGCUGCCAGGGUUACUGAGGACUGCACACCCUGCUUGACGANNNNNNNNNNNNNNNNNNNNNNNNNNNNNNNNNNNNNNNNNNNNNNNNNNNNNNNNNNNNNNNNNNNNNNNNNNNNNNNNNNNNNNNNNNNNNNNNNNNNNNNNNNNNNNNNNNNNNNNNNNNNCACACCCUGCUUGACGACCACAGAGGCCACUACUAGGAAAAGGCCUGCUAGUGGCGUACCUGUUUUGGCUACUAAUGGCGCACUACAGGUGCGCCACUAGCAUCACGCCAUUAGAAUUUUUUACUAAUGGCUGGUAUACUAAUGGCGCACCAGGCAGUGCGCCAUUAGUAUAGCCCAUGGUGCGUCAUUAGUAUGCCUCCCAGGGAGCCAUAUUUACCCAUGUGCUCUGGCUUACUAAUGUGCUUUUUGCAGUGCGCCACUAAAGUGCUGAGUGGUGCGCCACUAGUAUGAAAUCUUUGCUGAGAGCCCUAUGACAUCAAAGAUUCUGGCAUAUAUAUGUUUUGUUUCAAAACCGCAAAUUCAACAGCACAUAACAUAUAUAUCAAAUAUAUAAUACAUAAUAUGUGUCCAAUAGUUUUACUGAUCCACAACACAUAACAUAUAUGCAAAGUUGCAUAACAAAUUUCAUGAUCCAUAUAUCAAAAUUCCAUAGCAUCCAUACAUCCAAAAUUCCAUAGCAUCCAUAUAUACAUAUAGUUCCAUAGCAUCCAUACAUACAUAGCUCCAAAGCAAAUAUAAUACACAACGAUACUUUGCGGGCAUUAGUAAGUAAUAUUUGGCACUAAAACAAAUGCCUUCAUGUCCAUAUCGUAGUCCAAAGAGCAUCCGCGUGGCAACCUACAAGAUGAAAUCAACCUUCCUUUUUUGUGUCUCCUGCAGGCUCUUGUUUAGCCUAAAAAAAUGUGUGAUAUUGCCUGAUUCUAUAUAGGACAUGUUCUGCAGAUUUUUUUUGCCUGAUUCCCUACCUAUAGGCAUGUAAAAAUGUUGUGAAGAAAUGAAGAAAACCAACAAAAAGGUGUGGUCAGUACCUCUCCAUUGUUUUAAUCUAGGAAGUCCUCCAUCUUAAAAACUGCCAUGCCAGGGAUGGCGGGGAAGAUGUCCUUGCCUAGUUUUCACUGUUUCGGUUGUAUGCAGAGUAGCAAAGAGUAGCAAAAGAGAAUGGAUUACUUCAUGACUUCUACACUGGGGGGGGGGGGAGGGGGGGCAUAUAACAAAAGCACAUGCAAAAAAUACAUAAGUAAUCGACAUGUAUAAAGAGAUGCACUCUGCUAUCUGCUAAAAAAUGGAACACUAAUUUUGGCAUCAUAGACUAUGCAGUGCUUGCUAUCUGCUCAAGCACUGUGUGGAAAAAAUGCUAAAAUUUUAGAUAGCAGUAAAAUGAGACUCGGAAGAAAAUACUAGUACGUUGAGAGCAAAAAUAAGAACUCAAAAAAUCCUGCAUGUAGAUACCCCCAAAAAACAGCAAAACCUGCAUUUGCGAAAGAAAAUUCAGUUCCGGAAAAGAAUCCACUAAACAUGUAUGUACAUUUUUUCCGGGGAGACCAAAGUUAAUAUCUGUGUGCCCAGCUUGCCACAACCUACUUAACACCGACCGCGACAUAGAAACUAGUUAAUUGACAUCAACCUCUUUUAAUGGCUUACUUAACAUCAACCUCUUUUCUUGGCCUAUAUAUAGAGGGCAGCCCUACCUGGCCACCCCUUACUCAACACGAAUACGGCCGAAUAGAUCCACCAUUGGGCCACAUAUUAGCUAGUGUGUGCAGAACAAUUCACAGAAGAGGUAAUUAGAUGCAUGAUGGGAGUGAUUAACUAGGACUAAUUAGCAUACAUAUUACAUCGAGCAAAAAAAACAAGCAGGAAUGNNNNNNNNNNNNNNNNNNNNNNNNNNNNNNNNNNNNNNNNNNNNNNNNNNNNNNNNNNNNNNNNNNNNNNNNNNNNNNNNNNNNNNNNNNNNNNNNNNNNNNNNNNNNNNNNNNNNNNNNNNNNNNNNNGCAGGAAUGUGUGCUACUACGAGUAGAUCGAUAUUGAUCACUUAAUUAUAGCUAGAUCAUACGAGCUGAGGUAAUUAAAUUGUGUACCAUGAUAGAAAGCCCUAGCUAGAUAUGGCAUGAUAAUAGUCGAUUGAUAGGAGCUAGUCAAGGAGGCAGUAGCAAUGGCAUGCAAAAAUCAACCGCAAACCUAAUGAUAGCACUGUAAACUUGCCCCACAACCNNNNNNNNNNNNNNNNNNNNNNNNNNNNNNNNNNNNNNNNNNNNNNNNNNNNNNNNNNNNNNNNNNNNNNNNNNNNNNNNNNNNNNNNNNNNNNNNNNNNNNNNNNNNNNNNNNNNNNNNNNNNNNNAAACUUGCCCCACAACCUACUGAACAUCAACUGCAAACAUAGAAACUUGCCCCACAACCUACUAAACAUCAACUGAAAAAACAGAGCCACAUUGCCCCGGUUUGUCACUGAAUUGUCCACUGUAAGUAGUAGCAUUGCCUACUUUUCAUGAACCGCGGGUGAGAACCUUGCCUACUUCUGCAGGAAACCAAAAGCUACAAAAGUGUUCACUGUAAGUGGUAACAUUUCCUACUCAAUGAGGUUGGGAUCAUCAUGCAGGGAUAGGAAACCCUGAAAAAACACUACAGAUUAGCCUGUGAAAUAGUGAAGUGAGAACAUUGCCUAUAAAACAAAACUUGCUUGUGAAUGAAUAGGUACAGAUUUGCACGCAAAAUCUGCAAAAAAUGCCCACUGUAACCUGAAAUUUGCUUACCUAUGGAAAACAAACCUACAUCAUAUAAAACACCUGUCAUGGGAUCGAUUCCUUGCUUGCGAUUCACUACAGAAAAAAUGGCGCAAGAAAAAUACUUCUAUGCUUGAUAUCAAAAUCGAAAAUCAGUUUAGGUUGGUAUUUUGCGCACAGGCUUGGCCGGGGCAUCGAUUCCCGUCUCCUUACUCCUCUGCCGUCAUCCUCGCUGUCCCCGUCCUUGCCGUCCCCCCGCUCAUCCAUGUAGAUGACGCCGCCGUGUCGGCCGAACACCUCCCCUGCCUCCCCCCUAGUUAGCGAAAAUUGGGUGAAAAUGGUGAAGGAGUAGGGCGUGUGACUUACCUACUCUCUCCUGACGGGACGAAGCAGCCCGCCGCGCCCCCCGUCGUCUUCGCGUCGCUGAUUUGGUCCGUCUAUACCUUCUCCCUUCCCUUCACUCACCGCGCAGCCCCCCUUGCUGGCCUCCUCUCGCUCGAACUGGUGGUGCUCCGUCUCCGCGUGGAGCGGUGUCUUCGAGCUCGCGGUCCCUCCUUGAUUCGUCGCCGCCGUUCGUGCUCUUGCCGGUCACGGUCACCGACGAUCUAGGGAUUUCUCUCCCCCUGCAGCUGAGGGCGGAGUGCGCGGGGCGAGGGGGCGGCGUGCGUGCCCGGCGGGGAAGCAGCGCGGGGCUGAGGUGGGGCUGCGGUCGCCGGGGGGUUCGUCGGAGGGGCCGUGGAGCUCGCCGGACUGAGGGGGGAGGUGAGAAGAAGGGGUGGCCUCACUUCCGUUGCUGAGCAAGGUGGUCCGCGGGGGAGAGGGUGAGGAAAUUGGCGGCGCGGUGGGAAACCUAGCUUCUCUGCGGGAGCGAGAGGAGGGAAAGUGCGGUGGCGCACUGGGUGAGUGGUUAGUACUUUUGAAAAAAUAAUAAUAAUAAAAGUUUGUUAGUAGUGACGCACCGUGUGUGUGGUGCGUCAUUAGUGUCCAUCACACUAAUGACGCACCUGCACAUGAUGCGCCACUGCUAUAUAGUAGUGGCGCAGCACUUGUCUGGUGCGCCAUUAGUGUCUAUAUUAUCUAUAGCCCUUUUCCUAAUAGUGAGGCAUCGGCGCUCUUCUUGACACCAACAUUGGCAUCGGUGCCCUGCUUGAUUGUGGCUGGCAGCUUGGCCUCCUCCAACCUCGUGUCGAUCGCUGCCUCCCUCUCCUUCUGUAAUAACCCCAACAGAUCAUAUCGAACGACGCCGCGCGAAUAUAUUUCUAAAGAACCCUAAGCCGAGCCCUUUCCUUUGCCUGAUAGACUCGAACGGUGUCGCCCCAUACUCGACUCCCAAACGAAUUCUAACCUUUUCAUAAAAAAAGUCAAAUUAUAAAUUCCAAGUAAAUCGUUUUCCAACUUUUAGUUUAUCUCCACGCAUUAACAUCUGCAUGGCCUUUUCCUAGUUGUUUUUUAACAUUGCCUUUUUCUAGUUGACGUACAAGAAAAUGAACAAAUUCAGGAAAAGUUUGAACUAAUUUUAAAAAUAUGGAAAAUAAAAAAUUAAAUUAAUAUUCGGAGGCAGACUUGCCGUUCACACCGGUCUUAAAGCCUAUAAAUUUCGGUCAACAUUAGAUGAUAUUUUGCUACUACGGUUGAUGAAUUAUUAUGAAUUGAUCUAUGAAACACAAAAAACGCAACUGCAGGUCAGAGGCCUGCUUUCAUGUUUGUUUGUUUCGAGUGACAACAAAAAUGGGUUCAAUAUUGAUCACACGUAUGGCAUAAUAGACAUCUGGCCACAUGACUCGUCCGGUCGAGGAGCCAACCCAGACGAGCCAUGUGUGGGCGAACAUUAACACUGCCCACACGUUCAAGCAUAACUACGAUGGCCCGCACGCCGAACCAACAACAACUACUCACCCCAUCCCGUGAGCACGAACUCGUGUAUAAUUAAAUUUAGUUGUUAUGUGCAAUUAACUAUAGUUAUCAUGUCUAAUUAACUGUGGUUGCCAAUUUGCCAUGUGUGAUUAACAUUAGUUGCUAUGUAUCAAUAAAUAUAGUUGCCAUGUGAAACUAAUUGAAGCUACCACGUGUAGUCAAACCAUAGUUGAUAUGUAUGCUCUACCGUAGUUAUUAUGUGUGAUUAACUAGUUAUCUUGUGUGGUUAAAUUGUAGUUGUCAUGUAUGAUCAACCAUAGUUGCCAUAUGUGAUUAAAUAGUUAUCACAUGCACGACUGUAGUUGUCACAUAUGCACGCCAUCUAACACCGUGCGAGCCUCGUGCAUGCGAAGAGCAUUUCAUCUCAUGGUGAUGCGAGCAACCGUGCGCGAGGACCACCCACACAUGCGGCACUUAAUGAUAACACCCACUGCAUGUUGGGUGCUUACGUGGUUCUCGACCCAGAUGACAACUGCUGCAAUAUUCGUGCAAAAUGAAUCAAACGGCAUCGACUGCGUUUGGGCCAUGUUGAUAAGUGUCACACAUGUGGGUGUUAUCAUUUAAGAUAAAAAUCAUUUCCAUGACAACAGCGAUUGCUUUGAUCUAGUUAAAAUUUGUUGUAUAGAUGUGAAGAAAUAAUGCUUCCAUGGCAGCUGAGGAUUGCUUCCAUCUAUUUAGAGUUUCGUAGUUUUGUUGAGCCAUAGAUAUUGCUUUCAUGGCAGCUGUAGACUGCUUCAAUCUUGUUGAGAUUUGUGACAACAAUAUCUCCUUUACACCAUAGAAAAUGAUUUUCAAGCCAUCGGAGAGUUGCUUCGCGUUUAAUGUUAAAGCACUUCCAACAAAUUAAACCUUUGUUGCCAUAAAACAUUGCUUAAAAUAUAACAAGGUUAUGCCCAAAACAUAUAAUUUCCCUCCAAAGUACAGUAGUUUCUUGCAGCAAAAAAAUGGAUCAUGAGUUAGCUUCUAUGCACCUAGGUACGAUGAAUAGGCCACCAGUGGUGGCCACACGCCUGCCACCACGUGCUCCACCUUGAUGAUGAAGGCACAAGUGUGGACCAUCGAAGUAUGUGGUUCACCUAGCAAGUGAUAUGGAGGGCGCACCAUGACACACUAGCAACCCAAUGGAAGCACCAACUGAAACACGGGCACAACAGUGAGACUAAUUGCUUUCAUUUAACAGAUUUGGAUGACACAAAAGGAAUAAAAAAAGUAAGAUGAAUUAGAACCUACGUUGGAUAAGGAAGUUAUGGGGUUAAUUCGUGCAGCCAGCUACACAUACUGUCGUUGGCUCCCAACAGAUCAUGAUGCGAAUGAGUCAAGGGAAGCAACAAUAACCUUGUGGAGCUUGGUAUGGCAGCCCUCCAUAUGGGUAAUGGGUACCCUGGCCAUCUAAUGUUGUAAUGCGGGGUCGGUGCUCAAUCACAAACUGCUGAUGCAUUGGCACGGAGGUUCUUCAGACAUGACGCGUCGUCAAGAUUGAGGUGCCGCACGGGAGAAGAGCGAGGUGGAUAGGGAGCAGCGGAGAUGAAUGUGUCACUCACUUUGAUUAAUUGGGGAGAAGCAUGUAACAAGCAAAGGGUUUAGUGGAGACGUGGGUCCAUGUAGAAGGGGUAGUUGAAAAGAGAUUUGCCGAAAAUUGUAAGCCAUGGGAUAAAACAGGAACUGAGACAGUGUUGGUUCAACUUUUUCAUUGUAUUAGUGGUGUGAUAAUUAGGAAUAACUAAUCAUGGAGUAUCCCCUAGCUGGGAUGCCGGGUGCGCGCUUGGAACCUAUAGUGUUUGGAGCAAGGGGUGAGCUAGUAGCUCACAGGACUGAGGAGCCAAGGGUGUGGUUUUCUCCCUGUUUUUUUCUUAUGAUUAUUUUUGGGUUUUCCUAGAUCUUCCAUACCCAGAUUUCCCAUUUUCCCAAUACAAUUCGGUUCUAAUAACUAGACGUUGCUGUGAGUAGUACAGGUUGAAACGAGUGGGAAGUACAAGUUACAACUGCAGCUCAUUUGUGGUGGGUGUCCGUAGCACUCGAAGCACAAGUGUGCUUUGCCAUGAAGCCCAUAUGAGGUAAGCGGUGCAUCCUAGAUUGCCCUGAUCAGAGAGCACAACUUGCGCAGCGUGGAGUAUAAACUAUCUCGUGUGAAAAAAAAACUGGAGCAACACCUCGGCAAUUUGGCAUAACACCCAUGUAUCCGUCGAGGGCUUCCUCGUGCCAAUGUUGCAGCUGGUGCGGUAGCAUUUGAUCGGGAUUCUUGCACCUACUCGAGUCUGACGCUGCCGUUUGUAAACGUCGGGGCAGGCUGAUGAGCUAGAGAAGGCCCGCAUCCAUCUACCUCAGCCUCGCCUUUGAAUUGACAUGUUGCAAUCAGCACAUACAUAUGCAUGCAUACGCGUACAAUAAAGACGAUGAUGGUAAGUAACAAUGGCUCAUUAACAAAAAAAGAAGUAACAAAGGCUCUUGGAAAGGACAUUGCAACUUGAAUUUGCAACUUCCUGCCCAGUAUUUCCCUCAAGUCCCGACUAGAUGCAAAUACCAAACCUGUACGAGGUGAGUUCACCAGUUUUGAGUGCAAACCACAAACAAAGCUACCACGAAGAAAACUAUUUUGAAGACAAUGCAACGACAAUAAAUGUCAGCAACAUAUAUUGUACAUUCCAAUCAUCCAUAUGCAUCACUUAUAAAUCUCUAUCCAUGGCAAUGUUUCAUCCAUAUAAGGUCUAAGCUGCAAAGGAGAUGAUGAUCUGAUAUGAUCUGCCUAUCUACCCUCUCGCCUUCAGAUCAAGUACGACCACACUGAUGUCAUCUGGGCUUUUACCAUGGAUCGCCAUGUUCAUCAGGAGGCUUGCGGCAUGGACGCAGCCAACCUCUUCCUCUUGGCCUAUUGGUGCACCGCCUCCAGGAGCGCCUUGGUGUUCUAUUGCUAGGCAGUUGCUGACGACAUUGCAGGCCUUCUGAUUCUCGAUGACAUCCCACAAGCCGUCGCUCGCGAGGAUCAUGCAGUCGUCAUCCUCUGAUCUAGUGGUCAUGGUUAUAUCUGGCUCACAUAUCACUGCAGGCUUAAGGAGCCUAUGCCCUGCAAGCACAGUUCAUUGUCUGAGAUUGAAUACGUGAAGCAUCAGAGAAAAAUUUACUAAACAAAAUGUAAUCAUGUUGUACAAAUGGAUGAACUUGUGAAAAAUAAACAAAGCUGGAAUUUACAUUAUUUCUCUUUAGGAAAUAUUCACCGAAACAACUCUCAUAUUAAUAAAAACAAGAAGGUAACCUGAUCAUGAAAGAUUUGUAAGCAAACAACAAUGUCCUAUGCACAUCGAUGAACAUUCAUUUGAGUUCUAAUAGGAAUAUGAAUGCAACAAUGCAGGCACCAGUAAAAAAACAGUGCAUGGUAACAUCCUUGCUGAAGGUAACCGUAUACAAAUUCAUGAUUGUCCAAAUGAAANNNNNNNNNNNNNNNNNNNNNNNNNNNNNNNNNNNNNNNNNNNNNNNNNNNNNNNNNNNNNNNNNNNNNNNNNNNNNNNNNNNNNNNNNNNNNNNNNNNNNNNNNNNNNUGAUUGUCCAAAUGAAACAUUAUUUUACAAAUAAUAUCUUCAGUGAUACUAAUUAACUUCAUGACACACAACAGGUGAAAACUGAUUUCAUCUAUAUAUGCCAGCAUUCAAAUAAUUAUCAAAGUUUUAAAAGUGUAAUGAGCAACACAAAUCAUUGUGUUAUCUUCAUGCAAAUAAAUUUCUAUAUAGGUAAGCUACUCUUGUAAGCUAGUUACACAGAAAACUUGUAAUAUGUAGAGUUCUCGUUCAAUCAUGGCGACAUUGGUCCACCCGAACUAUCCAAUCGGUGCAUAGCAGUUUGGUGCCAGAUGGUCAACCUAGCUCACUUUCUGGGUCUAGAGGCCUGGUAAAAACUAAUGAUACAAUGAAUCCCGCCCAAAAAGGUUUUUUGUCGAUUUAUUUUUUAUUUGUAAUAGCACUUGAAAUAUAAAAAUAAAANNNNNNNNNNNNNNNNNNNNNNNNNNNNNNNNNNNNNNNNNNNNNNNNNNNNNNNNNNNNNNNNNNNNNNNNNNNNNNNNNNNNNNNNNNNNNNNNNNNNNNNNNNNNNNNNNNNNNNNNNNNNNGAAAUAUAAAAAUAAAACUGGUUUUUGGAGAAACUAUAGAGCAAUCCAUACACCACUGUAAAAUUACCAAAAUUCUUUGGGGUAUUUUUCCAGUAUUCUUCGGAAUCAUCUAGAAACUAAAAAAACACAGAAAUGUUGAUUGGGAAAUUUGGGCACCCUUCUAAAUUAUAUUUUCUCCCUAUUCGACAACCCUUAUUUUAUCCAUCACUCUCCAUGAAAUCUACGAAAACUUGGGAAGACUUAGAAAAAUAGCGAAGCUUAUCCCAAAAAUUAAAACACGCAUCUAAGUCCUAACAACUCAUGCCUCUCCAUUUUUAAGUAUGUUUGACCUAGACCUUCCCCACCUCGAGAAAAUAGCCUCUCCCUCCCUCCCUCCCUCUCUCUCUCUCUCNNNNNNNNNNNNNNNNNNNNNNNNNNNNNNNNNNNNNNNNNNNNNNNNNNNNNNNNNNNNNNNNNNNNNNNNNNNNNNNNNNNNNNNNNNNNNNNNNNNNNNNNNNNNNNNNNNNNNNNNNNNNNNNNNNNNNNNNNNNNNNNNNNNNNNNNNNNNNNNNNNNNNNNNNNNNNNNNNNNNNNNNNNNNNNNNNNNNNNNNNNNNNNNNNNNNNNNNUCUCUCUCUCUCUCUGCAUCCCUCCCUCACUCCAUCCCUCCCUCACACUCUCUCUCUCCAUGGGCGAAACAUGUGGAUGAACUCUCUGGGAGCAGGAAUUUCUCCACGAAGGACAAUGUAGAAAAAAAUCCCUAGAAGUCAUGGGGAUUUACGAAUCCCAAGGUUUAGUUCUCCCCUUCUCCAACCUUCCCUUUGAUCUUGUUCCCACCAAAAAGUGAUGUACAAUUUUUCCGACAUCAUUAACCUCAAGCCAGAUAUUUGAAGACCUCAGAUGAGGCCAUGAAUUCAAGAGAAUAGCACAUUUAAACAAGGCAACAAUCUAAGGAGACGAAUAAGGUAGCUAAGAAUCAACUAAUGACCUGAUGACACAAUGAUGAGUUUUGAAACAUCAUCUCUAGGGGACUCUGUUGAAGGGAAUAAUAACUAAACUAUACUAAGGCUGACAACUAAUCAUGCAUGGCAUCCUCAUGGAUGCUAAAUAUAUGUCCAAGACAAUGAAAAAAGUUCAAGAAAACAGCCAUGGUCAACAUAAGGCAAAGACAGUCAAUGAAAGUCUUUGGAAACCAGUAUGGUAAGCAACUAAAAGAAAGAGAGGGGAAGAUAAAAUGUAAAGUCAAAUACGAACACAAGAAGUGAAGAAGCCCAAGCCAACUUAAGGGCCAACUAGCCAAGCCCCAUUCAUGAAUGGAUGAUGAGUAGCUCGGCUUAUUUAGUGAUGGACACCCCCACUUCUAGCUAGUCUUCAUAAACACAUGUUCCAUUUUUGGCCCAUUUACCCUUUGACCUACCACCCUCAAGUGUAGGCUAGGUCAUUUAUCAAGGAGCCCUACCAUGUAAAUAAUCCCGAUGAACAUGUACUAUCAUUCAAUCCAACUUUAUUAAACCCAAGAGGAGAGGCAGUCCUCCUUCCAUGGAAUCAAUGUUCUACGGAGGUCGGGUUUCAUGAUUCAAGGGACAUCAUGAGGUUGUGAUAAUGGGGAAUUGGAGAACUUUAAAAGCGGCCACAUACUGAAUAUUCCAUGACCAAGAGUUUCUCUCUACGCCUCUCCUCACAUAGGACGUGGGUCGUGCUCCACCAAGGCAAAUAGAUCUAUCGAAAAAACAUCAAUGUAUCAAUCAUGUCAGUGUACAUCGACCUUCGAUAUAAGGCCGACAUACACAUUUCACUUACAUUUCUUUAAACACAUAAUUAAGGAUGCCCCCUAGUGAAAAGUGUUUUUGAUAGGAGCAACACAAUAUAUUGAAAUCAUACUGGAAAAUAUCACCUUUAUGUGAUCAAAAAGUAAAAACAUUUGGGUUUGGAGUGAAAAUCAACAAUUCCUCUUUGAUGAUUUUCCAAUUAUGUGAUGAAUUCAAAAUUUCCUAAAAUCCCUAGAACCAUGUGGAUAUUUUAAUUGCUACCCUCAUUACACCAUGUGAUAAUUCCGCGUUGCCAUCCAUGGGGUACAUGUUGCUUAAGUGGGCUUGAGACCCUGCUAUAGUCAGUCGUGAACAUAACUUGUUAACCUUGUCUCCUUGCAAGAGUUAAUUUUAGUGUGAGGAGGACCGGUAUUGAAGGAAUAGACAACUCGAGCAUUUGCUCUCAUGGGCUUUGCUCCAAGACGCUAGCUUGGCCCAUUUAUUUCUUUAGUUUCUCAAGUCCAACUAGUUGCAUUUGAAGCAUAACUUCCAUUAGCUAGAAUCAUUAACAUACAUAUUACUAUAUGAUUAAAUGAUUCAAUUAAGAUUCAAUGCUUGUGGAAAGUUUAUUGUCAUCGUAGUGGAAUGUAUACCCCUACAAUAUUCAAUUGAAGGAGGAGUUGAAGUAUAUAUAUAUUGGAUUACCCUUUUUCAUCAACUCAAACUUUUAGGAAAACUCGUUAGGUCAAUAUUAUUCGUAUUGAAAAAACAAGACCCGAGGCCAAUACAUAUCCAACAUAAUAAUAAUAAUAAUACUUGUGAACUAAACUACAUCAAUUGUAUGUCUUGGCAAAUCUAAGAUCUCGAAGAGAGCUAGAAUGAGCUUGAUUUGAGGGGACACUAGUGAAAAAAUGGGCUAUAGUCCCGGUUGGGAAAGGCCUUUAGUCCUGGUUCACUAAGUGGGACUAAUAAAUAGAGACUAAAUCCCUCCCUUCUUUAGUCCCGUUGACACGAACCGGGACUAAAAGUCCCACCAUCGCGCGCCGUGGUAAAAAAAUAUAAUGCCUCCCACCAAUGCAACUCGAGGCAUUCGAACUCAAGACCUCAUGUGUAUUGCCCUAUGCAGCUUACCACCCCACCUACAGAGAACAUGUGACUUAGGAUGGGAUGCUUUCCUUUUGAACUAGCCUAUGAUGGACCUUUAGUCCGGGUUGGUGUUAUGAACCGGGACUAAAUGGUACUUUAGUCUGGGUUGGUAAUACCAACCGGGACUAAAGGUAGACCUUUAGUCCGGGUUAGUGUUAUCAACCGGGACUAAAGGUAGACCCUUUAGUCCGGGUUAGUGUUAUCAAUCAGGACUAAUGUGUCAAGGCCUUUAGUCCCGAUUGGUAACACAAUCCGUGACUAAAAGUCCCACACCAACCGGGACUAAAGAUGGCAGUGCCACCCGUCCGCUCCUAGCCGUUCGAAGCAUUAGUCCCGGUUCGUAAAGUGACCGGGAGUAUUGCUCAAUCGGGGUUAGGACGAAAGCCCUAUUUUCUACUAGUCGGAGUGUUCGAAAUAUGUUAUCCACCUUUCUUCAUAAGCUUACUAUGUGAACUUGUUUUGACCAUGUAUUCCUCAAAUUUAUAUAUAUGAAUGAUCCAACUCAAGAGAUUGUACUUGUGUCUCUUAGAUUAGUACUUAUGGUUCAACACACAUAACUUGCUUUCUCGUAAACUUGUAAAAUUAAUCAUGAGUGUCAAAAUUUUAAUAGUCCAAUUCAAAAAUAAAUUUCUGAUUUGGAAAGAUAUACGUGGAAAUGAUUGUGUUAGGAUGUCUAAAUCCAUAAGGAAUUUAGGUUUUCAAACUUGUAGAAUAAAUGUGAUGCAUGUGAGAGUGGCUUUGCUUUCCAUCAGCGAGGCCAAGGUUCAAGGCACUACCUUCAUAGUAUUUUGUUCACAAACACUUAGCAACACACCUUCGAUAUAUUAAAGUCACAAUAUGGGGUGCAUAAAUUUUUUUGAUGCUAAAGGGCAUGGGGAUAGCCUAGUGGUGGAAGUGCGAUGGCGUUUCUUCAACAACUAGGCUAGACUCUAUAUAGGGGGCUUAAUUUAGUAAGUUGAUUAUUUGGUGCAAUAGUAUCUAAUGACACAAAAUGUCAUGUUUCUCCUAACUAUUGGUACAUGUGAAUAUCAAAGUUGCUAUAUGGGGGCCAAUAUAUUAUUUAAUACUUAUGUAUUGGAGAUAGUCCAUUAGUCGAAUUGUAGUGGUGCCGUCAUCUACUUAGAUUUCACUCUCAUCAAAGAAAGUUAAUUUUAUGAUGUCCAUUAUUGGAUUCUUCUAAAAAAUGCACAUCACUCCUCCCCAUUGGUACAUGUGAUUAGGUAAUGGAUGUCGGUUUUAGAGUCGGAAAUACACAAUAUGUGACUAAGGACGACAUGUCGGGCAAAUCAAGCCCGGCCUAGGUUUUGAUAAAGGUGGGUAACAUUCAACGUAAAUGAUCACCUCUUUAUCACUUUGGGUUGUUUAGAUACUUUAAUAGCUUCAUUCACUUCGAUACGCUUCAUAAAACAAAUCCACUCCUUCUCCUUUAAGAAUGGUACAGUUUAUAUAAUUAACUAACUCGUGUCCACUAAUAGGCAUACACAAAGUGUUGAAAUAAGAUUACAUGGUAUCAUUCUGAAUAAAUCUCAGCUACUACAUAAUCUAUUUGCACUCGUUGUUGAGACAUAAAUUACAUGACAAUCGACUCCAACCACCAUCCACCGACAACCAUUCACUUCGUGUCCUUCACCUUUGCACCAUAUAAUACUUAGCCUGCCCAUGAAGCAGUAAUCCCGAUUAAUAACAUUGCCUGUGUAGGGUGUCGAUUAGAAUCACAUGGAAGGUAGCCGACUCAUGUUCACUCCAAACCCAACAAACCAUCUUCUUGGCAUCCCCUUUCCUACCAAGCUUUGCCGCAAUAUGGUACCUCUGCCUUUGCCAUAUAUCUUUAUCCCACAUAUGCAUCUUGUAACCCUUGAAUUAGUCAAGGUAGAUACAUCAAUAUUUUCAAUCAUAGACAUACCCAUUCAAUGUUUGAUGAGAUGGAUGGCAUGAUAGGCUCACCGAACAUGGUUGGUGAUAAUAAAAAUGGCAAAAAUGUGUGGCAGGGAUAGUAUGUUAUGUACACUUGUAUUCAUUUAGCUUUUCGGUAUGAGGCCCCUUCCAUUGUCAUCUUGUAUGGGAGACUAUAUCCAAAAGGUAUGCUCACCCUUUUACCAUCGGCUCCAAUAAGAAGUAGAGAAACAUGUUGAGUGUUGACAUUUGUUUUCUUAUCUGGCCUCUCUUCCUCCAUCUUGUCCCAGUAGACAAAUAGACAAACCAUCAUGGGAAACUAUCCCCAUAUGGUUACGAUUACCCUUCCACUACAAUGUGUGCCAAAAAUAACAAGUGAUGUAAAGUGUUGGGUGUUUGAUAAAAUGGUAGGUUACUACAUAUACAUAGUACCCCUUUUUGUCUGUGCCCAACUAUUAAUUUAAUGGUCCUUGGUACAAUACAUAUCCAUCCAUUAGUCUCAUAUCUUUUCUCAGACCUCUUAGUCAAAUCAUGUCUCUCUCCAUCAUUAGUCUUGCAGGUCUAGUAGUUGUGAUCCUUUUGUAUUUGUACAUGUAUGAGCACUAUAACUCAUAUUAACAUGCUUCUUUCCAUUAUCCUGAUGAUAACCGCAUUAGGUAUGUCUGUUGCCUUAACCUAUUGCCUUAUUGAUCUAUUGCCUUCUUUGCCUACCUAAGAUGUUGCUCAAAUCCUAACUGGAUGAAUAAACACCAGUUUAAACAAGUGACUAGUCAAAAAACAUAAUAAAAAAAAUAAGUAGUAAAGUGAUUUCUAGUAGCCAUGGUGUAAGAAAGCAAUAAGACAACUCUCUCGCUUAACCUGUUAGAUAGAUUCGUGAUAACCACGCUGAGAUAACCGCAGUGAUGCUUUGGGAACCUAUAGUGUGGGGGCAAAAAUUGUAAACAACAUAUUACAUAUCUUUGACAUAUGGUAUUUGUGGCAAACUGAGUUCUCUCCAACAUCGGUUAGCUCAACCCGAUGAAACUGAUGGACAAACUGAUAACGUACUUGAUGGGAACGUGCAUGAAAACAAGAUGUGAGAGGAAAAUGGCUAUGUGACAAUAUAUAUAUCUCUGUGCAAAUGAGGGAGGGAGAGAGAGACGGAGGGAACGAGCGAGGGAGGGAGAGGGAGAGAGAGAGAGAAGACACUUCGAGAAAGCAGGGGAAAUAAGUAUCCGAACAUCAUUUACUUAUCACAGGCCACACACCGUCACUGGGGUCGCAUCUAUGCGAUAGAGAUAAGGCGAUAGGACCAAACUAUAAAGUGAAGCCAUCGUGCGAAGGAACAUUGCAAACCAUAAGGUCAUCGGCCAGAGCAAUUUGCAAGAAAACAAGCCAACAAGAUAUUGAUGUCGCCGCAAGCAAAAGUGUCAAGAACUCGAGAUAGGGAGACUUGAGGAGACUUUAUUUUAUUGUACUACACAGUCGCCAUUUUGGGAAGCACCAAAGCUAUGGAAAAAGAAAUCAACCUAAAAUCCCCAAAAUGGGGAAAGAUAUAUCUCCAUUUGGUAUAUGAGGGCCUCCACCAUACCUCAACACUCCCGCAACAUCAAAGAUUAUGGUGGAGGAUCAGAGGUUGGCGACACAAUGUGCCAAGGCAUCACGUCUCUUAGGGUUUGGGGAGGAACGUUUCAGGAAAACAACUAUUCCUAUUUUCCUUACCAUGAAUCAAAAUUAAUAGGACCUAGCUGACAUCUACAGAAACUUAAUUAAUUAUUGGGCAUGCUUAUCAUCAUUUAUUUUAAAGCUUAAUAUGAUCAUCCUUUCUUCCUAUCUAUACUUGUUUUCUUGUUUUGAUAUAACUCAACAUUUAUUUGCUACCUAUGCCUUUUUAUUAGUAGUCUUUGUGUUGGUGUUCAUAAGACCCUCAUGUAUUUUAAGAAAAUAUAUUUACCAUUGAUUUAAUCAGCCAAAUAUGUAACAUAUGCCACAAAAGCAAUUUCAUUAUUUUCUUUGGAUGUAAUGUUAAUAGUAUAUGUAAGAAAAUAAAUUUACCAUUGACUUAAUCAGCCAAAUAUGUAACAUAUGCCACAAAAGCAAUAUCAUUAUUUUCUUUGGGUGUAAUCUAAAUAGUUUAUGUAUGAACACAUAUGCAAUUAUGUUAAUGAUAUGUGGGUUGGGCUUUAUAAACCCAAAUAGAGUGAGUUCUUAAGUGAGAGCGAGAUCAUAUUAAGAUGCAACGCACCAUUUAAAAAUCCACUAGAAGGCACAUGUUGAUGAAUAGAGAAUGUUCUUCAUUUCUGGUAUCCAAGUACUUCUCUUUCCUUGUACUCGCCCUCAUUAAUGCAUGCGAACAAAACUUGUAUGUAUAAGUUUUUUUUUGCGAAUACGCAAGAUCUUUUGUAUCUUUUUAUUGAUAUAAGAAGUUCGAGAAUUUUACAAAGAAUAAGGGAUGAGCAAUGGACAACAAGUGCACACUAGGGAUCAAUCCAGUGUCCCAAAUAGAAGAGGGGUGCUCAGCCCAAGGAUCUUGUGUUCUCUUGCCGUAGCCGUUGGGGACAAGGUAAAAUACUAGCGAAAAUAGCACGGUGAUGGUGCAACAAUCAAGCCAUUUGUCCGUCCAAAAGAGGCAUGAAUUGCCAUUGCACAACAUCCAUCGAGUGGAGGCGCUGAAGAUCUCCAUAGGCAUAGCAUCAUGUGGAAGGUGUAGGCAACUCUAUGGCCGGUUGGAAUCCUUGCAUUGAGCCAUAGCCAUCGGGUGCACGACACAAUGUCCUCUUGCUGCAGGUCUAUGAUCCCAAGGCCACCAAGGAGUGUGAGGCACAAGACACUAGCCGAGUUCACCUUAUAGUGGCCUCCCUUGGUGUCUUUGCAGCCAACCCAAAUGUAAACGCGGAUGAUGUGGUUGACCUUGUCGAGGAUGGUAUUAUCGAGGAAUAGGGCGAUGAUGAACUACUUUGACAUGGCGCAGAGCAAAUGGCGUGCAAGUGCGAGGCGAUCGCCGAUGUAUAGCAUAGAUGCCUUCCUUGCAGGGUACUUUCUUCUCUAGCUACAGGACGAUUGCCAUGAGUUGGAGUUUGAAGCUUAACGGAUGGAGAGGGCGGGGCCAUGUAUUUCAUUGGCAAAGGUGCUAUUUGGCUUGCCAUUGAUGUCACAGUCUUGUUGAUGUGAUCGUGAGAACAGUAGAUUGGCUGCGCGAAAUAUUUGGAGAAAGUUGGUGCGUAGUCUCGCCACGAUGCCAAACAACUAGAGGGAACUUUGACCGCUAAAAUGGUAUGGUCAUUAGGAUGGGAAAACACUACAAUGUUGUCGACAUAAAGUGACACACUCAAGGCGGCAUGCAUAUCCGUGAGGCGGUGUAAUACUCCUAGUUGGAUCAUCCGUUAAAUUAAGGAGUUUCAGACGUCGAUGAUGAGCCUGAUGAUGAAUAGGGAUAGUGGGUCACAUUGUUCUAUAGCGCGAUCAUGGUUGAUCCAUGCACGUGGGAUCCAAUUGAUCAUCAAACGGGUUGAGGCGGAGGAGGGGAGUAAGGAGAUCCACUCUCCCUAAUGAAGGGAAAAGAUCAUGUGUUGGACAGUCUCUAGGAGGAAUGGCCAUGCUACUGAGUCAAAUGCAUGUGCAAUAUCGAUCUUGAGCAGCAUUCGAGUGACUUUGAGGUUGUUCAGACNNNNNNNNNNNNNNNNNNNNNNNNNNNNNNNNNNNNNNNNNNNNNNNNNNNNNNNNNNNNNNNNNNNNNNNNNNNNNNNNNNNNNNNNNNNNNNNNNNNNNNNNNNNNNNNNNNNNNNNNNNNNNNCAGCAGGCACGUCAUCUGCUCGAGGAGCAAGAAGGUGUCAUGGAUGUCGCGGCCGACUAUGGAUGCGCUUUGGUUGGUGGAAACAAUGGAUCGAAGUCAGGGAGUGAUCCGAGGUGAGAUAGCCUUGGCAAAAUCCUUGGUGAUGGUAGGGCGAUUCUGAUUGGCCAAUAAUGAGAUGAGGACUCCACACCGGCUCGACUCCGCACCCGGCUCUUCGGGAGGAGGCCGAGCAACACCUCACUGAGCUUACAUAAUCUUUGCCGAUUCAUUUCGUGAAUCUUGCCGAGGACACUGCAUAGGUCAUGCUUAAUGAUCUCCCAUCCACUGCAAAGAAAUUUAGUGCUAAACCCAUCUAGACAGGGCGCCUUUUCCAAGAUCAAGCUUUUGAUGGCUUUUCCAAGGUCAAGCUUUUCAUGGCUAGCCAUAUGUUAUCCUCUAGUAAGGGGCAUGGAUGUAAAAGGGUCGAACAUGCACCAUGCUGAGGUCCAUGGUAUACGGUCGUUCCUCGAAGUUUCCCAAGGCGGUAGUGUAGUGGUGAAAGGCGGCCUCCGCCAUGAUUACAGGAUCGGGGACCGAGACAUCACACUCCUUGAACUUGACCAUCCCAUUUUUUUUUCUUGUGUUGGCUUCAUGGCUAUCAAAAAAGUCUGGCCUCACAUCUCCAUCCUGAAGGCAGGAGAAGGGUGCACCCUUAAUAUGGCAAAGAAGCAAGGCCUCGAGCCAGGAGAGAGGGUGGAAAUUCGGUGCCUGAUUGAGGCGCGUGAUGAGCUUGUUGGCGGCCUGGAUUGGGCGCCAGAUAUGGCGAAUGGACCAUGGGCUCCAACUUUGUAGUUGUUGCGUCAUUCUCUUAAGAUGAGUCAUGAUCGGCUAGAAGGGUUCAGGGUCACAUAUGUGCAUAAUUCCUGAAUGACAUAUAUGUUGUCGUCAAUACGUGGCCAAAGGUGCUUAAAGUGGAAUCUUCGAGGCCUAGGAGUAUGUGUCGUGCAUUGAAACCAGAUGGGACUGUAGUAGUCAAACGUUGCUAUGGGGAGGCAUCAGUGCUGGCAAUAUGGGUGUGUAAGGGACCAACCCAAGGUACAUAACACUGGUCAAUGUGUGUGUGCAUCCGAGAGUCGCACUCGCUGGACCAAGUGUAGCAGCGACCAUGAGAGUAUAGAGCACAUAGCUCCUCAUCAUUAAAGGAUCAGAAGGAAUGGGACAUCAUCCAACAAUUAAAGUCUACAUUGUUUUUGUUUGACACUGAUGUGAUCAUGUUAAAAUUGCCUCGAAGAAGCCAUGGGACUGUACAAGAGGCAGGGAAGUCCUGAAUAUUAGCGAGAAAUACAGUCUUGUCCUAGUCCUACCGAGGACGGUAGACCCUGUUGAUCGACCAAUGUUGGCCUCCAGAGGGUGGGGAAACCGCAACCUUGAUAUCGCGUGCUCCCCCACAUAAGCAUUCUCGAUUCUAGAGGGUCACAAUAUCAUCGCGCCACACCAGAAUAAUGUCGCUUCGAAUGUAGUUGGCAGGAAGAAAAAAGAACUCUUUGAAAGAGGGGGCCGAGAAAGUCGCGCACUAUGAGAGGAGAGCGAUGGUUUCUUGCAAACAUAAAAUACAAGGGGCGGUAGGAGGUAAAAAGUUGUGACCGUCCAUGAGCUUCGUCGAGGAGUCAAGACCACGCACCUUCCAAAUGAUUAUUUGGAGGUCUCUAUCCAUUGGAAAAUGAUGUUCCACGGGAAAGGGAUGGGAGAGCCCAAGCCAAAUCGACCAUGCGAUGUUGUGGAUGGGCGGGGACAACAAGGACAUCCGCAAAGUCUGGUAUCUGCAAGCUAAAGAGGCAUGUCAAGGCCUACAUGACGUCAUCUGCAAAUGCUCAUUCGAACAAGUGCAUGUAUUUCACCAAGAUUUCCUCUGAGAUGGGUACAUGAACAACAUGCUUACCUAGGAAAUCAACUUCACCUCACUGUCCAGAACACAAUCAUACUUGGCGAUUAGCUCACUCCCACAUGGAAAAAUUUAGGAGGCAACUUCUUCCGGCAUCUGUCUAGGGCUGUCAUGGGAAGAAUAAUUUAAAUAGUGUUUUAAAUGUUUGCCAGGAAUGGAUCAAUAGUAGCAGGAGUAGAGGAGUUAGUCGGCUCAUGUAGGACGUUUGGCCGUCCAUUAGAGGCUUGCGGUGCAUGGUGCGAGUAAUCCAAUUUAUCAAUGACGCGUGGUGGACACUCAGUGGCAAUCGUCGCGACCGAGCAAGCCACCUCGUGUGAGGCACAUGGUGGAUCCCCAGGUACCAGGGGAUCCAUGUGGAUGGCAUAUAGAAUAUCUGCUUGUGCGGGCCUAGGCACGACCAAUGACUCAAUGGUGGGUGUGCUUGUCAUUGAGGGAGCAGCUGGUGCUAGGAUCUAUACCUCACUGGGAGGGCAUGGGUGCACAUCCAAUCCCGGCUUAGCAACUUAGUCACAUGGGGGACUGACAGGUCAUUGACCCCGCCUCUGCCGGCCUGAAGGGCUCAAGGAGGGACGGGGUUCGGGUGAAAAAUGACAUGCAUGUCCUAAAGCACUCGAGCAGUGCUUGUCUUGUCCCCUAGAGAGUGGAAUCCUUCUGGGAGCUUUACCUGGUCUUCACUUUUUGAAUUUGAAUCAUGGGUGUGCAGGAUGGGGGGCGAGAUACUGAGGCAUUGGGAAACUAGGCGGCGUAGGCACAUCACGCGCCCCCAGCGGGAGAGCACACAGUGGACCCCGACUCCUUUUCAAUGUCAAAACGGUCGGUCCAGUAUCUGGGCACAAACAUGAAGAUAACAUUUCCAUGUCAUCUUCACAAGUGGGAUGGUUUCCAAGGAUCCCAUACCAACACUUCAGGGACAAAGGGCUAACAACACGUUCUCAUCAUGUCAGUGAGCCAUGAAGGUGGUCAUUAUGACUGUGAGGAGAGCCUCCACCAUAGCCGAUAGGAGAGGGAUGUUCGUACUGCCUAGGUCACAGAGCUGGGUAUGGUGGGGAUGAAACAGAGCGGUCACCAUCCUCGUUGGGAUCAUCCUUCAAUGAGCAACCUACACUAGUGGGGACAUGGGUGGAUGGUGGUAGUCUUCGUAGAGAGAGACAUGAACAUGUAUAGGAUAACUCAACAUGUCCAGUGCCACCCGCUCAACAUAGUUGGGUUCACUAUCUGCAUUCAUUGCGUUUGGGAUGACGAGGAAGAGCAUCAUAGCACGGGGGUAUUGGGGUUCACCAUCGAGGUCGUGAUGCAAAACUUGUCCAUGCACGACUUGAGCCUCUUCUCUGAUGUGAGGUCCAUGAUCGUGGAAUGGUUGGAGAGAAGAGUCGGUACGGUGGAGAAAUGCCAAGCGUUGUUUAUAAUGUUGGUCGUCUUGAUGUGGACGUGGAACACGGUGCACACAUGUUCCAGACUAGUCCUGACUUUGACAAAGUGGAUGAGGAAUUCCAACGGUAGGUGACAUGGAGAAGCUAUCGACAAGAGGGUUCAAGGGUCAUGGUUGGCGUUGGUGACCUCCACGCACAAGACCCAAAUCGGCUUCCCGCAAUCAUAGCCAGUUGGGUGAGUCGCAAUUGACAUCGAUCCUCUUCUAUCUGGGAUGAUCAUUGGAGGUAGCAGUCACACUUUGUCGGCUUGAGCAUGGGGUGGCCCGACAAGGCAACUAAGGGUGAGGUGGACCGAGGCGGCGAAGGUGGGAGUAGCGCAGCGGCCGCGGUGCUCCUUGAGAGCAUGUGCUGCCGUAGUCCAGCCACCAAUGAAGUCGAAUAAAGGUAGAAGGACCAUGCAAAUGCUUGGUCGAUGGUGACCUCCCCAGAGACGGGGCACGGGGGUUUGUGCAGGGGAGCGUGAUCUACCUUAGUGGUCAUAGCGCCUAUAGUGGAUGUCACAUCUACACUCGACCCUCGGGCGUCCGGUGUAUUGGCAAUAGGGCAGACCUUUGACAUCGGGGAUGACGGACAUUGGAUGGAGGGAUUGGAUGGGUGCCAUAGGCCACUAGCGAUGUGGAUGAUGACGUUAGUGAUGACCAUCCCUCUCUGUCCUCUGUCGCCCAAUCGCCUCGUGCCUGAUAGAUCUCAAAGUAGAGUACAUGCCAAGAGGGCGACGGUGGUGCAACCGCGCCCAACGAGGCCGCAACACCGAAGAUGGGGAGUUGUCCACUCAGGGCUUCAUGGUAGGAGCACGGCAAGGACUCCUUCAAGGACAAGAUGGACUCGAGCCACGUGUCCGCCCGGGCGCGACCAUGCACAGUCGAGGGACGAGAGGCCAUGAGAGGGUAAGGGUGCUAGGUGUUAGGGUAAAGAUGUUAGGUGGAGGGAAGUGGUGGACACUGAGGCCGAGCAGCCGUCGGCGAGGGAUGCUAGGAGAGGGAUAUACGACAUGUCACGUACCAUAGGUGACGUGCAAAAGGAGUUACCAUUCACGGCUUCUGGGAUAAGGAUUUUUUUUUUGUAAACCAAAUACUAGCCGUGUUCAAUUCCUACACCCUGAACUGAGACACUCCUUCACGUAUGUGUAUAUAAGCUUGCUCUUGAGGAGCAGUUGCACAUUUCAGUCGGUGUACCAUCAUUCAAGUCUGGGCGUGAAGACUUGGUAUUUGUCAGAGUUGACGAUGACUUUCUCGGUCUUUGUGAUGGCUUCACAUCCUUUCGAGGGGCGCAAUUCCCUUCAAGUGCUUUGGUAUUCAAGCUAUAGUCUACUUUUUCUUUGUCCGUAGCGUUUUGGUUUUCUUUAAGCUCCUUGCAUCGGCUCUUGUGAUUUUGUAUCCACGUUUUCUUUUCUUUCCUAAUUGUACGGUUUGACUUCCUCCUGAUCGGUUGAUGGCUUUGUAAAUUCGAAGUCGAAUUAUGUUCGAGCCUUAUCUCAUGCUUUCAUUAUGCAUUAUAUAUAUAUAAAAUAAUUAUAACAAGAAUCUCUUUCAUCCCAUUCUAUUGUACACAAUGAAAUAUGGUGUGGGGGCUGCCUUGGUUUCCAUCCCCUAACAAUCUGGCGAAAUCCAUGCCGCCACCGUCAUCGGCCUUCAUGUCGGCCGCGUGUGGCAAGUCCUUCGCUCUCACUCUCACGCGGGACAUCGGAGUUGUUGCAGCCUCGUCCGUCGAUCGGUAUGCAGGGGUCAUUUUGGCCCGUGUCCCUGUCGUAGGGGAGGGGGACUCCAGGUGCCCUAACCCCUCACGCAAGAAGUUCCCUCGCCGGAUUACAAAAACCCAUCUAGGUUUCGGGUGAGGUAGCCGAGAGGACAUAUCAAUUCGCCUGAGAGAGUCUACGCCCCCAAUCUGAUCUCUUGCCGACAAGCAUGUCAGCGGCCUCGCAGAACUCGGGCAAGUCGCUAGUGGCUUCCAAUGUGAAAUUGGAGGUGGGUUGGGGCGCAUAUGGGGCUCCCUCUGUGGAUGCUGCUCCCCCGAAGCCUCCCUUCGGGGAUCUAAAGUGGCCACACGAGUAAAUCCAAGGCUGCAAAGCUAGUGGUCUGGGAUCAACUCGAAACAAAAGAGUCGAUAGGCUCGUCGCCGACAGAGCACGAAAGCGGAGACCAGAAUGGAGAAGGACAGGAGGAAACCUCCUUCAGGGAGGACCCUGAGGACAACGCAGGGCUGGUGGAGGUGGAGCUUGAGGAAGAAGGUAUCCUACAACAUCCUGAACACCCGUGAGCUGUGAUCAUGCUUGUGUACUCCCUGGAGCAGACGUUCCCUUUUACUCUGUCUGAGAACAUUGUGGGAGGAUGAGGUUCAAGGAGGUUUUUGACUAUGCUUAUGAGGGAGACCACAAGUACUUGGUACACUUUGGCGGUAAGGCAAACAUUGCUCGUGUCCUCCAAGGAGGGCCAUGGCAGUAGGAGCAUGAUCUGCUGCUCAUCGAGGCAUACGAUGGUAUGAGGAAUGUUUCUAACUACACCCUGAACACGAUGAUAAUAUGGGUGCUAUCCUGAAUGUGCCCAUGAGCUGGAGGACCGAGGCCAUGGUUCGUGCGUUGUGUGUCAUCCUGGGUACCAUCCUGCAAACUGAGCUGGAUGGGGAUACGGGCAACUAUGUUCGUGUUAGAGUGGCGAUCCUAGUCAACCGUAUGUUGGAGACUACAAUCGCCAUGUUUGCCACGCUGAAGGAGCACAGGACAAAAAUUGAGUUCUAGAUCUAGUGUGAAAAGCUGUCGAAUAUUUGUUACUCAUGCGGCUCGGGCACGAGGAGAAAUCCUCUGGCAGAAGGGGUAGUGGAGGAGCUCCUUCUCGCAAAUUCAGUGGCAAGCUCCGUUGCACACUGCCACGACGAUUCGGUAGACAGACCGGAAUUGUAAAAGCCAAGGCUAACACAACGACCUUUAGGGGACGUGAUUUCUCCUUGGAGAGGAUAGGUUCUACACGUCAUGGAAGAGGUGGAAUGGGGUGCGCAGGUCAGACGGUAGCUCGGUGCGGCGCCCAAAGGACAAACCUGACCACAACACCGGAAACCGAGUCGUUGAUGAGAUGCUUGCCGCAAAGAUGCUGGUGAUGCCUCGGACCAGCACAGAUACUGCAAAUACAGGUGCUGGCGACAAUGCUCCCAGGAUCCAGAUUUCAACACAACUUCAAGCGGGCGUGGAUAUGGCUGAGGAGUCACUCCCACAAACUUCAGAUAUGAUCCGUCCCAUACAUAACUUAUCCCAUGAUCUGAGCAUAGAUGAUGUAGUCAUAUCACACGAGGUGUCAACCCUCGCAAAGCAUGCAACGACAGGGUCCAGAUUGCUAGCACAGGUGGAGAUGGUGGUUGGCAAGCACUGGUGGUUUACCGCAACACAACAAACUCUAAUGAUUGUGUGAUUUCAGGCACUCCAAAGAAAUGCAGGACUACUGUAUCGCUGGAUGGGUAGCACACUCAUGUUGGAGAUGGGAUGACAGACCAGGACAUGGUGGACAGGUCUUACACACAGGAGGAAGUCGGCCUAGGCGCCGCUGACGAACUGAUAGGGCCGGCGGCGCCCCGUUAGGAGCAAUGAAUAUCCUAAACUCGAACUGUCGAGGGGGAGGGAACCCUCGGACAGUUCGUAAUCUUGUGAGCUUAGUCCAAGCUCAUUCCCCUAGUAUCGUUUUUUGUGAAACUAGGCAGCCAAAAAGUAAAAUUAAGCGAUCGUGUGCUCGUUUACCUUUGAGAGGAUUUGAUGCUUUUGAUUGUAAAGGUCUUAGUGGUGGUCUUGCCCUAUACUGGGAUGAGUCAUUCAAUCUUGAUGUAAAAGUAACAAAUGAACGAUAUAUUCAUGCGUACGUGACUAGAGUGGAGGGUGAGCCCCCCUGGAGGCUUACUUGUGUCUAUGGUGAACCUUGGCUGGAGGAUUGUCAUCACAUGUGGGCACUGCUACGGAAUCUCCAUCAACAUGCAUGUAUGCCGUGGGUAGUGAUGGGUGACUUCAACGAAGCGAUGUAGAGUUUUGAGCACUUCUCCAACACCCGCGCUCUGUAGGUCAGAUGAUUGAUAUUCGAGAUGUUCUUGAAGUCUGUGGUUUAGACGAUCUUAGUUUUGCAGUCCUUCCCUAUACAGUUGACAACCAUCGUGGAGGCCGCACAAAUGACAAGGUUCGCCUCGACCGGGUUGUGGCUAAAAACGCUUGGAGGGACGUGUUCGGCCAUGCUAGGGUGGAGCACUUGGUGGCCCCGAGCUUCGACCACCUGGCCAUCAUUCUCAAGUGCGCGCCGGAGGAACCACACCAUCAAGAAGGAAGACGGUGUCGUCAAUACGAGGUCAUGUGGGAAUGGGACCCCUCCCUCCCUAGGUAAUAAUGAAUGAAUAGAUUGAACUGGGUGCAUUGCUGCACUUAGGUGAUGUUGCAAGUGUUCUUGGGAAUGUGUUGAAGAAGUUGCAAGCAUGGAGUCCCAAAAUUUUUGGUAAUGUUAUUAAGGAUAUUAACAAAUCAUGCGCUUGCCUCAAGGAGCUUAUGUCUACAGAAAGGAAAGAGAUACGGAAAGACACCGACAGAAUGAACGAACUGCUUUAUAGAGAGGAGAUGUUGUGGAUGCAGCGAUCACAUAUCGCUUUGCUGUGGGAAGGCGACCGCAAUACCAAGUUUUUCCAUUGGAAGGCUGUGUGGAGAGCACGAAAAAACACAUAAAAGUCCUCAUUGAUGAUGACUGCGCUGCACAUCAGGAGCAUGAUUCCACUGUGGGCAUGGCUACAACAUACUUUGCCAAACUCUUUGCUGCUGACCCUUCCCUCGAUGCGGAUCCAGUAAUUAAUCUUAUUAACCGUCGAGUGUCUAACCACAUGAAUGAUGGAUUGUGUGCAGAUUUCUCUCAUAAGGAAAUUGCCGAUGCUCCGUUUCAGAUUGGACCACUGAAGGCGUCGGGCCCUGAUGGCUUUCCUGCCCGCUUUUUCCAGCGUAAUUGGAUGUGAUGGAAGUCCAGGUAACAAACGGGUUUAAAAAAUUCUUUUGGCCAGGAAUUAUGCCCGAGGGGUUGAACAACAACUCUAUUGUUCUGAUCCCAAAGGUGGAUAAUCCCGAGAGACUCGCGGAGUUUUGCCCUAUCAGCCUAUGUAAUGUCAUAUACAAGGUGGUGGCUAAAUGUCUGGUAAACCGUCUGAGGCCUAUACUGGAUGAUAUCAUUUCACCGGAGCAGAGCGCCUUUGUUCCUGGUUGUAUGAUCACUAAUAAUGUGUUGACUACUUUUGAGUUCUUCCAUUCUAUUCAAAAGGAGAAGGACCCAAGCAAGAGUUUCUUUGCGUACACGCUGGACUUCUCCAAAGCAUAUGAUAGGGUGGUCUAGAUCUUCUUGGAGCGAAUGAUGCCAAAGAUGGAUUUCGCUCGCCGAUGGGUGGACUGGAUUAUGGCUUGCGUCACCUCGGUAAGAUAUAAAGUGAAAUUUAAUGGAAGCCUUCUGGAAUCGUUUGCACCAUCGCGAGGGCUGCAGCAAGGUGAUCCUCUGUCCUCAUUCUUAUUUCUGUUUGUGGUUGACGGGCUAUCUGCUCUACUAAAAGAAAGUGAGGAAAAAGGUGAUCUCACACUGCUAAAAGUGUGCCACAGAGCCCCAGGUGUGUCUCAUUUACUGUUUGCCGAUGAUACAUUACUAUUUUUUAAGGCUGAUCAGGAAGAAUCCCUCAUUGUCAAGGAUGUGCUAAAUACAUACUCGAAGGCCAUGGGACAAUUCAUCAACCCCGCCAAAUGCAGUGCUAUGUUUGGUUCGACAUGUGACUUGGGAAAACAAGAUGAUGUGCGAACAAGUCUGAACAUUGGCACUGUUACAUUUGAGGAGAAAUAUCUUAGGCUCCCAACGCCCGAAGGAGGCAUGCCGAGAGGUAAAUUCCAGAAUCUGCAAUCUCAUUUACUGAAGAGGAUCAUAGCUUGGGGGGACACCCUAUCUUUGGCUGGCAAGGAAACCAUGAUCAAAGCAGUUGCUCAAGCUAGUCCCACAUAUAUCAUGGGCAUAUUUAAGCUCCGUAUGUCAUUGUGUGAUGACCUGAAUAGGAUGGUUUGCAACUUCUACUAAGGUGCCUCCGAGGGGAAAAGGAAGACGCACUGGCUGGCUUGGCUGAAGAUCGAGGCUCAGAAAUGCAAGGUGGGCUUGGGGUUUAGAGACUUUCUCCUUUUGAACCAGGCCCUCCUGGCGAGGGCCUGCUUACUAAACCUACCAAUUUAUGUGCGCAGGUUUUAAAGGCUCGCUACUACCAUGAUGGUUGCCUUGAGGACACGGUGUUCUCGGGGAACGCUUCCCCGGCCUGGUAGGCUAUCCAGCACGGCCCCGAGCUCCUAAAAAGGGCAUCGUCUAGCGAGUCGGCAACCACAAGGACAUCCGCGUGUGGCGAGAUCAUUGGCUGCCGUGAGAACCCUCCUACCGCCCCAUCACUCUGCAGGUGACCUGCCGUAUACGAGGGGUGGCUGAGCUCCUCGACGCUAAUGGUUCCUGGCCUACUGUCGUACUCCAGCGACACUUCUUGCCGGCGGACUUGGUCGUCAUCACCUCCACCAGGACUUCACCAUGCAUCAUAGAGGAUAUCAUUGCCUAGGCACCGGAGAAGAACGGUAUCUUCACCGUUCGAUCCGUGUACCGCCUAGCAAUGGACGAGCGCGAGCGUCCAUUGGCCACCGCCACGAGCAGGGCACCUGAUGGUCGUCGCGCCAUUUGGAAGAUCAUAUGAGGGUGCCCUGCUCCCCUAAAGGUACGCAUUUUUGCAUGGAGGGUCCUCACGAAUUCUCUUGCCACUUGGACCAAUAAAGCUUCAUGACAUCUUGAGGUGACUGAUGUUUGUCCCCUAUGUGGUGUUGAACGCGAGGAAGGCUUCCACGCGCUCUGCAGGUGCCCACUAGCGAAGGAUCUAUGAAGGCUCAUGGCGCUGGACUGGAACAAUACCCAAGGUGGAGGCCAUUUGUGACACAAGUCCGGAGUGUCUCUUCACACUGCUGGAACCCCUGGACGAGACGUCAAGGCUGGUGGUUCUCAUGACCAUGUGGAGGGUGUGGCAUGUGCGGAAUAAGGUUUCCCAUGACAAGCCCCCACCACCGGCUGAGUCUUGUCGCCGGUUCCUGCAGAGCUACAUCAAGUCCUUGCUAUGUAUCUAGUAGUAUCCGACGGCCAAUAUGGAGAAGGGGAAGAUGGUGGUCUGCACUAACCCAUCGAGGAAGAAGUCCUGCAGGGUGCCUCCGGAGCGGCCCUGUUGGACUCCCCCUGCUACGGGCUUGGCCAGACUCAACAUGGACGACAACUUUGUUGCAGCUACAGUAGCGGCGGGAAGCGGCAUGGUCCUCCGUGAUGAUCGAGGGAAUAUCAUCUUUAGCGCUUGUAGGCAAAUCCGUACAUGUGAUAGUGCGCUAGCUAGAAGCGGAGCUCUUAGCCUAUAGAGAAAGCAUCGACCUUGCACUACAUAGGACCAUGAUGCCUAUCAUCGUGGAGACGGACCGUGCAGAGGCGGUGGCGAUGCUCAAAGCACUCGCAACGAACAGAUCGCCUCUCCGAUCUCUAAUUGAAGAGAUCAAAAGCCUAGCUGAACGCCAUGUUCGAGAGUUUGUCUUUUUAAAAUGUAGUCAUGCGUAGAACAUCACGAGUCAUGACCGCAGUACCACCAGUACGGCCGGCAGUCAGAUUUGCUGGAGGGCCGGAUUUUUUUGUAAGCAUGAUCACGGCUGAAAGGACACCGUAACAAAUGAGAAUAUUUUUUUCCCCGAAAAAUAACAAUCUUUUUCAACCGCUGGGUAAACCAAAUCCUAGCGGGGUGCAAUUCCUAGAAACUGAACUGAGACACUUUUCAACUUAUGUGUAUGUAUAUAAGACCAAAAGUUUUGAAAACGAAUCACUUGAUGAAUUAUAAGCAUCGACAUAGUAGUAUUUACUUUUGAAACGAAACGUGUGCAUAAUAAGAAGCAAAGAAACGACAUAGUAACGCACCUAAAGCGCGCGACAUGGCAAGCCCCCCAACGCGCAGCUGCUCGUCGCUGGAGCGCCACACUUUGCCUCCGGCCGCCUUGACGCGCGCCCUCUCGUCCGCCCGCUCCAGCUGCAUCAACGGAUCGUCGGUCAAGCUCAAAAUCUGUCCGCCAUCACCGGAGCGGACCACCAGAGGAGAUUAAUCUCACCUUGUGGUCCUCGGACAGCGGGAUUGCAUGACCGGCGCGGCAGAGCACGGCGCGGGAGUCGCCGCAGUUGGCCACGAGGAUGCUGCCGCCGACCACCAGCGCCACCACGGCAGUCGACCCCACGACGGGCCAUCCCGAUUCCGACAGCCCCAUCCCCAGUGCGUCCGCCCGCUCGAAGCUCCGCUUCAGCGCCGCCUCCCACGCGCGACGCUCCGCCUCUUCGUCCUUCUCCGGGUGCUCCUUCCGGUAUGCCGUCGCCGCCACCGCCAGCUCCUCCGCCAGGAUGGCGUGCAUCUGGUCCCUGCACAGGGCCGACACCUGCACCGCCACGGACGAAGCAAAUCAAAUCACACGGUGUCGUAGGGUAGGGCGUAGAGAUGUGUCGAGCACUCCGCGUGGGGAUGGCCAAGGAGAGCGGAGGUUACCCUACCCUGGGUCCGCCGUGGCCAUCGAAGACGGCGAAGAAGUGCAUGGGAGAGCCGUCGACCCAGGCGCAGAAGAAGGGGCGCAGCGACACGGUGUCCUCCAUCAUCUUCCCGUCAUCGUCCUGCCCCUUCUGCGAUGCCGACCCGAACGCCAGCGGCCACACCGCCGCCGCUGCAGGUGCAGGUGGCUGUGGGAGCGCCGGCACCGCGCGGGAGCUCUCCCCUUCCUCGGCACCCGUCAGGUACCCGUCUGAACCCUCCGAGGACGCGUAGUACCCUGACGAUGGCGGUGGGGACUGCAGCUCGCCUCCCUCGGAGGCCACGGCAGCGUCGGCUCCCUGCUCGCCGGCGGCAGGCACGUUGUUCAGCCCUCCGUUGCCCAUCACCACAGAUCUAUCACGGCAAGGGGAGGAGCAGAUUGUGCAGAAUGCGCGUUGGUCCGGAAGAGACUGCGGGUAGCGAAGCAGUUUUGUGUAACGUUAAAUUGCAGGCGGCGGACACAUGCCGACGCCGUUUCUUAUCUCUUGAUUAAUGUUUGAUGAUUUUCUCCUUAUCUCUUUUGUCGAUCUCAGGUCGGUGCCGCGGUCAGAGCAUUCGCCGUUCGUAGUCUAUCUUUAGGAUUUGGAGAUAUAUCGCUGCAUCUAUUCUCACUCCCCGUGUAAAUUAAUGACAUGCAUUUAAUAUCGUUGGCAUAUUUUGAAUGAUUGAUAUCUUCUGAACUAAGUAUUUUCUUUUUUUAAGUUUUUAAUACACUUGAAUUCGGAACAAGAAGAAUUCCAGAGCCAGACCAAUAUUGGAUAUAUUUGAACUGUAUUUUUAUUUUAUUUGUUUCGACUAUCUUUGAAAUUAGUUUCAUAAAGCAUUGCAUUCUUCCACUAUUUGAAAAAGAAGUGACAUCGACUAUUUCACUACUUGAAGAAAAUUGAUUUCUACUAUGUGAAAACAUCCAUUUCAAUUUUUAUUUCUAAGAAGCCGCGUUUCAAUUAUUUCACUAAACCCAUUUCAUCUAUUACAUUAAAAUAACGAUUUUAUUUCUUUUAUAAGACCAAUUUGCAUGGAACUGGGGCUACGUCGCUGGUGGGGGACACGCGUCGAGGCCGUUUCUUCUGCAUUUAUUGCUCUUUAUUAAUGUUUCAUGGUUUUCUCCAUAUCUCUUUUGGAGAUCUCAGGUUGGUGCCACGGUCCGAGCAUUCGCCGUUCGUUGUCUAUCUUUACGAUUAGAUAUAUCAGUGCAUCUAUUCUCUCCCCUCGUAUAAAUAGCAUGCAUUUAAUAUCAUUGUCAUAUUUUGAAUGAUGGAUAUCUUCUAAAGUGAAUAUUUGUUUUUUAAGUUUUUUAUAUACUUAAUCCAUAAUGAGAAGAAUUUUAAAGCUAGAUCAAUAUUGGAUAUAUUUGAANNNNNNNNNNNNNNNNNNNNNNNNNNNNNNNNNNNNNNNNNNNNNNNNNNNNNNNNNNNNNNNNNNNNNNNNNNNNNNNNNNNNNNNNNNNNNNNNNNNNNNNNNNNNNNNNNNNNNNNNNNNNUAUUGGAUAUAUUUGAAAUGUCUUUCUAUUUUACUACCAAAAAUAUCCAAGGGUUCGCCCGCAUGGGCUAGCCCAAUAAAUAUGCUCCUCGUUUGACUGGUUCCCUAGCUUCCGCCCUAUUUUCCUGGUUGAUGUCCCUGGCUCCAGGGUUGGGGCCACCUCAAUUCAAGGGUAUUCAUUUGAAUAUCUAUUAUUUUUGUCAAAAAACUAGGUGUAUAUAGUGUAUAUUCUGUGUUGUAUAAGAAAAAAUGAAACUGGUACACAAGAACAUGCUAGUUAAGCAUUUCAGCCCAAAUACAAAGGCAGCCCAUAGUGUCUAUUUCUCCCUCACCACCACGACAGGGUGCAUAUGGCCCAGAUUGGUAGAAAAAAUAAUCCAUCAAACCCAUUGAUCGAUUUGAGGGCACCGAACCGGUGGCGCCGCCCUGCCUUCCACUCUUCUUUCGUUUGCAUCGCACGCGAUUCGUGCCGCCAACCGCCUGAUCGGCACCCAUGAAGGGUAGGCCCCAGAUCGGCGAUCGAUCGCCAACGAAUCCAUCUCUGUCCCUUGAUCCCUUGCCCCCCUUUUGGUUCUUAAGUUUCUAACCGUUGCACACUAAUGUAGCCGACGGGUUAGCAACAUGAUUGCAGGAAUUAAUUCAGUUCGUAGCCACGACCCGAAUUCAGCUAUUGCAGGUAUAAUUGCUAAUUACAUGUACUAAUCAUCUGACCACGAAUUAAACUAUACAAAGUGUUCUAACUGAAUUUAUUUAUCAUUCUCGAAUUGAAUUCAGUAAGCACGAUACAAAAGUCUUCUAACUGAAUUUAUCUGUCAUUGUCGUGUCGAACUGAACUCAGUCAGCACUAUACAAAGUGUUAUAACUGAAUUUUUCUAUCACUAUAGAACUGAAUCCAGGCCACAUGGGAUCGAUUUUGUUCUCACAUUGUUCAGCAGNNNNNNNNNNNNNNNNNNNNNNNNNNNNNNNNNNNNNNNNNNNNNNNNNNNNNNNNNNNNNNNNNNNNNNNNNNNNNNNNNNNNNNNNNNNNNNNNNNNNNNNNNNNNNNNNNNNNNNNNNNNNNNNNNCCAGCAGGCUGCAGUACAUAAGUGCAAGACUGAAUAAGUUAGUUUGACCACUGACUAGUUGUUUUUGGGUGUCAUUGAUAGGCCACUUCACAAUCUCAAUAACAGUUUUGAUGAGGUAAACACAGAGCUGCUUAGAUGCGUGUCAUCAUUCAGUCCAGCCAAGUCAUUUUCUAAUUUUAAUAUUGAUGACUUGGUUAAGCUUGUUGGGUUGUAUCCUCAUGAUUUUUCCUUGGAAUAAAUUCACCAAUUUCCUUUUCAACCGGCUCUCUAUAUUAGUGAUGUGAGGAAUGAUGAAAACUUCACAAACUUGAGAAGUCUAGUAAAGUUGUCUAUGAUGCUUGUUAUAACAGGGAGCUAUCUUCGGUAUGGGAUUGUUUACAAACUUCUCAAAUUGGUGCUAGUUCUUCCUGUUGUAACAUCUGGUGUUGAGAGAGUCUUCUUAUCAAUGAACUAUAUAAAAAACAAGCUAAGCAGCAAGAUGGGGCAAAAGUACUUGAAUGAUUGCUUGGUGACAUUCAUUGAAAGGGUUUUUUCUUGGAAGUUAAGGCUGAGGAAAGCAUCAAGGACCGUAAAUUUAUCCUCUAGUUUUUAAGGUUUCUUAUCAUUUGCUAUCUAUAUCCUCUAUAUACCCUAGAUUUUGCCACGGUGUGUUCAACAAUUUUUAGUUCUAUAUGUUGAACAAAACCAAAUUUGCCGCAAUGUGUUGAACAAAUUUUAGUUCUGUAUGUUGAACAAAACAAAAUUAUGAUCAAUUUUUAUGAAUAUAAUACAUUCUACGAUGUCUUUUAUAUAGUUUAGAAUUGGUAUAAUAUGCUGCUAUAAUUAGUUAUAUGUGCCAAAAUUAAGGUUGUAGGCUUCAAAAAAAGAUUUUCAAAUUUGAAUACACAAUGUUCAAUUCCUGGGCCGGCCCCUGCCUGGCUCGCUAUACUUUCUAAUUGUCGCCUCGCUAAGCUUCGUUUGGCUCUUUCCUUUGUACCGCUCGCUUAUGAAAAUUGCUUAUAGUUUUAUUUUGGUUUUGAAUACUUUGGUGAGAUAGAAUAGAUUCCUACAACAAAAUGUUUAUGAUUCCAAAAAAGUUGGCUAAUUCGAAAAUUAAACCUGUGUAUUCGAAUAUAUAUCACAAAAUUGAAAAUAUAUCCAUGAAUUCAAAUAAUGUUACAGAUUCAUAAAAGUUAAUUGAUAUGAAAAAGCUCAUGGAUCGGAAAAGUUCUCUAACUUGAAGAAAAUCGUGAAUUUGGAACAAUGAUUGCAAAUUUAAAAAAUUCAAAAAUUUGCCAAAUUUUGAUGUUUCAAAAAUCAUUCAUGGAUCAGAAAUGCAAAAAAUUGAAAACAAAUCAGGAAUACGAAAUAUGUUUGUGAAAUUUAAAAAUCUUCACGAACAUUCAAGACAAUCACAAAAGAAAAUAAAAUAAAAUUUUAAGGUGUCAUGUAUUUUAUAUUUCACAAAUUAUAAAAUAAAAUAUUUAAAAAUAUUAAAUUUAUAAGGAAUCAAAAAAGGAAAAGUAGACUCAAGUAAAUAACAGUAAAUAAAUAAACCGAAGCAACCCAAAACUGAUUGAAGCUUUUUUGUUUAUAGAAAGUGGAUUGGUAUGCAGGCAUGCGUUGUGUUUGGUAACUCAUGGAUCAGAAAUGUAAUACUUCCUCCGUCCAGAAAUACUUGUCCUAAAGAUGAAUGUAUCUAGACUUAUUUUAGUUAUAGAUACAUCCAUUAUAUCCAAUUCUAGGACAAGUAUUUUCGGACGGAGGGAGUAGUCAAAAAACCGGAAUACAAAAUAUGUUUGAGAAAUUGAAAAAUGUUUAUGGAUAGAAAAAAACGAUUCAAAAUGAAAAUAAGUUAAUUAAAUUAAAAGUAUGAUGAAUUUUAUAUUUUUAGAAUUAAAAUAUCUGAUAUUUCAAGUGUUAUUUUUAAAAGGAACCAUAAAAAGGGAGAGUCAAGUAAAUAACUAAAAACAAAACCGGCGGGAAGCAUCCCAAAAUUGAUGGAAGCUUUUCAGUUCUAAGAAACUGGAUGGGGAUGCAUGCAUGCGUUGCGUUUGUCUGCGAUUUUCAAUUAUGGCGUCAUGCUUAGGUCCGCCUCUGGUCAUAUGUCAUGUGUCCUCAAAUCGGGAUCAAAGACACUACUCGGCAAACAGGAAAUGCCCGCUCAGUCGGGGGUAUUCUUCGUUCAGUUGGUUGAUAGUCGACUGGUCAACUGUUGACCAUAGAAAAAAAUACCAGAAAAUUUCAUAAAAAUGAAAAGAAAAUGAAAUUUUGAAAAACAAUCAAAGAUUAUGAAAAUUUUGAUAAAUUUACAGAAAAUCACAAUUUUUCUCAAAUUUUCAAAAAAGUUAAUAGAUUUUGAAAGAAAAUCUUUGCGAAUUUUAAAUUGGUCAUGCAAUUGAAAAUAUUAUCGAAUUAGCAAAAUUCAUGACUUUUGAAUAAGGUUCACAGAUUGUAAAAAUGUUUAUAAUUUCUGAAAAUGUCAUAAAUUUCCAAAAAAUACGAACUUUAGAAAAUAUUGUUGAAAAAAAUAAAAUUGGGAAUAGUUCACAAAAUUUGAAAAACUUCACAAACUUUAAAAGAAUUAAUAUUUUUUGAAAAAUAUCAUUAAUUCGUAAAAUAGUCAUAAAAAGGGAUAAUGGACUGCACAUAAAAAUACAAAAAGGGGAAAUGGAAAAAAAAAAUCAAAGAAACGAAAAAGGAAUAAACAUAACAAAAAAUUCAAAAGGGAAGCAUUCAGAGUCUUUGGGACCUUCCUAAAACUGAUGUAAACGGAAGUCUAGAUGACCCGGCCUAUCUAACAGGAUACUAGUAACAAGCGCACCAAGCAUUGUAUAGAAAAUGCCUUUCAGUUGCUCCUUCUAAAUUCAUUUUUCACCACCAAGUUUGAUAAAAUAGUCCAAAUGAUCUAUAUAUAGAAAUCAUCGUAUAAUUUCUUUUACGUAUUAAUUGAAUUGAUGUAAAAGCUAGAAAUAUUAUCAGUUCAUUUUUCACCUGUUGAAAUACGAAGAUAAGGUACUUUGCAUAUUACCUUGCAGGAAAAUUAUAAAUAUUCUAAAAUUUUCUAUAUGGGGAGCACUAAUUAUAUUGUUCGAUGAUUUUUUUUCAAAAUUAAGAAUUAUAAAAUUUAAUAUCUAAAAUGAUGAAGGUUCAAUAAUUAUAAAAUUUACCGGUGGAGAUCAUCCACGUGGAUUUUAUACAGGCUAGAAAGAGGCAAUGUAUGGGAUUUACCAUAUCAUCGUUCGAUUUUGAGUAUAGAAAUACCCUUUCGGUUUCCUACAUGCAAGAUAUUUGUAGAUAGAGAGCACUAACGCUGAUUCAAUUGAGAUUUAUCUUCCAUCAGAUUUGUAUAUAUCUUAUCCCAAUUCAGCCGGUGCAGUUUUCUGUACUAGUAUUCGUUUUUGUCCGGCAUGUUGGUUAGUCAACCCGUUUAAUAAUACCUGCAGUUUAAAUAUUUCCUAGAAAUAUGCUUAAUGGAUUAAAUACGGCAGAUGAACAUGUGAUGGUCUAUGUUGAGUGUAAAUUAAGUUUCAAGGUCAACACAUGAAGCAGCGGCCGCAUGGCCUCGAAACCUUAGUCGUUUCUUCUCUAAUCCAUUAUCGUUACAUUCUCAAAUUCUUACCAAAGCCUCCAUGGAUCAUGUAACUACACCAUGCCAAGUUUCAUGUGUUUAAUUUUUUUCCAUUUUUUUAAAUAAAAUACCAAUAAGCUCCAUGUUCAGACUCAAGUUUUGGCAUCUGAGAUUUGAGUUCAUUUCCAUUUCAUGAAGGACUAAAAAUAGGCUCAAGAACACAAUUGGAUUAUUCAACCCAUUUUUAAACUUCCCAUGCACUUGGAGCUUAAAUUUUGAUCAUAUCUAAAAAUGCCAAGAAAAGUAUUAACUGCCGUAAAAAAAGGACACCAAACAAUGUUAAUUUUUGGAAUAGAACAUUUACUCAUGUAUAUUAAGUGUACAAUUUUUUUUAAGGCCAACGCAUGAAGCAGCGAUUGUUCACCUUUAUUUCUAACUCGUUCCUUCUCGAAACCAUGAUUCCUCCUCGAAGAUGGUCUGGUUCCUAAUGAGUGAAUGCCAAAACUUUUCCAAAAUCUUUUGAAAUUACCACAGUAUAUGUAUGCCAUAUAAGGGCACUAUCACAAGUUUCAUGUUUCCAAAUUAUUUUGCUUUUUCUAGAAUUAAGAAAUCAAUAACGUCCAUAUUCUAGGUCGAGUUUUGUCACAUGCUUGGAAUUCCUUUUAUUUUCUAGGAUACAGACCAAACAUAGACUCAGGGAUACAUAUAGUAUUUUGUAAUCUAAUUUUACCAAAUUUUCAUGCAGUUGUAGUUCAAACUUUCAUUAUAUGCCUAGGAAAACACUAAAUGACUUUAAUCAAGCAAAGAAACCCACAAAAUGCCAAAUUUUGACACGAAAUAUGUGACGGUGCAUGUUUAUAAAAGAAAUCAACGUCAACAGAAGAACUAGCAGUCGCUUCGGUGUCAUACCUGACCAGUUCCAGGUCAAAAGCUAGAUUCUUUGUCGGAGAUGGUCUGGUGUCUAAGGAACUUUUGUUACUAAUUUUGCGGCACCAUCAUACUCUGACCACACCUCUAGGUAUUAUAUAAUGACACCGUGCCAGGUAAACCAAUGACCUGGUGUUUGAGGUUGUGUCUUGGCACCCACAAUUUUGUAAUUUCUUUCAUGUUCUUGGAUAAAGCCUAAAAACAGGCUCAAGANNNNNNNNNNNNNNNNNNNNNNNNNNNNNNNNNNNNNNNNNNNNNNNNNNNNNNNNNNNNNNNNNNNNNNNNNNNNNNNNNNNNNNNNNNNNNNNNNNNNNNNNNNNNNNNNNNNNNNNNNNNNNNNNNUAAAAACAGGCUCAAGAGCAUCAAUAGCUAGGUUUUGGAUCCAGAUUCUACGAACUACUUCAUGCAUUUGCAGUUCAAAUUUUAACUCUUUUCACUAAAUGCCCCGAAAUACACUAAGGGUGUGUUUGGUUGGAGGGAUAUCCUCCCAGGGACAGGGAUAACCACUUUUUUCUGUGGUUGCCAUGCGUUUGGAUCUGGGGCGAGGAGGGACAGAGUCAACCAGAUGCUGGGAAUAUUCCCAGAAAAAAGGGAUGUGGCCAACCGCCAAAAACGGGCGGGCGGUGGCAACCACCCUGGGGCAGCCGGCGCGGGAGGGCGGGAGGCGGCCUGCGCGGCCGACGCGGGAGGGCGGCCGACGCAGGAGGCGGCCGGCGCGGCCGUCGCGGGAGGCGGCCNGGAGCUGGCCGGCGCGGGCGCGGCCGCCGCGGGAGCUCCCCAGGCACCUGGUUAUCCAUCCUCCCAACCACCCUAGCCAAACAAAAAAAAGAUAACCCUACCCUCCCACCAAACAAAAAAAAGGCUAUCCCCAGCCACCUGGUUGGGGAUACCCACAACCACCCUAGCCUAUCCCUCCAACCAAACNNNNNNNNNNNNNNNNNNNNNNNNNNNNNNNNNNNNNNNNNNNNNNNNNNNNNNNNNNNNNNNNNNNNNNNNNNNNNNNNNNNNNNNNNNNNNNNNNNNNNNNNNNNNNNNNNNNNNNNNNNNNNNNNNNNNNNNNNNNNNNNNNNNNNNNNNNNNNNNNNNNNNNNNNNNNNNNNNNNNNNNNNNNNNNNNNNNNNNNNNNNNNNNNNNNUAUAAAAAAUAUCCACGCCAACGGAUUAAGUAGCGGUCACUUCGCCUUCAAAUCUUAAAAUCUACAUUCUUUCUUGAAUAUCGUUUGGUUUCUUUGAAGUGUACAUCACAACUUUUCUGAAAUCUUCCUUGGAUAUGGUCUAGUUCCUGAAAUUCGGUUUGGUUGCUGACGUGGAAAUCGAUAGGGUGUUCCACACUGUUAUUACCCCUGACUCCCUGAAACUGGUCACUAGUGCACACAAUCCACUUUUAGCAGUUUUAUUUUGUCAACUAUCAUGUUAGAUGAUAAUAUUUAGAAGCAACAAAAAAGUCAUGGACACCAUCUAUAGUAAUUUAUUGCCAUCUUUAUUAUAUUUACAUCAUUAAAAACACCAAAAUAGAAGUAAUAAAAAAUUUCUGCACCAUGCUAUACAUUUUAAAUUUCAAUAGACUCACAUGUGCCUUUUCUAGAAGCUCUUAGUGGAAAGUAAAAAUAACCAAACACACACACUAUCAAACAAAGAAACAUAGGUACCCACAUAAUGGCUACAGUAGAGAUACCUCGGUGUCAACUGGAAAGUCACCUUCCACAUAAAAAUGAUAAUCACCCCAAGUCAGAGACAUCCAUAGACUAGCGAGUAGCCACCUAACCAAAUGAUUUAUGUCAAAAUUGGAGUUUCAUCUUUGGUGGGGUGCGAGUACAACCGCACCACUGGCCGCCUAAGAAAACUAUUUCAUUCGAGACUCAAACAUGUUUGUUUUACCAUUUCAAAAUGGUCUAAUUCCAUCUUAAUCAACUUAGAAAGUGAUAGUUCUCACUUGAGAAUCAUAUUUGCCAGUUACAAUCUUCUGAGUCCUAUUUCCUAUUUCUACUUGCACGAAUCAUAGUCUUCGUGCAAAUGUUUUGUGUAAUCCCUACAAUAUUUGUUCCUCACACUUGCACAAAAUUUGAAAUCGUUCCAGCAUAUACAUAGCAAACACUUCCGUAACUAAGAAAACCAAAGUAUAGAAUUAAAUCCUAACUUUUACAACUCCCUAAAGUUAUUGUGUAAGGAUUUAGAGUAUACUAACUUUUUAAUGGACAUAAUGGGUGGGGUGCGAUUGAAUCCUGUGGCCCUUUACAAAAAUAGGUUCAAGUGAAUCUUUUGUUUUUCAAGGGUGGCCAUUUUAUCAGUUUCAUGAUUUUGAUGUGGCGAUUUUCAAUUUUUUCCCUAUGGCAUAGUGAAGUUGCUUCGAAGUCACAUCUGAAAACUGCAGCUUUCACUGAGCGAGAGGUGUCACAUAUGGAAUUGCUUUUUUUUGUUACAGGAAGAACCAGGGUUGGUGUGGGAGUUGUAUGUAAGUGGAUCACAUCUGAAUGCUUCAUAUAAAUCUGUUCCGCAUACAGAUAUGUCGACAUACAAAUGAAUACUUACUACUUAUAAUUAGCACUCUUGCCUACUGUUGGCUGGAGAAAUGCCACUCAUGGUGCCAACGAACCAGGGAAAAGAACACCUAACUCCGGUCUCAUUGUGGUUAGGCACUUGUAGAAAGAAAGACUGCAUGGUUUUCGAGGGCAAAGUUAGGGACCAUGUUUCACUUUUAGAAACUAGUCAGAGAUAAUAUUAGCAUCUUAGCAUGUUAGAGAGACCUGGAGAUCUUAUAGUUCUGGAGGCAAUCAAAGCUUGCCUCUUUUAUUUUGUCUUCAUUUUGGUUAAAUUUGGCCUACACCUAUAUGUAUGGCAGAUUUUACAUCAUUCCCCUUCAAUAAUGCAAAAGUAGAUCUCCGACUUUGUCCUGCUCAUGUUUUUAAAUAUAUAUGCACUUAUAGAUAGAUAAGUAGUUAUAUAACCAUGCGUCAUGCGUGACAUGUCAACUCAUAUAAUAUAGCACACCUCCUCCCACUAUAUAAAAGUGCGAGUAAUAUGCAGUAAAAACGAGCCUACCUAUCUUGUACAGUAGCCUAGAAAAGAAGAAAAGAACCAAACCAAAUGUGUAUGUAAGUGUGGUGAACGUCAACUGUUAGGUCCUUGUGAGUAUUCGUACAGGUUUUAUAUCACUCCAAACCAUCUUUAGCAUGAUCUUCCACUUUGAUAUAUUUAUAUAUCCAUGCAUCACACACGCUUCCCUUAAAAAAUGUAGCACAUCUCCUCCCACUUGAGAAAGUGCUAAAUAGUACAUCACACUAAACAAAACGGACCCUACUUUUAGCUUAGAAAGAGGGAACCAAAUCAAAGAUGGAUGUAGGUGUGAGUACCAUAGACUUGAUACAUUAAUGCUGUCAAUCAUUUGGUGUGGUCUUCCCAAUUAUUUUGUACAAAAACCUGGUAUAACAUAUAUGCGGAAACACACAUCACAUACUGAGGACAAAACGAUGCAUUAAGAGCAUCUCCAACGGCAGCGCAAAAAAUCCGCGCCCAAUAAUUUUUUUAGCGCGUCACUGUAGCAGUUUUGAAGCGCGGGGACCGGAGCAUCUCCAACAGACGCGCGCUAGUGCGGCGCCCAAUCCAGUCCGAUCCAGCGGUCCCAUCUGCAGCCGCUCAGAGUUUGGUGCGCGCGCAAGCCGGCGCACCAAAUAUGUUGCGCGCGAUAGCGUAUUUAAGCGGGCGCCCAGAAGUUUUUAGCGCGCGCAGCAUUUUGCAGCUUCUGCUGGAGCAGUCCGGCGCCCAAAAAACGAAUUUUUUAGCGCGCGGAGCAGUUUUUGGACGCCUGUUGGAGAUGCUCUAAUGAGAUACUAAUUGAUUUGAACAUACUGGGUACCACGAAGUAGCAAUAACAAGAUGAUAUGACCUAUUGUGCCGCUAAUGUGAUCAUCCAUCUAUAAAUAUUCCUAUAUAUUGUCUUACCAGAAGAUAUGACCCAGCUUCUCCAAGAAAUAAAGAUAACAGCAGGCAGUCAGACAUCAGGCAAAGUGACCCAUGAGUAGUAGUAAUGUACUACAUAACAUGAUUGUCUAUAUAAAGAUGAACGCAAACAUCUAAGGACCCGGCUCCUCUGCCGUACUGCAGGGUGCAGUUGGGUCAUUGAGGGGCGGAGUCCCACAUCUAAACCAAUAGGGAAGAGUAUCAAAAGUAGAGAUCCUUCUUCUUCUUGCCCUUGCUAUCCUGAGCAAUCCAACAUCACUUGAUUGUGUGCAUUUGGAGCUCAUGGACAUACAACUGUGCUUAAUGAAUUUCUUCUCCUACUAUUUGACUCCCAAAACUAGAAGUAAACAUUGCAUAUAAUUUGACUUUUCAUUAUUAACACUAAAUUUGGUACGAUGAACACAUAUUUUCUAAUUGGCAAAAGUUGAAAGUACCAAAUUUGUUAGUUUACGAUACAAUCGUGAAGAAUAUAAUUGUAACAAUCUAGGUUUUAAAGUUUUAGCUUUUUAAUGUAUGGAAGAGUAGAAGUCGAAUUGGGGAAUAUUGUUCUAAAUUUUCGGAUUAUGAAUUUGAUAAGUACAUAUACUAAAAUAAGAUUAAGAAGUUAAAUUUGAUAGCUAUGGAUCAUUAGAUUUCAAAUUGUUUGUUCCUCAUUUUGAUAUUUUUUCAAGAACAUCAAUUUGAUUCUAGAAAUGCAAAGGUGUGGAACUAUUUUCGGAUUUCCAUACAUAAAUAUGAUACAUAAGAGGUACACUAUCAAAUUAUUACGGCUAGAAAACAACCUUGGUGAGUCACUUAAAAUUAGCCCGUAAAUGUGGUGGAGGAUUGCUUUAAUCGUCUGCGCUAAUUGGUUUCAAUGAACUUAUAGGGAACAUGUAUUAUCAUAUGCACCUCAAAGAAUCUAAACUUAUAAUUAAUGCCGCAAAGCAAAAAAGGCACAUGAUUUGGAUCCUUAUGUUCUCAGGAAGUGUACUAGGAAAGUGUAGCAGCUGCGGCUGCUUCUUCUUGGGCAAUAAGUUGUGACCUUCUUACUUGAUGUCGUUACCAUACGUAUGAGGCAGGCGCAAGCAAUGGAGUUCACCUAGUGCCGCCAUAUGAACCUGCAUAGCGCCAUCGCCCACACAAAAUCUUGCUGUGAGUCUUACACUACUGGAAUCGCAAAGUUUGCCUAGUUCCCACAAAACUCAGUGAUGUCUAAAACCAACAUAGCAAACACUUUGUCGAGUUCAGAACUCGGCAAAGAGGACUCAGCUGGACAAGGCUCAGCAAUGUUAUCUUUGCCGUGUUUGUUUUCACGGGAACUCAGCAAAUACCGAGGAAAUCGUUGCAGUGCAAAAAAAUGGAAGUCGGCAAAAUAAUUACGCAAACGGAAUGGCUCGAACAUCAUCCAUGCCACCUGUUGUCGAACUUUUGCCAUGUUUUUGAACUCGGCAAAGAGUAAGGCUUUGCCUAGUUUUAAACUCCGCAAACAUAUUUAUAGCUGAAUGAAACAAGUACAUCCAGGUAUUUGUGUUUGUAUAUGUGCCGCUCUUGUAGGUAAUGUGUAUAUUUACUUUUUUAGUACAUAUGUGUAUCGAGUAUUUAUUUUUGUGUACAUCUCGACGACAGAGGAACACUAGUAUUGUGAUUCAAUCAUGCUUCGAUGAAAAGAAAAUGGGAAAGAAAAAUCUUAGACAAGCUGUACGUACAUACUACUAUUACAUAUCUACUGAAUCGAUUUUUGGCUAGCUUUGUACAGCCGGUCGGAAGAGGCCACCUCGAGCACGUUGCUGCUGUUGUUGAGCUGCCCGUGCUGCCCCACUGCUAGAUGCUUCAGCCGCCGCUGCCAUCCGUCAUAGCCACUGCUGGCUACCGCUGGUUGCUACAUCAGUUGCUUGUUGCCGCGGCGACCGACGACAUGGAGAUAAGAGAGAAAGAAGACAGUGUUGGUAGCCAUGGAAAAGAGAACGAGUGGAUGAAAAAGAGAGAGGCAGGAAGCAAUGGUAGCCCACAUGCGAAGACAUACAGAGGAAGUAGAGAAGUCAUCAGCUGUUUGAUCUUGAAGCGAUGAAUGGUGCAGAUUGAUGCCAUCUCAUCAUUCCGCGCCACUUCCUCUUAACCUAUAGAAGUGUAUGCUUUCUUUCCCAUAAAAAUGUAUUUUUUACAUAUGUAAAUAUUUUGUAAAAUCUUUUAUAAUUGUUACCACGUGAUCUUGGUGUGAUGUAAUAACGGCAUGUCAACUUUCAUAUUUUUAAGAGUUUAUUUGUAUGUUUUGGAAUUAAAAAAAUGAACUUCACGUUUUCGAUCAAGUCUUGACAUCCUUAUGUUUGAACUUUUAUCAAGGAACCCUGAAAAGCAUGAAACUUGGUAUUGUAUCCCUGUAGUGCAUGGUAAGAAAUUGAAAAGGUUUCGCAAAAGUUACGGCAUAAGUUGUUUGGAAAUCGAACCAUCUAUUUUUUUCAAUCAACCUUUCAAUUUUUUCAUCCACUUGCAGUUCAAUUUUGAAUUAUAUACGUUAAAGAUAUAGAAAUGCACUUAAUGGCUUAAAUAUAGCAAACGAACUCUGAAAAAUUUCAAAAUUUUACAAUGGUGUAUCUUGAGUGUAGAAAACAUUUCAAGGCUAACAGAUGAAGGAACGACCGCCUAGCCUUCAUACCCCAUCCGUUCCUUCUCAAAAUCAUGUUUUCAUCCAUGCAAAUGGUCUAGUUUCUAAGCGAUGUACAUCACAACUUUUGUGAAACCUUCUCAAUUUUUUUCCACAACAGUUAGGUGGCAUUAAGGGACACCAUGCCAAUUUUCAUGCUUUUUGGAGAUUGUUUGCAUUUCUUGGAAUUUAUAGACCGAAAAACUACGUGUUCGGGAUCCAGUUUUCGUACCCUUGUGUUUGGAGUUCCUUUAUUUUUCUUGCAUAUGUGAUAAACAUAAACUCAAGAGCACAACUAUGAUUUUUAAACUAACUUUGUCAACUUUUGACUCACUUGCAGUUCAAUUUUGAAUUAUAUACGUUAGAGAUAUAGAAAUGCACUAAAUGUCUUAAAUAUAGCAAAGAGACUCCGAAACAUUCCGAAUUUUUACAUGGAUCAAGUAAUGGCGUAUCAUUAAUGCAGAAAAGAUUUCAAGGCUAACGGAUUAAGGAACGGUCACGUCGCCUUCAUACCUCAGCCGUUCCUUCUCGAAAACACGUAUUUAUACACGGGAUGGUCUAGUUUCUAUGCGAUGUACAUAAAAACUUUUGCGGAACCUUCUCGAUUUUUAACCACAACAUGUAGGUGUCAUAAAAGGAUACCCGGCCAAUUUUCAUGCAUUCCGGAGUUUGUUACAUUUUUUGGUAUUUAUAAACCGGAAAAAAAUAUGUUGGCGGUCGAGUCUUGGCUCCCUCAUGUUUGGAGUUCCUUUCUUUCUCUUGUAUAAGGCCAAAACAUAGACUCAAGAAUACAAUUAUUAAACUCGGCAAACAAAUCUUUGCCGAGUUCCCCGAUAAAUUGCACUCGGCAAACAUGAGAAACUGGGAGAAAUCUAAGAUUCUAGUAGUGUUGGACGGUGGUGGAUGAGGACGACUAUCGGAAAAUUGAUCCAUAGUUGUGGCACCUGCCAGAUGAUGGUCACCGGAAGGGCUUCGGCCUUCCAGUCCGACGGCAAGGGUGAUGUUUGGCAGUCAUCAGACCGGUCUAGUUUUUUCCUGCUCGAUAUGAUUUGCUACCACUCGCGAGGAUUGCAGGGCCAGUGGUGGUGCAUGGUUAGUCUAAUGCAUAUCUACCAUUGUCUACCACUUGUGAGGAUGGUGCGACGCUCCCGGAGGGUCCCAAACUCAGGAUUUUUGAAAUGUCGAUGUUCUUCCUCGUUGUCAAAGACUUCAUCGUGAAGUGGAGAGUGGCUCUUGCGCAUAUGCAGCUGCACACAACAAAUGAUUUUGAUUCAGUGGUGCCUCUCUCAGUAACCGGUCUCAAGAUCCGGGAUGAAAAUCAACCGAAGAAGUAGUAGUCGCCUCGGUGCCAUACCUUACAAGUUCCAAUUCGAGACCUAAAUUAUUUGUCGGCCAUGAUCUGGUUUCUAAGCAACUUUUGUUACCAAUUUUGUGGAAACAUCUUACUCUUACCACACCUCAAGGUAUCAUAUAUGACACCGUGGCAGGUAAACCAAUAACCUCGUGUUUGAGGUCGCGUCAUGGCACCCGUUCUUUUUUGGAAUUUCUUUCCUUUUUCUUGGAUAAAGCCUAAAAACAGGCUCAAGAACAACAACAGGAUUCUGGAACCAAAUUCUACCAACUUUUCUUGCAUUCCCUAAUCAAAUUUAACUAUUUUCACUAAAAGCCUAGAAAUACAUUAUGGAAUUUAUAGGCAACGAGCCCAAAAAAUAUCAAAUUUCGACAUGGAACAUGUAAGGGCGUAUAAAAAAUAUCCACGCCAACAGAUUAAAGAGCGAUCAAUUCGCUUUCAAACCUGACUGAUACACUCUCGGAAUCUCGAUUGUUUCUCGAAGAUGGUUUGGUUUCUAAGAAGUGUACAUCAGAACUUUUCUGAAACCUUUCUUCAAGAUGGUCUACUUCCUAUAAUUCGCUUUGGUUGCCGACGUGGAAAUCGAUAGGGUGUUCCACAGUGUUACUAUCGUGAGUCCGUGAAACUAGUUGUUAGUGCACAUAAUCAAAUUUUAGCAGUUUUAUUUUGUUAACUAUCAUGUUAGCUGAUAAUAUUUAGAUGCAACGAAAAGGCAGGAACACCAUAUAUAGUAAUUUAUUGUAAUCUUUAUUAUAGUUACAUAAUUAAGAACACCGAAAUUAAAGUAAUCAAAAUUUUCUGUACCGCGGUAUACAUUUUAAAUUUCAAUAGACUCACAUUUGCCUUCUCUAGAAACUCCUAGCAGCCGAUGAGUAUAGAUUAUGAUAUGCUACGAUAUGUGUCAAUUCAAAACACGCUUUAUAAAAAACAAAUGUAGAUAUAUAUAAUUAUAUGCAGAUGCAUCGUCCGUACCCUACAAAAUAUGUAGCACAUCUGCUCCCACUUGAUAAAGUCCAAAUAAUGAAGCAAGCAUGCUGCACACAAUUGACCGAAGUUUUAGUUUAAAACAGAAGGAAAGAACGAAACCAAAAGACUAACGCAAGUGCGAGUGUACAUCCAUGCCAUUGUUAUGUCACUCUCAAUCACUUUUAGCUAGCAUUAUGGAGGAUCUUUCAAGAUAUCAAUCACUUUUAGCUAGCAUUAUGGAGGAACGAUCAAGUUAUUAAUUUGGACAUACUGGGUAUGUCUAUCAAUGCCACUAAGUAUAUCAAUAACAACACACCAUUUUCAGUGAGAUUUCAAUGAAAUUCAUUGAAUUUUACUAAUUUCAGUAGACACCGAAAUAUUACGUUUCGGUCAAAAUAUUUCUGCAAUUUCAGUAGUAUACUGGAAAUAAAAUAUUUUUCAAAAUAUUUUUUGAAAAUUUGAAAUGUUCAAUUCAUUUCAAGUGAAUAUUUUGGCCCUUUGGCCGAAAUGCAAACUGAAAUUACUGAAUUUCACCGAAUUUGAGUGAUUUCAGUUGGUGCUGAGUUUUUUUCUAAACUGAAAUUGAAAACCAUACUAUCGCCACGGUAUAUGUGUCUAUCAAUGACCUAUAUGACCUGUAUCAAUAACAACCUACAAAUCUUGCUGUAUAGUAUGGUCCAUGGUUCCUCUUAACAGAAGAUAUGACCUACCUUCUAAAAAAUGAUAAUAAUGCCGUGUCGGACAUGUGGCAGAGAGACCUAUGAGUAGUAUCGAGCAGUGCUAUAUAAAGGCGUACCACACUCAGGUAGGAGUAUCUAACAAUGGAGUUCCUUGUGCUCAUUGCUCUUUUUCUCUUGGGCUUGACCAUACUGAUCAGGCGGCGUAGCUACACCUACACUACUAGUACCAGACGUGCCGGUGCUCCAGCUGCCGUGGUGAUCGAGAAGAUCGCCGACCACGCCGUCGCUCACCGCGCGCUCGUCGAGAACGCCGACGACUUCUCGGACCGCCCGGUGGCGCCCUUUCUGGUCUUUCUGGAGAAGAGACACGGGCAGUACGGCGACGGCCUCGCCUCCGCGCCGUACGGCCCACUCUGGCGUGCAUUCCGGUGCAACAUCACCUCCGAGACCCUCCACCCAUCGCGCCUCGGGCACGUCACGCCGCUGCAGAGGGAGGCCAUCCAUGGCCUCGUCGCCGCUUUGGAGAAGGAACUGCCGGUGGUCGCCGUUGUCCGCGACCACCUCUACCCUUCCGUCUUCUCGGUACUCGCGCGCCUGUGCUUCGGCGACGGCGUGGACGAGGGGCAUGUGCGCGCCAUGGGCUGCUUGAUACGGGAGUUCCAGCAGGUUGCUGUCGGAGAGGCUCGGGCCUCGCCUGGCACCAUGUUUGCCAAGCUCGCGGAAUGGAGACGGCUGCGCCGGCUCUUGGCCAUACACGGCCGGUUGGGCGAGUUGUACCUCCCUCUCGUCAACGCACGACGGGAGUGUCGACCGUCAUGCGACGGAGGCGGCCGUCGUCCAUACGUCGACUCGCUCAUCGACCUACGCGUCCCAGCUGACGGAGGCCGGCGCGCUGUUAGGGACGAUGAGUUCGUCAACCUGCUGUCGGAAUUUCUGGGAGCUGGCACGGGGACGGUGGUGGCAAGCCUGGAAUGGGCCCUCGCCCACCUGGUAAACGACCAGGAGGUCCAGAGAAAGCUUCGUGAUGAGGUCGACGGCGCCGGCAGCUCCAGCAGCAGGAGCGACCUCAUCCGUGGCAUGCCGUAUCUGAACGCGGUCGUGCUCGAGACCCUGCGCUUGCAUCCACAGGUGCCCUUCGUGCAGCGCCACGUCAAGGCCGACGCGGCCGAGGUGCUGGGAGUCGGAGGGAAAACCAGCGAUUUCAUUGCACAGUUCAGUGUUGGAGACAUGGGAAGGGACGGCAAGACGUGGACGGACCCCGACGAGUUCCGGCCGGAGCGGUUCCUGCCCGGCGGGGAGGCAGAGGACGUCGGCCCUUUGCCGGGGACCAAGGAGAUAAGGAUGAUGCCAUUCGGCGCGGGGCAUAGGUUCUGCCCGGGCGUGGGUCUGGCCAUGAUGAACAUCAAGUGCUUCCUGGCUGCGCUCGUGCGUGAGUUCGAGUGGGCGCCGCCGACGACGACGGAGGGAUGCGCUGGCGUCGACCUGACAGAGCUCAACACCUUCAUCAAGGCGAUGAAGAAGCCCCUUUCCGCGCGUCUCACGCAUCGCACUUGAUCCUCGGCGUCUGGCGUUUGGUCACGUUGGGAUGCAUGGCGGCAGCCGUGGCCUUCUUCUUCCCAGACGUCGGGUUUGAUCUGUAAAUUUCUUGUUUCCCCUAAUUCCAGUCUGGUGUGUGUGUGUGUGUGGCAUGGGCAACUCCGUGCAUGCCAUCAUACCGAAUGCAGAGCUUGUGAUGGCCAUCUGGCCUCUAUUGUAUCUGAACUCCUAUUGUAUACUUGUGCACGUCAUGCUAUUAUGAGAUCUGAUCAUUGUGUAUAUAUAAAUGUUGUUGGAACCAAGGAUCAACAAACGAUGAGACAAAAACACGAGGAGACGAGAACGACAAUGGAUGCCCUCCCGGCGACAAACACCGGGACUUAUACUCGCUUGUAUUCUCCUCGGCUCGACCAAAACACAACGAUUGCAUGGCAACUUUUUAGAUGACGGCACAUCAACGGGUUUGCAAACCCAGACAAUUACUGAGGAGGGAGAUGUAGAUAGGUUAGACCAAAAUAGGAAACACCAAGAAAGAUCUAAGCCCCAUUUGUCGACUGCAAUUGCAGGUAAUGUUUUGAAUUCUAGUCUAGCUAUUUCGGCAGACACAGACCCUCUUGCUUUAGAGAUUCGAAGAAAGCAAGAACUACGUCACAAGGGAAGGAGGGAAGCAAGACUGCAGCAAAAUCUUCUUUGGCAAGCCCGGGGGACAGACACCGUCCUGGCCAAUGAGUACUUUAUGUUGGAAUUGCCACGGAGCGGGCAAACCCGCGGCAAUUCCAGAACUUCACGAAUUCGCGAGGAAGUUUGCCCCUACCGUGCUGUGUAUAAUUGAGACCCAAAUCAGUGGUGCAUGUGUACAAGAUCUAGCAAGUACUCUAGGUUAUGAAAAAUCAUAUGUUGUUAGUAGUCAAGGAAGAAGUGGAGGAAUUGGUAUAUUUUGGAAUAAUGUAAGCAAUAUCGAGAUUUUGGGUGAUUCAUGUUAUCACAUUGAUGCAAAGGUGCAGGAGAAUGGACAUGACCCAUGGAGACUCACUGUGAUAUAUGGAGAGGCCCAAGCGCCGCUGCGACACCAAACAUGGGACUUGAUUAAGGGAAUAGCAACUUUGAAUGCUCUCCCAUGGCUGUUUGUGGGAGAUUUUAAUGAAGUUCUAUGACUGGAUGAACAUCAAGGAGUUGCGAACCGGAGUAAUGCUUAGAUUCAUGCUUUUCGGGAUGUUGUGGAUGUUUGUAUGCUCAUGGAUUUGGGCUACCAAGGCCGUUUCUGGACCUUUGAGAAAAAGUCACUGGUGGAUCGUACACUCGGAUACAGCUGGAUCGCGCAUUGGCAUCACCCACCUGGUGCCCCAGGUUCCCGAUGGCAGCGCUAAAAUACCUCACGGCAGCGUCCUCUGACCAUGGGCCAAUCUCGCUCGAAUUUGCGAGCACACAAGGGAACAACACUCUGCCCAGAAGUUUUCGAUAUGAGUUGAUGUGGGAAUCAGAUGAGAACUAGCAGGAGGCUAUAUCCACUCUUUGGAACUCAGUUUUGCCUGACUAUGGGGUGGGAGAUUUCCGCGACAAACCUUUAAAGAUCUCCAAGGACCCGACGGGGUGGAGCAGGGAAUCAUUUGGUAGAGUCCGGAAGAAAAUUAAAGAUCUUACGCACCAACUUCAGCACCUAUGAGAUGACCCAGCCAGAACAUGACCUGUGCACAGAGAGAUCAAGAUCAGCGAGAGGCUUGUUGAAUUAUACCAUAGGGAAGGGAUCAUGUGGCGUCAUAGGUGAAGGCUACAAUGGCUCUCUGAAGGGGAUAAAAACAUAAUUUUUUUCCAUAUGCGGGCUAGCAUGAGGAGGAAGAAAAAUAUGAUCAAGGCGCUAUAGUCCUCUCUUGGUAUAUACACGGAGGACCCAACAGUUUUAAAAACACUGGUGCUUGAAUUUUACAAGUCACCGUAUACUUCCAAGGGCGUGACUGGUAUAGAGGAUGUACUAAUGCAUGUACCAUGCAAUGUAACGCCGGCCAUGAAUGAAUCUUUGUGUGCUGAAUAUAUGAAUGAAGAGGUGAAACAAGCUCUUUUCCAGAUGUUUCCGACCAAAGCGCCUGGCCCAGACGGAUUUCCGACGCAUUUCUAUCAAAGGCAAUGGGAUAUAUGUGGAGAUGAGGUCUCCGUCAUGGUGAUGCACAUCAUAAGAGGGGACAAGAGUCGCGAGAAUAUUAAUGACACUGUUCUUGUGUUGAUCCCGAAGGUAAUGAGCCCGACCCAGCUAACUCAGUUUAGACCUAUAAGUCUCUGCAAUGUGCUCUAUAAAUUAGCGUCCAAGGAGGUGGCUAACAGGCUCAAGGUAAUCCCACCUGACAUUAUAUCUGAAGAGCAGUCUGCCUUUGUGCCUGGAAGGCUCAUUACUGACAACAUCAUAUGUGCUUAUGAGUGCCUUCACUUCAUGAAAUGAAACAAAUCAAAAACUAAUAGCCUUUGUGCUUUGAAACUUGACAUGAUGAAAUCCCAUGAUAGGAUCGAGUGGGAUUAUUUGCAGUCUAUUAUGAGUAAAGUGGGAUUCACAGCCCUCUGGAUCCAGAUUGUAAUGACCAUGGUGAGAUCUGUAUCAUUCUUGGUCCUGAUCAAUGAUGAGAGGCUUGAGUAGUUUAAACCAUCCAGAGGGAUUCGGCAGGGAGAUCCUAUUUCCCCUUACCAAUUCUUACUUGCCGUAGAGGGCCUUUCGUGCCUUUUAAAAUCCAGUUCUUAGUCAUCAUCAACUGAACUCAAGGUAGUCCCCACAACGCCAGUUGUGAGCCAUCUUCUUUUUGCAGAUGUCACCAUGUUGCUUUUUAAGUCUAGUGUGGAGGGUGCAAAUCAUGUAUCAAACCUGCUCAAUAUUUUGCGCUGCUUCGGGACAAGGAGUGAACCAUGAGAAGUCCUUGAUUUAUUUCACUAAGGCUGCCCGAUUCUACCAAACUGGAAGUGAAGAAUGUAUAAAUGUGCAGAAUGAGUCGCUAAAUGAGAAAUACUUUGGCCUACCGACAGAGGUAGGAUAGUCCAAGAAUGGUUCUUUUAAGUAUUUGUGUGAUAGAGUUUGGGCAAAAGUGAAAUGGUGGAUGGAAAGACUACUUUCCACAUGAGGGAAGGAGGUACUAAUCAAAUCAGUCGCAUAAUCUAUCCCUGUUUUUUCUCUGUCUUGCUUCAGACUCCCGAGAGGACUCUGUGAAGGAAUAACAUCUAUCAUUCGCCAGUUUUGGUGGGGGAGCAAGCAAGGGAAUAGAAGGCCUUCUUGGGUAUCGUGUGAUGUCAUCACGAGGCCAAAAAUCCUUGGUGGGCUUGGGUUUAGGGACAGGGAGAUCUUCAACCUCGCCUUGCUAUCAAGGCAAGCAUGGCGGACUAAGCACACGUAUUCUGAAAUCCCUCUACUACCCGAACACAUCUAUCUUAGAUGCAGAUCUUGGAUCCCACCCAUCCUAGAUUUGGUGUGCUAUGAUAGAUGGAAGGAACAUCUUUAACAUGGGUAUUAUUCGUCAAAUUGGGAAUGGUGCUUCCACAAAAAUAUGGGAACAUAACUGGAUCCCUAGAGAUGGUCUCUUCAAGCCAGUCACCUCCAUAAUCACUAAUCCUCCGCAGCUGGUGGAUGAACUGGUCGACCCGACAGGUGCUGAAUGGAGAGAUGAACUGGUUCGCCAGGCAUUUUUGCCGAUUGAUGCUGAAUCCAUCCUUAAAAUUCCCAUGUGUAUGCGUCAACUGGAGGAUUUUAGAAAUUUAGAAAUUUCAUACAACACUCCUAUGAUGACACCAUGGCAAGUUUCAUCACUUUUGGAGCUUGUUUACAUGGUAGUUGAAUGGAAUUGCAUUCUAUCCUUUUUAGUUGCCUAAAAGUUAGUUAAUGUUUCAAAAGUAGCAAACCAACUCAAAAAGUGUCCAAAUUUCAGAACGGGGAUUCUAGUGGUGUGUAUUAAUUAUGAACACUGUUUUAACUUGAAUUGCUUUUAAAAAAAACUGUAUUUUGUGAUGAAGGCGGUGCUUUCUGUUCAAAAGGGUGCUACUUCACCAAAAAGUGUUCAGUUUGUACACAAAUUGCAUCAAGUUUCUGCGGUAACGCUUUGAAUUUUUACCACACCCUACAACAAAAAUUUAGUUAAUGCUUUGAAAAUAUCAAACCAACUAUAAAAUGGCUAAAUUCGAGCAUGGGGCUUCUAAUGGUGUGUAUUAAUAAUGGAAAAUAUUGUUUUUUUUCUAUUUUUUUUUGGAAUGGAGGUAAAAAAUUUACUUCAUCGAUUAAUCAAGAAGAAGAGAAUUGCCCGGUUAGUUAACGGAAAACCAGGCAAAAACCGAGAAAAAAACCCGAGAAAUUUUUGAAUUUGAAAUGCUUUAAAAUGGAUUUGUGUGUGGAACGCCGUGGUUUCCGUUCGAAAGUUUGAUAUAUCGCGAGAGAAUGUUGACUUUGUACACUAAGUGCAUCAUGGUCCUAUGAAGACAUCAUGCGAAGUUUCAUUUUCUUUCAGAGCAUGAGGUGAUAUUACAUGUUCAGAACGAGUUAGACUCGGUUGUGUUUAGUCAAACGUGCCAUUCCUUUUGAAAAAGAGAGGUUAGUCAAACCCUCCUUCUCCGCUGUUCCACCCUCCCCCGCCGCAGCUCCUCAUCACUUGUGUUGACCCAAAUUGUAGUUUCCAAUUUUUGCAUCCAUGUACAUGAUCAUUAAAGGCCAUAACCCCCUUGUUCCCACUCUCCUCCGCUAACAGAAUGCCGCUUCUUUCUUUAUCUUUGCAUAUGUAGUUCUGCACACCACCUACACGAAUCUCCUCCAACACCAAAUGCUCUUUGAAAGUGUUGCUUUGUGGUUGCCCUUAAUUGCAACUUCGCAAUUUCCUGCCUUGCAUCCCAUGAAUUUUGAAUUGACGCAAACACGAAAUUUCCAAGAGCAACGGCACACAUCACGUGGCUUGCCCUAACAAUAGUUCCCAAUGCAACACAAGAAAAUUAAUGGGAACGGUAAGCAACAAAUAUAAAUGACAGCAUCAUAUUUUGUACAUUAUCAAUCAUACAUGUGUCAAUCUAUAGACCUCUUUUCGUUUCACGCACUCUCACAUUUUAUAUAUCCAUGGCAAUGUUUCAUCCACCCAUAUUAGUAUUUAUUCUGCAGAUCUUUUUUGUCAAACAUUCAACAAACCAACUUUUGAAGAACUAGCCUAGGGAGCUAAGAAUCUAAAGAACAAAGCGAAUAUCUAUACUCCUUUUCCAUUGCCAAAACUGCAGAGAGCUAAGCCACCUAAAAGGACUAAACGGCUAAAAAGAUGACGACCGGAUUUAAGCUGAUCCGCCAAGCUAACCCCUUACCUUCAGAUCAAGUACUACAACAUUGAUGUCAUCAAGGCUAUGCUCGUUGAUGGCAAGAUUUGUUAGGCGGAUAGCGGCACAGACACAUCGAACCUCUUGCUCCUUUCCUGCCGGCGCGUUCACAUUCUUGCUCUUGUUUUCCAGGCAUUUUGGAGCGACGCAACAUGCCUUCUGGUUUGAGAUCACAUCCCACAGCCCGUUGCUUGCGAGGAUGAGGCAGUCGUCGUCGUCCGACCUUGCGGUUAUGGUAAUACCUGGCUCACAUGUUAUUUCAAGAUUGAUGAGUGUGUGCCCUGUGAGUAUAUAGUUCAAAUUCAAAUGAGAUUCAAUAACUGAAGCGUCAGAACGACUAUGUACUAAGAAAAAUAAACUUAAAAUGAACGAACUUCUCAAAAAAGAGAAAACAUAAUUUUUGUUAUUUCUCUUUUGAAUUUACUCAGGAAAUCAACAUUCAUUUGAGUUCAGUAGGCAGUUUGAACUCGCAAUAUGGCAUCAAUGAUAAUAAUACAGUACAUAAUAACAUCCUUGAUGAAAUUAUCACUGUUAAAAAUUUACAAAUUCAUAGUUUACCAAAGGAAACAAUAUUUUCAUAUGUAUUGUUGCAUAACACUCGGGGCUUUAUAAAUACUACAUUUAGUUUAAUGACAGACAAAAAAUAAGAAUGUAUGUCAAAUAUUCAGCUAUUCAAAUAAUAGGCUUCGCUAUAGGUGUUUAGAUCAACAUCAGUCACUUUUCUAGGUUCAUACAAAUAAACUAUUCCUACAAGCUUGCUUUAUUUAUUAAGUUAUAGACUCAUUUUGACUUGGUACAUGUGUGAUGUGAGUAACUAGCUAAGUUACUCAAUUAAUUUAUCUUUCUCCGCAUUAACUCAUUGUUACAUAGGCAAAUUUGCUGAGUUGGAUCCUAUGUUACUCAUAAAGUUACUACCACUAGUGCUAGAACAUAAUAGAAAAGGUAAAUCCAGCACUGAUGAUGCAUGGGAACAAAACAACAUAUUUUAUUUAUAUAAACUAAACUACUUGAAAAAUUACCACUUUAUUUUACAUAACACUAGCCUUUUCUUUCUUUUUUCUUAAGAAGGUGGUGGCAAAUUUUUUUUAGAAGCACGGAUUAGUUAAUGGCCAAACGCCAACCGAGACAUCGACCAGCCAGUAGCUGACAACGCNUCCAAAAUUAUAUGGUAAAUAUAAGUUUUUGUAGAGAUUUCACUAGUGGACCACAUACAGAUGUAUAUAAACAUAUUUUAGAGCAUACAUUCAAUCAUUUUGCUCCGUAUGUAGACACAUAGUAAAAUUGCUUAAAAGACUUAUAUUUCAAAACGGAGGGAGUAGAUUUCUAGAAACAACCCUCCAUGUACUAAUCAUAAAUAUAAUAUUAAAAUAAAGCAUACAUAGUACUUCAUCCGUCUCAAAAUGAAUGUCUUAAACUUAGUAGUACAAUUUUUCUCCUAGCGUUAGUACAAAAUUAAGACGGUUAUUUUGAAACGGAAGAGUAUAAUAAACAUAAGGAGUAAAUUAAUGAUAGGAAUAACAUUUGUACUACAAAUUUGGGAGAAAAUAAUGUGCAAUCAGUGCAUUAUGAUAAGUUACUGUACCAAAUGACAAUUGUAAUAAAUGAUAUCAAGAUUGGGUUGCGCCAUGACUUAACUGGGAGCGGUUGCGCGCCAUGACCUAAUGGAGGCCGGCUGCGUGCCAUAACCUUUUUUCAGGGCCGGCUGCCAAAUAUCACAGACAUGCGCACACACACAAAAAGACUAUUUGCCAAUGGCCUCAAUCAUGCCCUCUUUUCUUCUCUUUCUCUAUGUUCUGAAAAACAUUCCCGAUGUACAAGUCAAACCAUAUAUAUCGCGUUGAAAAUAUCUCACCAUGUACAAGUACACAAUAGCUUCCAUCCGGCGCGCCGGCCGAAUCGUUCGGCCAGUAGCGCGCGGGCCGCUCGCCUCACUGGCAUGUUCAUGCAACAUUUUUUCGUCAAAUUUGCUGCAACCAUGUGUUAUUUUGAUACAAACGUUUUCCGUGUAGUUUUUUUUCUCAUCUAAAUUUGUUGCAACCAGCGUUCAUAUUUGCUACAAGCGUUUUUUAUUUACUACAUUUAUCCAGUAAAAAAACUGCACAUACGUUUGGUUGCAACUCGAGUUUGUUGGAUUUUUGCUACAACCGGCGUUUUAACAUUUGCUACAACCGUGUUAUUUUUUGCUACAACCGGCAACAUUUUUUGCUGCAACCGUUCACUAAAAAGUUACAUACACGUCACGUAGUACAACCGACGUUUGACUUUUGCUACCAUGUAUCAUCUUCUUUGUUUUUUUGCUACCAUUUAACUGUUGGAACACACUAGGUGCUUUUGAAAACUAGAUCCUGCAUGGACAAGUUUCAACGAAAAAAAUUGUGCAAUUUAAUCCUCGUUUGGUGCAACUGACUAGCAGUCGAUGUGCAACUAUCUGAUGUCGAUGUGCAACAUUCCUCUUACAAAUAGACGUAUAAUUUUCACUGAUGGCACCUUCAUCCCUAUCUAUCCCUGACAGUGAGGUGUGCAACUUUGUUUGUUGGUCCGGCCAACUCCCUAUUAGUUGAUGUGCAGCUUUUUUCAUGUCUCUGGAUUUACAAUUUUCAUGUUUGCUGUCUCAGUCGACUGUUAACAAUGGAUGUGCAACUUCGGAUGCUAUCAUGGCCAACUACCUAAUGGUGACGUGCAACUUUCCCCCGUACCCUUCUUAAUGUGCAGUUUUCCCUGCUAGCACCUCGUCGGAACCACCCCUCCUAGAUGUGCAAUUUUAGCACCUUGUUUAUAUGCAACUUUUCACUAUCCUCAGAAUAUGCAGUUUUCAUCAUCCAACUACCACUUACAGUGAUAUAUGCAACUUCAUCUGCUACCACGGCCAACUUGUAGCAAACUACACAUUCACAUGUGGACGGGGGAAUCGCACAUUGAGUCAUAGGAAGUUGGCUAGAACAAAAGACUAAGUUGCACAUAUCGCUGAUAAGGUAGGUGUACAGGGAGUGCCCACGGUGAAAAACUACGUAUUCAUGAGUUGGGAGGAGAGUUGCAUAUAGACUACCAGGAAGUUGGCCGGGGAGUAAACUAAUUGCACAUCAGAAAAAGUCCGUUAUCAUGGGUUGUUAGAUUGCAACAUCAUAAAAACUAGAUCAUUGAGCUUCAAAAUUGGUUUUGAGAAAUGCUGCAACGUGCAAUAUUAAAGUUGCACCGUGUAGUAAUAUAGUUACAUUGUAUAUAACGAAAGUUGGCAUAAAAAAUGUUCGUCAAAAUAGACCCAUUCGAGAUCUAGUUUCAAAGCUAAGCUCUCGUCGUGAAAAUUCCCACGCUCAAAACGGAUCAGAAUUUCAAUGUGUGGUUUGAAAGAUUCAACUUUUCAAAUUAUAAAAACAGGAAAUAAAUGCAUGUUGAAUCUGUUAUUUUCAACAGGCAUGACCAGUGCAGACAUAUUUAAUGAAUACAAACACAUGCGUUAAUUAGGAGACAAAAGAAAACUAUACAUGCAUGUGUGUCGGAGGGCUGCUCGCUAUCGCCAAGUGCAGGCGCACUGGUGAGAAUUUAGUUUGAUUAAUAGCCAGUCCCGUGCGUAAGUAAGCACAUAUAUAUGUGCNNNNNNNNNNNNNNNNNNNNNNNNNNNNNNNNNNNNNNNNNNNNNNNNNNNNNNNNNNNNNNNNNNNNNNNNNNNNNNNNNNNNNNNNNNNNNNNNNNNNNNNNNNNNNNNNNNNNNNNNNNNNNNNNNNNNNNNNNNNNNNNNNNNNNNNNNNNUUGAGCACAUAUAUAUGAGCGAACGCUAGUAUUACUCGGAAACCUACAGCUAGGAACUCAACGUCUAACACUCCUGUUUAAACACGAACACUAGUAGAGGACACUGGACACGUCUAGGUAGAAGUCAUGAACCCGACACUCAUUUAGGCCAACUCCAACAUGUACUAUACGUGAAACUUCUAUCUAGUACUAACAUAAUCCGGAUUUAGUUCGUUUCCCACCUGGUGUGCUCUCGUUCUAGGCGGAUCGGCACAAUCUAUACUAGAAGACUAGCAUGCAUAAAUACAGGACGGAAGGCUUGUUCUUGAUUGAGUUGGGUCGUCAGACAGAUAGAUAUGUCGUCGUGGUCUUGCCCGGAAGGCUUGUUCUACUUCGUCGCGACAUCGGCCGUUGCCAGUGCUGCUUUCACCUGGGCAACGUGGGCGUUGCUCGAGGACCACCACGAUAGACUCGCCUACAACCAACUCCGCGCGGGCAUCAACCCCUUGGACGCCACCGGCAGCCUCAGAACCCUGGUCGCCGCCGCGGCUGAUCCCGGCAUCGGCCGUGACGAUGAGAUCGACCGCGUCGUCUGCAUCCUCUGCCGGCGCACCAAGAACUGCGCCGCCCUCGUCGGCCCCGCGGGGGUCGGCAAGACGGCCAUCGUCGAGGGCCUCGCGCAGCGAAUCGCUGCCGGUAACGUCCCCGACACGCUCAUCGGCGCCCGCAUCGUGGAGAUUGACAUGGGGUCCAUGGUUGCCGGGACGCACUGGCGCGGCAUGUUCGAGCAGCGCUUCAAAGACGCCAUCAAGCAGGCCGAGGAGGCGCAAGGCAAGGUGAUCCUUUUCAUCGACGAGAUGCACAUGGUUGUAGGCGCCGGCGGCGUGGACGCCGCCAACAUACUCAAGCCGGCGUUGGCCCGUGGUCGCAUCCGCUGCGUAGGCUCCACGACCUCGGAAGAGUAUCAAAAGUACAUCCAGAAGGAUGCUGCGCUCGAGCGGCGGUUCCAGAAGGUUGACGUCGAGGAGCCGAGCUGCAUGCGACCAUUGCCAUCUUGCAGGGUCUGAAGCACAGGUACCAAGAUCACCAUGGAGUGAAAAUCGACGACGAUGCUCUUGUAGCCGCUGCACACCUCGCUGCCCGCUAUAUUACCGGUACGUGUACGUACAUCAAGAAUUCAGUUUAUUCUUCUAUACGUAUGACUUAAUUAUAGUAUGUGAUUGUGUAUGUUGAAAGAUAGUUGAUGUAUUUGCCCUUUGAUCAUUGCCAGGCCGCAAAUUCCCUGAUAAAGCAAUUGAUCUUAUGGAUGAGGCAUGCGCUACAACAAAAAUGCACGCCGACAAACAUAUGACAGCCAAAAAUGAACAAACGAGCUAUACAAGUACACUGAAUAAUGAGGAACAGAAGGCAGUGGAAAUUAUUAUUGGACCAGGGCAUGUAGCACGGGUAAGCCUGAACAAUUAAUUCUCACAUGUUAUUUGUUCUAGGGAAAUUCCUGUAUGAUUUUAAUGUGAUGUGUUUGUGACAUCGAAAUUUUAUUUGUAGGUUGUCAGCCGAUGGACUAAAAUUCCUCUCGCUACUCUUGACCAAGAGGAGAAGGAGAAGUUGACCCACCUAGCCAAAAAAUUGCAUGAGCGUGUUGUUGGGCAGGAUGAAGCUGUUAAUUUCGUUGCGCAAGCAGUCCUACGUUCCAGGGUCGGCUUUGGUCAAUCUGGACAACCGAUAAGUGCAUUCCUCUUUCUGGGCCCGCUUGGUGUCGGAAAAACAGAACUUGCUAAAGCUCUCGCCGAAAAGAUAUUUGACAAUGAGAAGGCGUUGAUUCGCUUUGAUAUGUCGGAACAUGCUCAGAGUGGGUCCGUGUCACGUCUCAUUGGAGGACCUCGAAGGUUUUAUUCUUAUACUUUGUUAUGCACACUUCUUGUUUCUCGACACACUCAUGUCUUACAAUAUUUUGUUUAUUUUUGAAAGCUACGAAGAAGAUGGACAACUCACCGAGAAAGUCAAGAGGUGCCCAUACAGUGUUAUCCUUUUUGAACAAGUGGAUAAAGCAAAUGAUUUGGUAUUCAAGGUGUUUCUUCAACUCCUUGACCAUGGUAUGUUGACUGACGGCAAAGGACAGGUCGUAGAUUUCAAGAACACUAUCAUCAUUAUGACGUCAAAUCUAGGAGCAGAGCACCUAACAUCGAGAUUGACCGGCAAAAAUACAAUCAAUGGUGAAAGAGAUCUCCUCAUGAAACAGGUUCCUGAAUCCCAACGAUCUAUUGUAACGCCCUCCGUGGGCAAGCCAAGGAUUGUCGUCUAACAUAUACUUGUUCAUGCAGGUUAAGAAUCGCUUCAAGCCUGAAUUUAUCAAUAGACUAAGUCAGGUUGUGAUAUUUGAGCCACUUUCGCACAGUGAAAUGAGGGAGAUUGUGAAAAUUCAGAUGAAGAAUGUUGUUGCGACCGUAGCUAACAAGGGUAUCUCUCUACUUACAACUGAUGCGGCCCUAGACUUCAUUUCGUCAGAAUCACAUGACCUGGUGAGUACAUAUAUAUAGCUUCAUAUUUAUAACCAUCACAGGAUGAAGAUCCAAUGUCCAGCUUUUAACCCUUCAAUGCUCAUAGGUGCAUGGUGCAAGGCACAUAAGAAGGUGGGUGCAGAAUCACGUGACCACGAUUCUCUCUGACAUGUUGGUCGACGGAGAAGCUUGUGCAGGCUCGACAAUCUCCAUCGAUGCUGCAGAUGAUAAGAGGGAGCUAACGUUCCAAGUGCUGAAGAAGCAGCAGGAGAGUUGGCAGAUCAAUGAGAUGAUUUUUGCUGUUGUCACUCCCAUGAUAGAUAAAGAAGAUGCAUGAUCAUACAUAAUGUAUCGGCAUGUAAAAUGUACAUAGAAGUCAUCAAGUGCACAUAUACAUUUAGUAAUAAAUGUUUAAUGAAUGUAAUGACAAGUGUGUCACACGCAUUUUUUUUACAAUGUAUACUGGUGUUUAUUGUUUCUUUGUUUGAUUGAUUUUUCUUCCUUCACUUGCAACCGUUAACAACUUACCAUGCUUCAAGAAAAUGGGUCAAUUGUGUUAUUAGUAAAGGAACUCAAGCUGAUUGCAUGCUUUCGGUCAACAACGCCUCAGGAAAUAGUUAGAUUUAGGCCACUAACUUGGCUGUUUGAUUUCAACAGGGGUCGAAACACGACGUCAAGGUCAAAGGCAUCAUUCACUAGCCAGCAGAGUGCAGAGCGGUCUAUUCAUCUGUGUGAUUACAUGAUAUAUAUUCUUAGGACACUGCUACACAACGUGCGGGCCAUGCAGGGCGGUUCCCUCGCAAGAACGACGGGUGGGUGUUAUCGUUUAGUGCCACAUGUACGUAGGCGGUCGCGCACGGUUGCUCGCGUCACCGUGUGGUAAAACUGCUUUUCGCACACACAAUGCUUGUACGGUGAUAAAUGAGAACUGCAGUUGUGCAUAUGUGAUAGCUACAGUUAUGCAUAUGUGACAAAUAGUUAAUCACACAUGUCAAAUAUGGUAACCAUACAUGACAACUAUAUUUUGAUCAUACGUGGCAACUACUUAAUCACACAUGGUAACUAUGAUAGAUCAUACACAACGACUAUGGUUUGAUCACACGUGGUAACUCCAGCAAUUAGUUUCACAUGGCAACUAUAUUUAAUGAUACAUAGCAACUAAUCUUAAUCAUACAUGUCAACUACAUUUAAUUAGACAUGGCAACUAUAGCUAAAUACACAUGACAACUAUAGUUAACGGUUUAGCUAAAACACAUCUAGAUGUGAGAUAAGUAUUGCAUAUCCAAGUUCUGUAUCAUUGGUCUUAUAUGGAGAUUCGCAUGGGGAUUACUUUUAAACUUUUUAUGCUUAAUUUAGUCAUUUGGAUAUGUAAUAAUUAUGUCACAUCUAGAUGUGUCCUAGACACACCCAUAAGUAAAUUACACACGCGUUCGUGCUCACGGGAUGGAGGUGAGAGUAAUUGUUAUUGGUUUGGCGUGAGGGCCCUCGCAGCUGUUCCUGAACAUGUGGGCAGUGUUGAUAUUCGCACACAUGGUGGUGUAGGUUGGCUCCUGGUACGACUGAAUGAAUCAUGUGGUCGCGUAUGCAUUAUGCCAUACAUGUGAUGAAUAUUGAAACCCAUUUUAUUGUCACUCGAAAAAAAAACAUGAAAGCAGGCCUGUCAUCUGGAGGUGCGUUUUUAACAUUAACUUUUUGUAUAAUUUAACACCUGUCACCCGCGUGGAGAUAAACUAAAAGUUGGGAAAGCAUCUACUUGGAAUUUAUAAUUUAACUUUUUUAUAUGGAAAAGGAUUAUCAUCCACCGGCGAUCGCGCGCGGCUGUCUGCCAGCUCCUUAGCCGUUUGAUUUGAUCAGACAGUCGUACAUCAUCCUGCGUGUGUCAAAGCCACUUUUGUUUCUUGCAACUAGCAUAUUCUUGAUACUGGAUAACAGUAGGGAUGUUUCGGGGGGUCGUCUGGCUCCACUCUAUUCUCGCUCGGUCAAUUUGCUUUCCUCCACCGCUUGGUUCUCUGCCCUUUUUUUUGCAACACGAUCUCUGCUGCGAAAAGAAUUUGUAACAUUAUCUGUGUUGUAAAAAUUUCUUUAUCAAGAUCUAUGUUACAAAAUGUUUCUGCAACAUGAUCUUUAUUGCAAAUAUAAAGGAUCACAGACGACCGCUAUAUUGCGAGAUCAGGACGGCGAUCCACUGGCUGUUUGUUUCAGGAGUUAUUUCUGCAACGCGGUCGUUGUUUCUGCAACAUGACUGUUCUUUCAGGAAUUGUUUCUACAACAUGGUCAUUAUUUCCGCGACGGAGAUGAUGUUUCAUAAAUUAACCCAGGCUUUUCGAUGCCAUCUGCUCGAAGACGGUAGUUUAGCUCCUGCACGUCGGCGGCGGACUGAUUUUACGGCGGGCUGACGACGGCUUCGGGCCGGGCGCAGCUCUGUAGGGGCCAAGGAAGAGUGUCUAGUUUCCGUAAUAAAUCGGUUGUUGCGGUUAAUAACGACUGACCAUGCGACGGGAUGCGGCGUUAGAUCAAACGGUUGUUAGCUCGGGCAUCCAACAGCUGGAUAGGUGACAGAUAAUUUUUAAAAAUCAUCCGACGGACGAGUAGUGUUUCCCCUUUUAUCUAUACCUAAUAAUAAAGAGGCUAUUGCUUCCGUCGGAAAACCCACCGCGGCAUUUUUAUGAAAAAAACCUAUAUUUUUUGUUAUUCAACCAGCGCUUCAUCAUUUAUCUACAACGCAAAAGGAAAAACAAUUCGCUGUAAAAAUUAUACCCAUACGCAUCGCCUCCUCCCGUCGACCCUGGGCCACCCUGGCCUGUGCCCAGGCCGCCGCCACACCACUCGCCGCCGUGGCCGACCUCAACCGCCACCGCUGCCGAUCUCAACCCACCCACCUCCGCGGCCGUACCUCUCCCCGCCCCUCGUUGCGGCGCUCGAGCACAUCGCGUCGACCCUGGUCCAUCCUGACAUGUGCCCAGGCCGCUGCCACACCACUCGCCGCCGCGGCCGACCUUAACCACCACUGUUGUCGAUCUCAACCUACUCGCCUCUGCGGCCGUACCUCUACCCGCUUGAUGCCCCCGUUUCGGCGCUCGAGCACAGCUUCUGGAUCAAAUCAACGCGACAACUAGAGUGACUGGGGAUGAUGCGUCUGCUGGAUGCAGAACGGCGGCGGCGCACGAAUAAGGCGCGGCGGAGUGAAGUACUUGCUGGUGGAGGCGGGCCUCCAUGGCUCACACGGGGAACUCCGAGGUUUUGGCGCGGCAACGGCGACUCCUUAUGGUCAGAUAGAGGCGCCUAACCCUUGCUCUCCUCAUCGUAUCCCCUCCUCCGGCAGGAACUCGUCAUCUGGUGAGAUCCCCUCCCCAUGCCUCCAACCGUGUGCCAAGCACCGACAAUUUUUUUUGUUUUGUGGGGAUUUGUUUGCUGAUGAAUGAAUGUAUUGAAUGUAAGAUUGUAUUGUUGUAGAGACAGAGAAUGGAACACCACCUUCAGUUUGUGAUCUGAUCCCACAUUCUCUCCCCAUGGGUGAAAUACGAUAACAGUCCAUUGAUCAAUUCACGUAGCCUCUUUGUUUUGCUUUGCUUGUCCCGCUCAAUUUCUUAUCAUGGUGGAAUUAACAAUGGACGGGUUGAUUUCUUAACAAAAUAGGAUAGGACUGACUACAUUAGUUAGUUAGCUUAUUAUUUUAAUAAAUCAAAAUGAUUAUAAAAAGAUUAAAAGUGUGUGGUAUUUUUUUCUCCCGUUGCAACGCAUGGGCCCUUUUGCUAGUUAUAUAUAAAAAGUUCUAAUUUGACUCGGAGUCGGAGCCGAUACAAACUGAGUUUAUCGGGCAAAGGAAAGGGCUCGGCUUAGGGUUCUUUAUCUCCCCUAAUAAUAAAGCGGGCAGUGUUUCUGUCGUCCGUCGUCAGUCAUUUUGCAAAAUAGCCCUCGCAGUUUCAGUUAAUUAACCCGCAGUCCAACUUUAAGUCAGAACGAACCGUUUCUGUCGUUUCGCAGAAAAGUCCUCACAGUUUUAGAUAAUCAACCCGCGGUCCAUCUUUUAGUCAGAGCCGAACCGUUUUUUGCAUUUUACAGAAAACACCCUGAUGUUUCAGGUAAUGAACCCGCUGUCCCUAUUUAAGUCAGCUGAAACGUUUUUUUGUUUUAAAAAAAACCUGACUUUUCACUUAAUCAAUCCGUAUUUUAUCUAAAACAAAAUUAUCCAUAUCUUUUAAACCGUAACUCCGAUUUUUACAUGUUAUAUAUGAAAUUUGAUUGCAAAAAUAUGUAGAAUCUAAAUAGUAUGUUAUUUUUAGCUGUUGAAUACUUCUUAAAUAUUAUUUUUGGUCAAACUUAAUCUGUAGUGCACGGUCUUUUUUUCUCUCUUCCUGACGACCAUAGGAAUUGCAAUAAAUAUCCAUUAAAUUAAAACCAAAUUGAGAGGAAAGAAAACAUCGUUAACCACACAUGCACACCUUUGGAAAAUCUCGUGGGGAGAAACAACAUAUUUCUCAUCUUAUUCCGAGUGAUUGUACAUUCAAACGCGUUUUCGUUGUGUGAGCACUGAGGCCAUCGUCGACAACACAAAUGUGAUGCCAUGUGAAAAUAUAUUACGUUCAAAGCGUGUGUUAUUUUCUCUUCCGUUGCAACACACUGGCUUUUUUGCUAGUAAAUAUAAUUCGCGUGUCAUCGUCUGAUCUCAUCUAUCGGGGUUACUGCAGAAGGAAGGGAGGCAGCCAUCAACAAGAUGCGGGAGGAGGCCGCAAUCAAGCAGGGCGCCGAUGCCUCGGACGUCGUCAAGCAGGGUGUGUGUUGGCUUUUGAACGUGCGUAUGCAGCUGUACAUGCGUGCCUACGCGAUUCUUGCUUCGGCCGGCUACUUGACGGAACUUGCGUCACUAGCGACACGAAUAAAACUGAUCGAUGGAUUUGAUGGCUAAAGGCCCGUGUCGAGCCUUUGCUUUGUAUUGCUUUUCGUUUUUCUGGUGUUACAAUCAACACCCCUAGGGUGUCUUUUAUACACGUCCACAAGGGACUAUGGAAAUAGACUAGGACUAGGAAUCCUAAUACUACUAGGACUCGGUUUGGCUUUCUUUCCUAAUCCUAAAGAAACAACAUGAUUAACUUCUACAUUCACCUCCUUAAUCUUGUUGCUUGACUUCACUUCUUGCACUCCGACUUUCCUCCUCAUCUCGAUGAACUUCUGUCGACCGAGGGACUUGGUGAAAAUAUCGACAAGUUGGUCUUUCGUGUUCACAUGUUGAACCUCGAUCAACCCUUCUUCAAUGCACUCCCGGAUAUGAUGGAACCGGGUAUCUAUGUGCUUGCUCCUUUCGUGAUGAACCGGAUUUCUGCACAACGAGAUUGCAGCUUGGUUAUCGAUCUUCAGUGACACCUUCUGCACCUCCCGCUUUGCAAGAAUAGCUAGGAGUCUUCUCAGCCACACUACUUGACAAGCCGUCGUGCUUGCCGCUAUGUAUUCUACCUCGCAUGAAGACAGUGCCACCACCUUUUGCUUCUGAUAAUUCCAGCUAAUCGGAUUCGGGCCAAGGUAGAAAACCAUGCCCGUUGUGCUCUUUCGGUCAUCAACAUCACCUGCCAUGUCACUAUCUGAAUAUCCACGAAGGAUCAAUCCUUCCUUUCCCUUUCUGUACGUGCAACCAAGAUUAAUGGUGCCUUUCACAUAGCGCAAGAUUUGAUUGACCGCGCUCAUGUGCUCGGUUGUCGGAUUCUCCAUGAAACGACUCACGAUCCCGACUGAAUAAGCCAAGUCAGGUCGGGUAUGCACCAAAUAUCUUAGGCUGCCCACAACGCUUCGAUACAUUGUGGUGUCCACCGGUGGAUUUGAGCUACGCUUGCUCAACUUGUGACGUUGGUCCAUUGGAACUUGUGUCGCGUAGCAAUCUGACAUGCCACACUUGUCCAAUAACUUGACCGCGUAAGCCGAUUGACAUAGAGAAAUCUCUCCAGAGCUUUGCUUCACUUCGAUGCCCAAGUAAUAGCUGAGUAAUCCCAGAUCACUCAUGCUAAACUUGUUCUUCAUUUGCGCCUUGAAACGUUCAAUUUCUUGUACGCUAUCUCCGGUGAUAAUCAGAUCGUCGACAUAAACUCCAACUAGCAGGUUUGAGCCUUUGGAGUUCUUUGUAUAGACUGCGUGCUCGAGGGGACAUCUCUUGAACCCGAGCGAGACCAGAUUUCGGUCUAACUUUGAGUUCCAAGCUCUUGGCGCUUGCUUCAACCCGUAAAGUGCCUUCUUGAGCUUGUAAACUUUCCCUUCUUCGCCUUUCUUCUCGUAGCCGAGGGGUUGUUCCACGUACACUUCUUCUGUGAGAUCGCCGUUGAGGAAAGCGGAUUUAACAUCCAUAUGAUGAGCCUUCCAAUCCUCUUGUGCUGCCAAAGCUAAGAGCACUCUCACUGUCUCGAUUCGAGCAACCGGUGCAAACACCUCAUCAUAGUCAUCUCCUUGACGUUGUACGUAGCCCUUUGCAACGAGUCUUGCCUUGUACUUCACAAUGGCACCCUCCGUGUCCUUCUUUAACUUGUAAACCCACUUCAAACCUAUCGUCUUUUGGUUUGGAGGUCGGGUUACCAAAGUCCACGUGCCAUUGCUCUCAAUUGCCUUCAUCUCCUCAUCCAUGGCGUGCGUCCAGCUAGGACUUUUGCUCGCCUCUACUAAGUUCGCCGGCUCCUCAACUCCGAACAAACAUAGUCCGGAGUACUCAAGUGUAACUGGCUUUGUGUACUUGUAGACUUUCUUGAGGGUCUUGUAGCGACGAGGCCCUGAGGAGUCUGUUGUGGCUUGCGAAGGAGGCGACACAAAUUGUGUCGGUGUUGAUGCACUUGAGGAAGAUGGCUGAGACCCUGGUGUGUCAUCGACAUCUGUGUCGUCGGCGUAGUCGUCGUGACCGUGACCAUCAUCUUGAUUGUCGUCGUCACUAUGCGCCUCGUUGUCGAUGUUGUGGUCGAGAUCUCCGCUUGUGUCGUGCGCGGCGUUGUCGCUAUCUCCUUGCGACCUAUGCGCGUCGUCGUCGGUGUCAGCACCAUGAUGAUCACUACCAUUGUGGUCACCUUGGUUGGGCGUCUUGCCAACCACCUGGACAUCCUCCCCUGCAUCAUCAUCAGUUGGAAAUUCAACUGCAAAUAUGUUACUGUUUGGAGCAUCGUCGGCUGCGGCGCUCCAAUUCCACGCUUGGUUUUCUUCAAACACGACGUCGCGUGAAAUCCGUAGACGCUUGGUUUGUGGAUCGUACAAACGGUAUGCCUUGGUGCCAGAACUGCUCUCGUAUCCGAUGAACACCAUCUUGGUGCUACGAUCGACAAGCUUUGAGAGGUGUGGCUCCGCCGUCUUCACAUGUGCCACGCACCCGAAUGUCCGUAGAUGAGACACAUUCGGCUUACGUCCGUAAAUUGCUUCAUACGGAGUCUUGCCGAUCACCGCCUUCGUUGGAGCCGGUUGAGAAGAUAGACCGCCGUCGAGACAGCUUCUCCCCAAAAAGUCCCCGACAGGUUCUUGCUCUUGAGUAAACUCCUUUCCAUGUCAACGACGGUUCGAUUGCGCCUUUCAACGACCCCAUUCUGCUGCGGCGUGUAAGGUGCCGUGAGGAACCUCUUUAUGCCAAUCUUCUCGCAGUAGUCGUUGAACUCAUUCGACAUAAACUCUCCGCCGCGGUCUGUCCGUAGAGCGCGAACCUUCAGCUUGUGUUCCAUCUCCGUUGCAGCCUUCAACUUCUUGAACGCUUCAAACACCUCAUCUUUAGACCGUAGGAGAACGACCCACAUAUAUCUCAAGUGGUCAUCUACCACAAGGAAGAAAUACUUCUUUCCAACGUGAGUUGCCGGGGUGAUAGGGCCACAUAGAUCACCAUGGAGCAACUCGAGUGCAUCACUUGCACGAUAGGUAGACUGAGCAGGGAAUGGCCUGCGGUGUUGUUUUCCAACCAAUCACCCGUCACAUACUCGAUCAACAUGGUCGAUAACUGGCAUCCCGGAUACCAUCUCCAUCUUUGACAUCUUCUUCAAGGCGUAGAAGUUAACGUGUCCAAAUCUAGCAUGCCAUAACCACGAAUCAUCAUCACUCUUGGGGAGCCAACACUCCGGUUGAGAUUGAUCAAGGUUGAGGAUAUAGAGCCUAUUCCGUGUGCGACUAACACGAGUUAGCACGUUCCGGAGGUUGUCGAAGAUCGUCAUCACUCCGUUCUCGAUAUCCACCUUACAUCCAUUCUCGUCAAGCUUCCCGAUAGAGAUGAUGUUGUUGCGAAGCCGUGGGAUGUAGUACACUCCGGUGAGUAUGCGAUCUUCGCCUGUGAGACCCUCGAAGAGGACAGAUCCUUGCCCACAAAUAUCCAUAUUUGAACCAUCACCAAACUUGACCGAGCCUUCAACAUCAUAUUCCAGCUCGAGAAAUUUCUCCUUGCAUCCCGUCAUGUGGUUACUGGCACCCAUGUCGAGAUACCACGACACGUUGUGAUCCCCGGAUAACUUAGGUGUCACAUUCUUCUCAUGAAGUAGCACCUUCCGGCUUGGUUUCACAACCACUGUUUCAGCGAGAUCACAAACUUCGGCCAUCAGAAGACCUGGACCUUCGCCUUUCUCCUUUGCCAAAUUUGCCUUGAUCUCCCGCUUGUCAGGCUCCGGACAAUUCUUUGCAAAGUGACCCAUCUCGUUGCAGUUAUAGCACUUGACCUCGGACAUAUCCAAGUUCCGUUGCUUCCGCCCUUUAGAUCGGUCUGCCUUACCACGACCUUGUGGUUUGACUUUUCCUUUGCCUUCUCUGGUUUGUCCGCCGCGCGUUGCGUUGCUUGAGCCUUCGUUGCCGUCACGCCUUCCUUUGCUACUUGGGGCCUCGCAAUCUGCAUGCGAGUACAUGAGUUGGUCACUACCUCCUCCUUUACCUUUCCGACAGCCACGAGCAUUCUCUUCCCAUGUCCGCAAUCGUCAGAUCGCCUCCGUUAUGGCCAUGUCGUCGAUGUCGUAAAGCUGCUCGAGUGUGCCGAUGAUGUACGUGAAUUUAUCAGUGACUGAACUGAAAAACUUUUCCACAAUCUCGGUCUCAUCGAGCUUUGCACCAAGCGAGCGGAUCUCUCCCACCAAAGUAGUAAGACGCAUGGCGUAGUCAUUCACCGAUUCAGUUUCCUCCAUCUGCAACUUGUGAAAUUGGCGCUUCAGCACUUGUGCCCGUGCCUUGGUGACGCGAUCUUCUCCGAUCCUCAUCUCCUUGAGUGCGUUCCACGCCUCUCUUGCCGUCUCGAACUCCGCCAAUGUCAUCAGCACGGAAUCCGGCACAGACUGGGCUAUGGCGGCCAUGGCACCUUCGUAGCGCUCCUCGUCGACGUCAUCGUCCGUGAUGGCCUCCCACACUCGAAGGGAUCGAAGAAUAAUCUUCAUCUUCACCGCCCACACGCCGUAGUUGGCGUCGGUGAGCAUCGGGUACUGGAUGGGGAUGUUGCGAUGCGCCUGGACGUUGGCGCCGCUCGUUCCUCCACCACUGGUUGCUGACUUGACGCCCUUUUUCACCUUGUCGCCGUUCUUGUUCGCCUUGGCACCGCCACUGCCGGACUCGACAGACUCAGCGUCGCUGUCCGUCAUCGUAGAUCGUAGAUCGUCGAGGCUCUAGAUACCAAUUGUUGGCUUUUGAACGUGCGUAUGCAGCUGUACAGGCGUGCCUACGCGAUUCUUGCUUCGGCCGGCUACUUGACGGAACUUGCGUAACUAGAGACACGAAUAAAACUGAUCGAUGGAUUUGAUGGCUAAAGACCCGUGUCGAGCCUUUGCUUUGUAUUGCUUUUCGUUUUUCUGGUGUUACAAUCAACACCCCUAGGGUGUCUUUUAUACACGUUCACAAAGGACUAUGAAAAUAGACUAGGACUAGGAAUCCUAAUACUAUUAGGACUCGGUUUGACUUUCUUUCCUAAUCCUAAAGAAAGAACAUGAUUAACUUCUACAGUGUGGAGUCCCCGGCGGCCCCGGCAGCAGCGGCAUGCGGAAGCAAAGGGAAGAUGUACCGGCUGAAGAAACGCGAGCUCAGGACCAUCUUUGCCCUCAGGCCGGAGCCGUUCCCUCCGGCAGACGACUAUCUCGAGCUGGCCCCGUUCUUCCCGCCACGGUGGCUCGAGCGGAAGAACCGGGAGGUGGAGGAGGAUGCGGCCCACUUUGCGAGGAUGGACGCGGAGUGGGAGGCUUUCAGGCAGGAGGUGAUUGAGGGGGUCAGGAAGAACGGCUACUUCGAGGUCGACGAGGACCCCUCGGAGGGCAGGGAGGAGGCUAAUGAAUACGCCAGGCAAGACUUGGCCGAGAUUGACUUCAGUAAACUCCGUCUCCUUGAUGCUGCUAGACCAAAUAUGCCACAGCCCAAAGUUAUUCCCUACGUUUACGUUCCCAACGAGGACGAUGCUCUUCUGGAUGAUAUUCCGAGUGAUGAUGAUUUCGUGUCUGGCUCAGCGUUUUGAUUUUCGGUUUGACAAUUUUUUCGCCCUUGGCCGAGAUGGACGAAUUUCGGCCAUUUUCAAAUUUUUCGGUCGAAAUUUGACCAAAAUUUGAUUGAAGUUUGACUAAAAUUUGACCAAAAUUCAUCAAAUUCGAUCAAUUUCGGCGGAAAGUUAGAUUUCACCCCAGGCCGAGAUGGCCGAAAUUCCGCCGAAAUCCAUUUUUUCGGCCAAAUUUCAAAACACAGGUCUGGCUAUAACGAAGAUGUUUCUUGGCUCAACGACAAAGAGGACCUUGACGGGGAAGGACCUGGACCAAUCGGUGUUAAUGUUUUUAAUUUGCGACCCUUCAUGGUUAGAUUAGUUUGUAGGGAUUUCAACCCCCGUGUGUGCCAGUGCAUGCAUUCUACUGCAAACUGAAACUAGUAGCAGAGAGUUUUGAUUUAACUUUGUUUUCAAAUCUCUUGAUGUACUGAUUUUUGAUUUUACUUAUAAUGUAUGGCUUUGAUUUUACUUAUUAGGGUAUAAUUCCACAAAUAUUUUGAACACCGUUUCGAAAAACUUACCAUGAUAUUUGUAUGUAACUUAUCAUGCCGUGAUGAGUAAAUAUCAUGCUAUUUAUACAUAAGUUUAAGGAGGAUAUAUGAAAAACUUUUUAAACCCCAAGGUCAAAAUUUAUCAUGUGCCGUGCCCGUUCGUCGAGGUAGGGCCCAUGGAUCAACAUGUGAUGCUAUAUUAUUUACAUACAAGAAAUUACCCGGUGUAUAUUUAUCAAACUUUUUUUUGGGUCGAACUUAUCACAGUAUUUACACCUAAUUUAUCAGGUCUAUGGUGCCUAAAUUAUCAUAUUUUUCUAUAUACAUAGCAGUAUAUAUAAAAGUUAUCAGCUGUGUGACGUGUAUAUUACCAUGAUAUUUACACAAGAAUUAUCACUGGCAUGUUUAAAAAAAAUAUCACCGGGCCAAUGUUACCAUGUUGUUUGUACUUAGUGGUGCGAUAAAUUAACAUCUAUUUACGCAGAAAUUACCAAGAUAGCACGAUAAAAUAGCAUGCGGGGAAUCCGGAUCUAACGGCAAUCAGAUCGUUCGGAUCUAUUGCUAAAACUUUGUGGUUCAGAAAUUAACAAAAUCAUUUAAAUAAACAGAUGUGAUUUAUAGGACAAAUGGAGUAAUACAUUGGAUUCUUACUUGAAUGAAGUUUCAGUGAUCUGCCGUUUCUACAUACAAGUAGUUUUUGAUUAUUUAAAAAUUGUAAAAAUUAACAACUAUAGUAUGAAGUAGUUUAUGAUUUUCUAUAUUUUUUGAAAUUUCCAGUUUUGUGUUUGCUUUAGCAUUAAACAUUUAUUGAUUUUCCGUCCAUUAAACUGGUAGUGAGAAUAAAGAAAAAGCUGGCCAAGAGGUAAUGCGGGAGCAUCAAGGAAGUUGCUAAUAGAGUUUGUGGAGUUAAACAAAUAAAUUUGAGCACGCAAAAUAGCAUGUAUACUUUAUUACCGGGAGGGAAACGCGCGUCGGACGCAGUCCCAACCCAAGCCCCAGCCACAGGUUGUAGCCCCAUGCGUUGACAUAGGCUCAUCGUCAGAGUAGUAUACCGCAGGAAAGUAGGCGUCCACUCACGAGUGGUGGGCUUCCCACUUCUGCAUCUCCACCACAUGCAGUGAGAGCGGCCUCGUCCUCGACGGAAGGAGAUAAGUAAACGCCAAUGGGUGCGGCCUUGUUGGUAACUUGGGCCUUGGGGACGUGCCCCGUACCACCACCUUCUCCUACAUCAUCGCCAUGUCCAGCACGAACCCGUCAUACUCGAACACCUGCUCCACGUCCUUUACUAUCCCGGCGUCCAUCUCGUACUCCUACUCCGUCAAUGAAGGAGCUUGAUGCCAAUCCACAACUUGUGCGAUACACUGUCGACUAUGGUGUGUGCCGGCGGGGUUGCAAAUUUGAGGGGAGAGGGGUAUAACAUAUGGAGGUGGAAAGGAGCUUCAUAUGGGCUUGUGGAGGGGGGGUGUGCGCGUCUGCCGGUGGCGGAGGCAUCAAUGGCACCCACGAAUGCUUGACCCUUUCUCCCUGCAUGGAACAAAUGUAGGUGGCAAAAGUGACGACUGGCCUGAAGCUGCUCGCAGCAUGUACAUUAGCACAUUUUACCAAAUAUCUGUGGUAGGCAACGAGAGCGCGGUUUUUCCCUUCACUGAAAUGUGGGCGAUUAUUGUUAAAUUUGACAUUUGAUUAAAAAUAAAUUAAAAUUAAGGUCAACCAAAUUGUUUUUUUUGUAGAUAAUAUGAGGCAAUUACAUAUGAUUCAGAAAGAUUGCUACACUGUGUAUAAGGUUUUUCCUAAGGUUGCGUAGUAGAAACUUCGAAGCAACGAACCCACAAAACUUGCAUGUAUUUUGUUGCCUCAAUGUCGGAAAGAAGCUAGGGCUCAAACAUAUUAGAGUGAAGUAGAUACAAUUACCUACAUAGAAAGGAUUCUAGGUUGCAAUCGUGUUGAUCCCGUGACUUAUAUAACUUAAUGUUCAAGUGUUUCCUUUCUCCGCGAUUAUUUCUUGUUUUUUCCUAUGAUUUUCUUCAUCUCUAAAUGAUGCUUCCGUUGUGCUCUUCUAUUACUGCAAAGACUGUUACAUACCACCUAGUCAAGGGAGGAUAGUUGGUUGGCGUGGGUGUUCUGUUGUUUUAGUCGUUUUGGUGUAAAUGACUGCUCAAAUUAGUAAUACACUCUCUCUAUUUCGAAUCACACAGUUCUCUAUUUGACCAUUUUUUGAACAGUCACCGGGGGGAGAGGAUCUCCACCUGAAUGUAUUACUCAAAAAGUUGUCAAAGCCAAGAGUCACCCCUUAAGCUUUGAUUAAUCCAGUUUAUAAGGAAAACCGAAUCAAAAAUCUAAACAAAUUGAUCCCUUUUAUGAGGCAAGCCCGGCCGAAAACUGUACAGGAACAAGGUUAUAGAAGAGAGAGAAAAAAUGCCACCCGGGAGAUGCAUGACUUAGCUAGCAGGUAGAAAGACCAACACCUUGAGAGACACAAGUAGAUGUGGUGUUCUGUCGAGGGACCACAAUACCAAGACUCUGCAAACAACCUAACGCACCGCACCGACGUGCGUCUCGAGCCCCAUGGCACAACAGAGGAUCAACCAUAAACAAGGAGUGCCAAAUGUUAACACGAACCUUGACUGGGAGAUCCCUCACUGGCAGUCUAGACGAUUAACAGGUUAGGGAGGCAUCAUUGCUUCGUCAUUGAGCAAAGGUAAAUCGAGACAACACCAAGAGCCCGAAGCUCGCCGCAGCACAACGGCAAUCAUGGGAGGGUCUUGAGCAUGAAUAGCAACAGAACAGAGACCAUGCGAAGGACAACUGAAGAGAAACAUAAGAAGAAGAACAAACCACAAAUGGUCCUGAGCAGGCCACACCACCACCACCAAACGAACCAUCCUCAAUCACACGCAGCAAACUGAAGUCGUCGUUUGGGUCUCCGAGAUGACGCGUCCAAAGAGGUAGUGUUUUCAAGGGCACAACACCAUCAUCCGAUCCGGCAAGCCUGAUCUUAGGUUUUCACCCAGAAACCGCAAAGCAAAGUAUUAUAGGUGAUGGAGCUCCACAACGACACCUUCUACGAGGAAAACAGCGUACAUAGACAACCACUACCAUCAAACCCUUCAAAUGACAAAGAAGCACAACAAGCCGCCAGAGCAAACCACACCCUAUGGAGACCACUGACGACCAAGCGUCCGCACUAGGAACGAGAUCUAUCAAUAGCCAGCCGAGCGCAGGCCACCGUACGCAACACGGUCCACCAUGCCCUACCAAGCACCAUGCCGGCAAGGAGGAGAGGAGCACUGCCAAGGCCAGGAACCACCAUGGUCCGGACUUCAGCCAUACAUGAGGCACGCCGGCACAACACAUGCGUGCCACCGCGCACCCGUCGGAGACCAGAACGAUGCCCCCACCGCGCGAACGAAAGGCAGUGAGACAAAAACCAGCUGCUGCAGCACCACCACUACUCCCACCACGUCCACCAGCACCAGUCAUCACCACCCUCCUCAUCCCCAAGCCACACGACCAGGAUCCUAUCGAACCGGAUGCAGCCAGGACAGUGAACCCGAUGCAACCAGGCCAGCGAAAUGGAUCAAGCCAGGCCAGUGAAACGCAUCACCAGCGAGCUUCCAAAUCCACCCCCGAAGCGAACCAUAGGAGGCGGGACGCCGCCAUGCAUGCCCAAGGAAGCACCGGAGAAGGAGCAGCCAACCCCAACCACAGCAGGCAGCGAGACCAGCACCUCCGCUCGAAACCGUCCUAGCGAGGAUCCAAGCGCGCUGGCCAGAUCCGUCGCCCAGGGGAGAGGUCGCACGCAUCGUGAACCAACGCCGGCGAUCAGGCAUAACGGCACCACGUCGCCUCCAAGCUCCCCGCGUACGAGCAACGCCCUCCCCUACCGAGCCCGACGGCUGCCACCACGUCGACAAACAUAUCUAGCCAGCCAUCGGCACGUCCACCGCGAGCUCUCCCUAGCCGCCUUCGGAGGCAGGGGCCGCCGCCCCCGCGGCCGGGCCAGCGGCAACGGCGGAGGAGAGAAGGCGGGAGGGGGUCUACUGGCGGCGGCGCGCUAGGUCAGCCCCGAGUCAUCCCAGGGAGACGACGCGGUUUAUACUUCAUCCGAUUCAUAUUAAUAGUGGCACUAAUGCUACAACCAUUAAUUUGAAUCACAUGGAGUAAUUUAUUUCUUUGUUGUGAUAUAAUUUUCUUUAUGGACUUCAAUGAUAGAAACAUUUGAUUUAUGUAGAUGGGUCGCGUUACUCGUCGUCCUAGGUGAGCAAUAAUUAUUCUUCACCCUCCUUUAUUUUAACAUCAAUGCAACGUAAUUUUGCGUUUCAUAAAUUUUCUCUUAUUUUAUGCGUAAAAAGAGACUGUAAUAAAUAAUAAUCAACGUAAAAAUAUUUUAUGUUACGUAAAAUUCCAAACAUAUAAAAAUAGUGCAAAAAUCCUAUAGAUUCAAUUUUUUCUGGUCUUGUGACCUAUAUUUCUGUUUUUCUAUAGUCAAAUUUUACGUGUCGAUUCAAUAUAAAUGUAACUAUUUGUAUUUUAAAUGCAAUUUAUUUGUAAAUUGAUCGUAAGGUUAUCUCAGAUAAAGAAUAUACUAUUCUGCAUCUUGCGUGAUGAAUAGAAUUUCUAUUAUGAAAAUUAAAUAUAUAGUAAUACUAUAUUUAUACCUAAAUAAUUGUAGUAGAGCAUAUUUGAUUUUAAAAGAAAGGAAACAUUUUUCACCGAAGGAAAGAAAAAUGAAGUGGGGGUGGGGGAAGAAGAGGAUACGGAGGGGCAGGGGCAGCAGGAGCUGGGCCCAGUCCGGCAUGCCGAGUCUGGGCAGUAAACGGUUUCCGAUACGUGCUGAGAGCAUCUCCAACAGCGGCGCAAAAAGGCACGCGCGCGCUAAACAUGCAUUUUACCGCGCGCGGGACAAAUUGGCGCGCUCCAGCGUCGGCGGAAAAACCACGCGCGCGGGAACCGCUUGCACGCGCGUGCGAAAAGGCGGCAACUCGCGCGUCAUUUUCGCGGCGCCGCGUCCCGCGCGCCCAUAAAAGGCAACGCGCUGCCAUUUCAUCGCGCCACCGCUCCGCGCGCUCUCUCUCCCUCUGCCUCUCGCGCCGCCGCCCCAGCGCGCUCUCUCUUCCUCUGCCUCUCGCGCCACCGCCGCCGCCGACGCGCCACCAUGCCAUCGCGUCGCCGUUCUGCAUCAGGCUACCGUGGCGUCCGCCAGCGCCCCAACGGCGGGUUCUACGCCGAGAUACGUUCCGGCGAUCUCCGGCUUAGCCUCGGAACCUACGACACGGCGCACGAGGCCGCCCGCGCGUUCAACGCGGCGGCGUGGCGCCUAGGCAGGCCGCGCCUCCAAAUGAACUUCCCGGACGUCCACACGCUCCAGCAGGCGUUGGACCUCGCCCCGCCGCCUCGUCUAAACUCUACACAAGACCGUGCGGAGCACACUGCGCUGCAGCGCCGCCUCCUCGUCGCCCAGGAGGACGAGCGGAUCAUGGCGGAGUGGCGCCGGCGCCACCCGGAGGACGUCGCCUACGAGCAGGAAUAUUGGGAACGGCGCCGCGAGGAGCGGUUGGACAGGCGUCGUCGGAAGGCUUUGGCGUGUGCGCAGGCCGACCUCGUCAAUGCAGGCGGGAGGUCCUUCUUCUCUGAAGAAGAUGAGCGUUGGUUUGACAUCUGGCUGUCAACCUCUGACGACACCAAAGACGAUGAUGAUGGUGCAGAUGACUGGAGCGACUAGAAUUAGUUUUUCUGUUUUCGAACUAUCUAGCACCGAACUAUCUAUCUAUGUUUUCGAACUACCUAUCUAGUUGCAAUCUAUGUAAAAUAACUUUGUAUCUUUUUUUAUUUAAUGCAAUCUAUUUAUUAAAAAAUGUUGUGCGCACGCUGCAUUUUUGGGCACUGCUGGAGCGGCGCGUGCGCUGCAUUAUAGCGCGGCUGUUGGAGCCAGCGCCUAUCCCCGCGCUAAACCAGCCGAAGCGCGCGCGGCAAACGCAUUUUUUGGACACAGCGGGUUGGGCGGCUGUUGGAGAUGCUACUCGAGAGGCAAACAAGGGCUCGCUCGGCCAGGGUUCCUCUUCCCCUUCUUUAUACAGAUUGCGAUUGCUCGGCCAGGGUUUAUCAAGGCCAUGGCAGUUCAGGAGCCGGAAAGUUGUUGAUUAGUUCGUGCACUGCUGCCAAGUCUAUGGAGGCCGGCAACCAUGCUUCGGUGAGGAUGGCAGCCGUUGGAUCCAGCUACAAGGAGGGUGAGCAGCUUCCCAAGGGAUGGAUCGAUCUUUCAACGUCGACGGGACAAGAGAAGACAGGAUCUUACGAUCCGCUCGGGACAGGAGUAGCGUUUGACAAGGAGGCGAAACUGUCCGCCGUCUUCCCCAUCGAGAGUGCCGAUGCAUCCAUUGACCCUGAGGGGACAGCAGAGGCAGCAUCAGCGUCAGAUGGCAACAAGGCCAUGUUUCGGGUGCCUGCGGAGCAUGUCAAGCUCAUCUUGUCCCUGAAGAGAGACGACCUUCCCAACAGCGACUACCUAGACGACCUAGCCGACCUAUACACCCCGGAGGAGAUGGCCGAAAGGAGGCGGCGGCACGAGAGCGAUUUGGAGCUGUUAAAGAGGAUUGACGACGACUUCGAGGUGUACCAGAAACAGGUCCGCGAUUCGAUUCAGAAUCAUGGCUACUUUGAGGUCGACUACGACUACCUUGAGGAGAGGAGAAAGGUCAAUGCAUGGACCAAGGCGCAGUGGACCAAGAUCAAAGAAGAUGUCAAGCUCACAUUUUGUGCCGCUGAUGCUGAUCAAGCCACACAGGGUUACAUCGAGUAUGUCGACUCCGACUAUGAUGAUGCUUCUGAUUCUGAGUAUGAUGAUGAUUCCUGGUCUGAAGUCGAAGACUGAUUUCCUCAACGAUGGAGAGAAAGCUAGGCAUGCAUGUAUAGCGCAGUAUUAGGGUUAUCUAUGUAUGUUAUAGACUCAUCCAUGUUACCGUCAUUGAGUAUUCGACUAUUCGUUGAUGAUAGCUAAUAAUCUAGCGUGACAGAUCGCCAGGGCUGCUAAGUGUGUGAAUGAUACUACAGCUGCAAGGGUAGUGGUUUUAGUUUCCCGUCAGUUUCAUCAGUUAGAGUUUUUUCCAUGUUUCCGUUAGACAGCGUCUGAGGACGCGGUAUGUGCGUUCCCGAGGCCUUAGAUCACGGCACGAGCUCGCUCUUGAUCGUGGGAUGGCACGAUCCGGUAGAGGGGGCAGCUCCUGAUCCGUUUUUCCCGUUCAGCAAGUGAAUAAGAAGGAAGAAACAGAAAAGCAGCAAGUGAUUGCGCUGCGAAAAACCCCGUCGUCUACCUCGAGCUCCAGCCGCCAUAGCAAGGUGUUUUCUUCGGCUCUAGGACGCGUUAGUGCUGACAAUUGACAUCAGAGCUAGGCGUCGAUCUUGGGAAUGGCAGGCCCAGACAAUUCAGGUAGCAAGUCGCCGGCCACUCCGCGGGCACGGGUCUCCGACGGCAACGAGCUUGCUGUGGCACAGAGGUCUACGACGCGGAUGGCUCGGGACACCCGCAGUGCGGCGUGGCCGCAGCUGACCCGGACCAACUACACCGACUGGGCCGUCGAUAUGCAAGUCAUGAUGGAGGGUCGACACCUAUGGGACGCUGUGCAAACAGGCACGGCGGAGCGGAGUGAUAAUCGGCUCGCGCUCGAGGCGAUCCUGCGCGGGGUGCCUCCGGAGAUGGCGCCCACUGUCGCCGGCAAGGCCACAACGAAGGAGGCAUGGGAUGCACUGAAGACGAUGCGUCUCGGCGUGGCGCGCGUCCGCGAGGCGAAGCUCGCGACCAUCACCAAGCAGUAGAACGACAUCUGUUUCGCCGACGGCGAGACCAUCGACGAUUUCGCCAUGCGGAUCUCGAACAUGGUGGCCCAGAUGGCGCAACUCGGGGAAACCGUCCAGGAGAAACGCAUCGUCCGCAAGUUCCUCUCCGUCGUCCCGAAGAGGUACUCGCAGAUCGCCCUAUCAAUUGAAACCCUCGUUGAUCUGGACACGCUUUCCGUGGAAGAGCUCAUCGGGCGACUGAGGGCUGCCGAGGAGAGGUACGACGUCGACCAGGUGGAGACAGGUGUUGGGCGUCUCCUGCUCACAGCGGAGGAGUGGAGCGCACGCCAGCACUAAAGCGAGAACAACGGAUCCGGGGGGAGCGGCUCCGGGUCAUGCCGCGGCGGUGGACGCCAUGGGCGAGGCCGCGGACGCGGCUCAAACAGCCGCGCAAAGCCCACAUACCAGUGCCGCCACUACAACAAGUACGGGCACUGGGCACGCGAGUGCAGGACGCGCCUUCGCGAGGAGCGCGCGCAGGCGAACCUCGUCGGACAAGGUGAGCAUGCCGGAGGCGGGCAUGACGACGUCCCAACGCUUGUGAUGGCGGUGAUCGCCAACCCCCCGACAAAGAUCACGGGGGAGCGCGUCAUGCUCAACGAAGAGCGUGCAGAGGCGAACCUGGGCGCCGAGGAGGCGCCGUGCGACGGUUGCUGGUUCUUGGACAUCGGGGCGUCCAACCACAUGACCGGCGAUCGGUCCGUGUUCGCGGGGCUGGACGAGGGCGUCACGGGCAGCGUCAGGUUUGGAGACGGCUCCAACAUGGCCAUUAGGGGCCGCGGCACGGUCACGUUCACCGUGCGCAGCGGCGACCACCGUGCCCUCACCGACGUCUACUACAUCCCGUGUCUCAAGACGAGCAUCAUCACCCUCGGACAACUGGACAAGCAUGGCUGCACCACCAAGAUCCACGACGGCGUCCUAACGCUCUACGAUCACCACCAGAAUGAGUUUGCUCAGGUAUGCCGAAAUGGCAGACGCUUGUAUGUUGUGCGCCUGGAUAUUGCACACCCCGUCUGUCUGGCAGCACAUGGCGGCGACGAGGCGUGGAAGUGGCAUGCCAGGUUUGGCCACCUCCAUUUUGACGCGCUCCGGUGCAUGGUGCAUGCUGACAUGGUGCGCGGGUUGCCGCUGGUGGAGCACGCAGAGCAGAUCUGCGAUGCGUGCCUGGUGGGGAAGCAACGGGGUGCUCCCUUCCCCUCUCAGGCGCGAUACCGAGCGACUAGGCCGCUCGAGUUGGUUCAUGCCGACUUGUGCGGGCCCAUCGCUCCGGCCACUCCCGGCGGCAAGCAGUACUUCAUGCUCAUCGUCGAUGAUCACAACCGAUAUAUGUGGGCUAUGAUGCUACCGGCAAAGGACGCCGCCGCGGCCAGCAUUAAACACUUCGUCGCCGCGGCUGAGGCAGAGCAAGGGGCAAGACUCCGCGCGUUCCGAACGGAUCGGGGCAGCGAGUUCACCUCCAGCGCGCUGGGAGAAUAUUUCGCAGACCAAGGCGUGGAGAGGCACCUAACGGCGCCUUAUUCGCCGCAGCAGAACGGCGUGGUGGAACGACGGAACCAGACCGUCGUGGGCAUGGUGAGAAGCAUGCUCAAGGCGAAGAAUAUGCCGAGCUACUUCUGGGGGGAGGCCGUGGCGACUGCGGUGUUCAUCCUGAACAGAUCGUACACCCGCAGCGUCGACGGCAAAACCCCGUACGAGGCUUGGUACGGCAAGAAACCUGCCGUGCACUUCCUGCGAGUGUUCGGCUGCAUAGCCUACAUCAAGAACACGCGGCCAGGGCUGAGAAAGCUCGACGAUCGCAGCAUGAAGAUGGUCUUCAUUGGCUAUGAGGCGGGCUCGAAGGCGUACAGGGUGUACGACCCGCUCACCAAGGGCGUGUACGCCUCGCGUGACAGGGUGUUCGACGAGGGCGCGAGCUGGGACUGGAGCGCCGCCGGGCACACGGAGGAGCCGCUCGUUGUCCACCACGAGCUCCUCGCCACCGCAGGAGGGCGGAGCAAGCACCAAGGACACGAUCACGUCUUCACCUGGCUCACCAGCCCCACCCGUGGUCGCUUCUCCCGCCACGCCCCAGAGCGUGGCCAUGAUCGGCACCCCAGCAACACCGCGGACCGGUGUUGGGUAACAUCGCAUGGGAAACAAAAAAAAAUCUACGCGCACGAAGACCUAUCAUGAUGAUAUCCAUCUACGAGGGGGAUUUCAGAUCUACGUAUCCUUGUAGAUCGCACAUCAGAAGCAUUAAUAAAUGCGGUUGAUGUAGUGGAACAUCCUCACGUCCCUCGAUCCGCCCCGCGAACCGUCCCACGAACCGUCCCGCGAUCCGUCCCAUGAUCCGCUUCGAUCUAGUGCCGAACGGACGGCACCUCCGCAUUCCGCACACGUACAGCUCGACGAUGAUCUCGGCCUUCUUGAUCCAGCAAGAGAGACGGAGAGGUAGAUAAGUUCUCCGACAGCGUGACGGAGCUCCGGAGGUUGGUGGUGAUCUAAUCUUAGCAGGGCUCCGCCCGAGCUCCGCAGAAACGCGAUCUAGAGGAAAAACCGUGGAGGUAUGUGGUCGGGUUGCCGUGGCAAAGUUGUCUCAAAUUAGCCCUAAAACCUCCGUAUAUAUAGGUGGGAGGGGAGGGGCCUUGCUUUGGGGCUCAAAGAGCCCCAAGGGGUUCGGCCGAAGGGGGGAAGCAGGAGUCCUCCUCCAAUCCUAGUCCAACUAGGAUUGGAAGGUGGAGUCCUUCCCUUCCUUCCCAUUUCCCCCUUUUUUUUCUUUCUCUUUGAUUUUCUUAUCUCCCUGCGCAGGGGCCUCCUUGGGCUUGCCACCAUCCCACUAAGAGCUAGUGCGGCACCCCUAAGGCCUAUGGGCUUCCCCGGGGUGGGCUGCCCCCCUGUGAACAUCCGGAACCCAUUCGUCAUUCCUGGUACAUUCCCGGUAAUUCCGAAAACCUUCCGGUAAUCAAAUAUGGUCAUCCUAUAUAUCAAUCUUCAUCUCCGGACCAUUCCGGAAACCCUCGUGACGUCGGUGAUAUCAUCCGGGACUCCGAACAACAUUCGGUAACCAACCAUAUAACUCAAAUUCGCAUAAAACAACAUCGAACCUUAAGUGUGCAGACCCUGCGGGUUCGAGAACUAUGUAGACAUGACCCGAGGGACUCCUCGGUUAAUAUCCAAUAGCGGGACCUGGAUGCCCAUAUUGGAUCCUACAUAUUCUACGAAGAUCUUAUCGUUUGAACCUCAGUGCCAAGGAUUCAUAUAAUCCCAUAUGUCAUUCCCUUUGUCCUUCGGUAUGUUACUUGCCCGAGAUUCGAUCGUCAGUAUCCGCAUACCUAUUUCAAUCUCGUUUACCGGCAAGUCUCUUUACUCGUUCCGUAAUACAAGAUCCCGCAACUUACACUAAGUCACAUUGCUUGCAAGGCUUGUGUGUGAUGUUGUAUUACCGAGUGGGCCCCGAGAUACCUCUCCGUCACACGGAGUGACAAAUCCCAGUCUUGAUCCAUACUAACUCAACGGACACCUUCGGAGAUACAUGUAGAGCAUCUUUAUAGCCACCCAGUUACGUUGUGACAUUUGAUACACACAAAUUAUUCCUCCGGUGUCAGUGAGUUAUAUGAUCUCAUGGUCAUAGGAAUAAAUACUUGACACGCAGAAAACAGUAGCAACAAAAUGACACGAUCAAUAUGCUACGUCUAUUAGUUUGGGUCUAGUCCAUCACAUGAUUCUCCCAAUGAUGUGAUCCAGUUAUCAAGCAACAACACCUUGUACAUAGCCAGAAGACCCUAACUAUCCUUGAUCAACUGGCUAGCCAACUAGAGGCUAGCUAGGGACAAUGUUUUGUCUAUGUAUCCACACAUGUAUCUAAGUCUUCAUUCAAUACAAUUAUAACAUGGAUAAUAAACGAUUAUCAUGAACAAGAAAUAUAAUAAUAACUAAUUUAUUAUUGCCUCUAGGGCAUAUUUCCAACAGUCUCCUACUUGCACUAGAGUCAAUAAUCUAGUUCACAUCACCAUGUGAUUCUAACGAAUCCAACACCCAUAUAGUUCUGGGGUCUAAUCACGUCUUGCUCGUGAGAGAGGUUUUAGUCAACGGUUCUGAAACUUUCAGAUGCGUGUGUUCUUUACAAAUCUUUAUGUCAUCUUAUAGAUGCUGCUACUACGUGCUAUUCGGAAAUACUCCAAAUAUCUACUCUACUAUACGAAUCCGUUUCACUACUCAUAGUUAUUCGGAUUAGUGUCAAAGCUUGCAUCAACGUAACCCUUUACGACGAACUCUUUAACCACAUCCGUAAUCGAGAAAAAUUCCUGAGUCCAUUAGUUACUAAGGAUAACUUUGACCGCUGCUAGUGAUUCAAUCAUGGAUCACUCUCUGUACCUGUCAACAGACUUGAGGCAAGGCACACAUCAAGUGCGGUACUCAGCAUGGCAUACUUUAGAGUCUACGGCUAAGGCAUAGAAGACGACCUUCGUCUGUUCUCCUUAUUCUGCCAUGGUCAGGUUUUGAGUCUUACUCAAAUUCACACCUUACAACACAGUCUAGAACUCCUUCUUUGUUGAUCUAUUUUGAACUCCUUCAAAAACUUGUCAAGGCAUGCAUCUUGUUGAAACUUCUAUUAAGCGUUUCGAUCUAUCUCCAUAGAUCUUGAUGCUCAACGUUCAAGUAGCUCAAUCCAGGUAUUCCUUUGAAAAAAUCCUUUCAAACAACUUUUUAUGCUUUACAGAAAUUCUAUAUUACUUCUGAUCCAUAAUAUAUCAGCCACAUAUACUUAUCAGAAAUUCUAUAGCGCUCCCACUCACUUCUUUGGAAAUACAAGUUUCACAUAAACCUUGUACAAACCCAAAAUCUUUGAUGAUCUCAUCAAAGUGUAUAUUCCAACUCCGAGAUGCUUGCACCAGUCCUUUGAAGGAUCGCUGGAGCUUGCAUACUUGUUAGUAUCUUUAGGAUCGACAAAACCUUCUGGUUGUAUCACAUACAAUCUUCCCUCAAGGAAACCGUCGAGGAAACAAUGUUUUGACAUCCUAUGUGCAAUAUUUCAUAAAUAAUGCAGCAACUACUAACAUAAUUCUAACAGAUUAUUAGCAUCGCUACAAGUGAGAAAGUCUCAUCAUAGUCAAGUAUUUGAUCUUGUCGGAAACAUCUCUGCGACAAGUCGAGCCUAUCUUAAUAGGGACUUAUCACCAUCACCAUUUGUCUUCCUUUUAAAGAUCCAUCUUUACUUAAUAGUCUUACUACCAUCAAGCAGUUCUUCCAAAGUCUACACUUUGUUUUAUACAUGGAUUCUCUCUCGGAUUUCAUGGCCUCCAGCCAUUUGUCGGAAUCUGGGCCCACCAUUGCUUCUCCAUAACUCGUAGGUUCAUUGUUGCUCAACAACAUGACCUCCAAGACAGGGUUACCAUACCACUCUGUAGCAGUACGCGACCUUUGUCGACCUACGAGGUUUGUAGUAACUUGAUCUGAAGUUCUAAUGAUCACUAUCAUCAGCUUCCACUUCAAUUGGUGUAGGCGCCACAGGAACAACUUCCUGCACCCUGCUACACACUGGUUGAAGUGAUGGUUCAAUAACCUCAUCAAGUUCCACCACUCUCCCACUCAACUCUUUCGAGAGAAACCUUUCCUCGAGAAAGGAUCCGUUUCUAGAAACAAACACUUUGCUUCCGGAUCUGAGAUAGGAGAUGUAUCCGACUGUUUUGGAUAUCCUAUGAAGAUGCUUUCAUCCGCUUUGGGUUCGAGCUUAUCAGACUGAAACCUUUUUCACAUAAGCAUCGCAGCCCCAAACUUUCAAGAAACGAUAGCUUAGAUUUCUCUAAACCUCAGUCUAUACUGUGUCAUCUCAACGGAAAUACGCGGUGCCCUAUUUAAAGUGAAUGCGGUUGUCUCUAAUGCAGAACCCAUAAUCGAUAGUGGUAAUUUGAUAAGAGAUAUCAUAGUAUGCACCAUAUCAAAUAGGGCGUGACUAUGACGUUCAGACACAUCAUCAGACUAUGGUGUUCCAUGUGGCAUGAACUGCGAACCAAUUUCCACAUCGUCUUAACUGCGUACAAAACUCGUAACUCAGAUAUUCAUUUCUAUGAUCAUAUCGUAGACAGUUUAUCCUCUUGUUACGACGAACUUCACUCUGAAGCAGAAUUGAACUUUGCAAUAUUUCAUACUUUGUGAUUCAUCAAGUAAAUACUUCUGUAUCUACUCAAAUCGUCAGUGAAGUAAGAACAUAACGAUAUCCACUGCGUACCUUAGCACUCAUUGGACUACACACAUCAAAAAAUGUAUUAUUCCCAACAAGUUACUCUCUUGUUUCAUGUGGCAUGUUUUGCAUGCCUCAAGUGAUUGAAAAUCAAGCGAGUUCAAAACGAUCCAUCUCUCAUGGAGUUUCUUCAUGCAUUUAUACCAACGGGUAUGGUUUGCAUGUCUCAAACGUUUCAAAAAUGAGUGAGUACAAAGAUCCAUCAGCAUGGAGCUUCUACAUGCAUUUUAUACCACCAUGACUCAAGUGGCAGUGCCACAACUAAGUGGUACUAUCAUUAUUACUUUGUAUCUUUGGCACUAAUAUUAUGAACAUGUGUAACACUACGAUCGAGAUUCAAUAAACCAUUGAGGGUAAUUAUUCAAGCAAAUAGAACAACUAUUAUUCUCUUUAAAUGAAUAAUCGUAUUGCAAUAAACAUGAUCCAAUAAUGUUCAUGCUCAACGCAAACACCAAAUAACAAUUAUUUAGGUUUUACCACCAAUCCCGAUGAUAGAGGGAGCGUGCGACGUUUGAUCACACCAACCUUGGAAACACUUCCAACACUUAUCGUCACCUCGCCUUUAGCUAGUCUCCGUUUAUACUGUAGCUUUCAUUUCGUGUUACUAAUCACUUAGCAACCGAACCGGUAUCCAAUACCCACGCGCUACUAGGAGUACUAGUAAAGUACACAUCAACAUCAUGUAUAUCAAAUAUACUUCUUUCGACUUUGCCAGCCUUCUUAUCUACCAAGUAUCUAGGAUAGCUUCGCCUCAGUGACCGUUUCCCUCAUAACAGAAGCACUUAGUCUCGGGUUUGGGUUUAAUCUUGGGUCUCUUCAUUAGUGCAGCAACUGUUUUGCCGUUUCACGAAGUAUCCCUUCUAGCCCUUGCCUUUUCUUGAAACUUAGUGGUUUUACUAACCAUCAACUAUUGAUGCUCCCUUUUGAUUUCUACUUUCGCAGUGUCAAACAUUGCGAAUCGCUCAAGGAUCAUUGUAUCUAUCCUUGAUACGUUAUAGUUCAUCACUAAGGUCUCAAAGCUUGGUGGCAGUGACUUUGGAGAACCAUCACUAUCUCAUCUGGAAGAUUAACUCCCACUUGAUGCAAGCGAUUGUCGUACUCAUACAAUCUGAGCACACGCUCAACGAUUGAGCUUUUCUCCUUUUACUUCAUGGACAAAGAAUCUUGUCGGAGGUCUCAUACCUCUUAACAAGGGCACAAGCAUGAAAUCACAAUUUCAUCUCUUUAGAACAUCUCUUAUGUUCCGUGACGUUUCAAAACGUCUUCGGCGCCUUGCUUCUAAGCCAUUAAGUAUUUUGCACUGAACUAUCGCGUAGUCAUCAGAAACGUGUAUGUCGGAUGUUCACAACAUCCCCAGACGGCGCUCGAGGUGCAGCACACCGAGUGGUGCACUAAGGACAUAAGCCUUCUGCGCAGCAACGAGGACAAUCCUCAGUUUUACAGAUUCAGUCCGCAAAGUUUGCUACUAUCAACUUUCAACUAAAUUUUCUCUAGGAACAUAUAAAAACAGUAGAGCUAUAGCGCAAGCUAAUCGUAAUUCGCAAAGACCAUUAGACUAUGUUCAUGACAAUUAGUUCAAUUAAUCAUAUUACUUAAGAACUCCCACUCAAAAUGUACACCUCUCUAGUCAUUUGAGUGGUACAUGAUCCAAAUCCACUAUCUCAAGUCCGAUCAUCACGUGAGUCGAGAAUAGUUUCAGUGGUAAGCAUCUCUAUGCUAAUCGUAUCUACUAUACGAUUCAUGCUCGACCUUUCGGUCUCAUGUGUUCCGAGGCCAUGUCUGGACAUGCUAGGCUCAUCAAGUUUAACCCGAGUGUUCCGCGUAUGCAACUGUUUUGCACCCGUUGUAUGUGAAUGUUGAGUCUAUCACACCCGAUCAUCACGUGGUGUCUCGAAACGACGAACUGUCGCAACGGUGCACAGUCAGGGAGAACACAAUUUGAGCUUGAAAUUUUUUAGUGAGAGAUCACCUCAUAAUGCUACCGUCAUUCUAAGCAUAAUAAGGUGCAUAAAGGAUUACCAUCACAUGCAAUUCAUAAGUGACAUGAUAUGGCCAUCAUCAUGUGCUUCUUGAUCUCCAUCACCAAAGCACUGGCACGAUCUUCUUGUCACCGGCGCCACACCAUGAUCUCCAUCAAUGUGUCGCCAUCGGGGUUGUCGUGCUACUCAUGCUAUUACUACUAAAGCUACGUCCUAGCAAUAUAGUAAACGCAUUUGCAAGCACAAACGUUAGUUUAAAGACAACCCUAUGGCUCCUCCCGGUUGCCGUACCAUCGACGUGCAAGUCAAUAUUAACUAUUACAACAUGAUCAUCUCAUACAUCCAAUAUAUCACAUCACAUCGUUGGCCAUAUCACAUCAUAAGCAUACCCUGCAAAAACAAGUUAGACAUCCUCUAAUUGUUGUUGCAUGUUUUACGUGGUGACCAUGGGUAUCUAGUAGGAUCGCAUCUUACUUACGCAAACACCACAACGGAGAUAUAUGAAUUGCUAUUUAACCUCAUACAAGGACCUCCUCGGUCAAAUCCGAUUCAACUAAAGUUGGAGAAACCGACACUCGCCAGUCAUCUUUGAGCAACGGAGUUGCUCGUAGUGAUGAAACCACUCUCUCAUAAGCGUACGAGUAAUGUCGGUCUGAGCCGCUUCGAUCCAACAAUACCGCGGAAUAAAGAAAACACUAAGGAGGGCAGCAAAUCGCACAUCACCUCCCACAAAAACUUUUGUGUCCACUCGAGAUAACAUCUACACAUGAACCUAGCUCAUGAUGCCACUGUUGUGUAACGUCGCAUGGGAAACAAAAAUUUUCCUACGCGCAUGAAGACCUAUCAUGGUGAUGUCCAUCUACGAGGGGGAUUUCAGAUCUACGUACCCUUGUAGAUCGCACAAUAGAAGCAUUAAUAAACGCGGUUGAUGUAGUGGAACUUCCUCACGUCCCUCGAUCCGCCCCGCGAACCGUUCCACGAACCAUCCCGCGAUCCGUCCCACGAUCCGCUUCGAUUUAGUGUCGAACGGACGGCACCUCCGCGUUCAACACACGUACAGCUCGAUGAUGAUCUCGGCCUUCAUGAUCCAGCAAGAGAGACGGAGAGGUAUAUGAGUUCUCCGGAAGCGUGACGUCGCUCCGGAGGUUGAUGGUGAUUUAAUCUCAGCAGGGCUCCGCCCGAGCUCCGCAGAAACGCGAUCUAGAGGAAAAACCGUGGAGGUAUGUGGUCGGGCUGCCGUGGCAAAGUUGUCUCAAAUCAGCCCUAAAACCUCCGUAUAUAUAGGUGGGAGGGGAGGAGCCUUGCCUUGGGGCUCAAGGAGCCCCAACGGGUUUGGCCGAAGGGGGGGAGCAGGAGUCCUCCUCCAAUCCUAGUCCAACUAGGAUUGGAAGGUGGAGUCCUUCCCUUCCUUCCCACUUCCCCCUUUUUUUUCUUUCUCUUUGAUUUUCUUAUCUCCCUGCGCAGGGGCCUCCUUGGGCUUUCCCACCAGCCCACUAAGGGCUGGUGNNNNNNNNNNNNNNNNNNNNNNNNNNNNNNNNNNNNNNNNNNNNNNNNNNNNNNNNNNNNNNNNNNNNNNNNNNNNNNNNNNNNNNNNNNNNNNNNNNNNGGGAGAGGAUCCACUCGGAGUACCAGGUCGCCUGCUUGGAACGUGCGACUCCUGACGUGCCGCGCGUGAAAUCGCCGUAGAUCUUGUUGAUAAAUUGUUGAGCGAGUCAGUGCCAUCUCGCGCUCUUCUUCUAGAAGAUCCACUCCGUCUUGCCUGGCUUGCUUUGCUUCGGCUUCGGAGAAGAGUUCGACUCAUGGAGAGUUGUGAAGCACGUCACUCGGAAGGACUGCCUCUGCUCCAUAAACGAGGAAGAACGGGGAUCGCCCUGUAGAUCUAUUCGGAGUUGUGCGGAGGCCCCACAACACCGAAGUCAACUCGGUGACCCAUGCGCCGGCGACAUGUCCAACUUCUCGCAGGAGUCGAGGCUUCAACCCUUGAAGAAUAAGUCCAUUCGCUUGCUCUGCUUGCCCGUUUGUUUGGGAGUGCGCCACGGAUGCAAAAUCCACUCGGAUACCUUGACCUGUGCAAAAACCUUUGAAUCUGUCCGAGUCAAAGUUUGUGCCAUUGUCGGUGAUUAUGUUGUGCGGAACUCCGAAUCUGGCGAUGAUGUCUGUGAUAAAUUUGAUGGCCGUAAGGGCGUCGAGCUUCUUGAUGGGCUUGGCUUCAAUCCACUUGGUAAACUUGUCGACUGCUACCAGCUGAUGAGUGAAUCCUCCUUGGCCUGUUCUGAAUGGUCUGACCGUAUCUAAUCCCCACACAGCGAAUGGCCAAACAAGAGGAAUUGUCUUCAGCGCAGACGUUGGCUUGUGGGACUUGUUGGAAUAGAACUGGCAACCUUCGCAACGGUCGACCAUAUCUUUCGCCAUUUCAUUCGCCUGCAACCAGAAGAAUCCAGCUCUGAAUGCUUUGGCGACGAUUGCCCUUGAGGAGGCAUGAUGACCGCAGGUUCCCGAGUGAAUUUCUUCCAAGAUUAACUGUCCCUCCUCACGGGAGAUACACCACUGAAGGACGCCCGAAACACUUUCCCUGUACAACUGGCCAUCAAUGACGGUGAAGGACUUCGACCUGCGGACGAUCUGCCUAGCUUGGACUUCGUCUUCUGGUAACUCUUGCCUCAUGAUGUACGCAAUGAACGACACAGUCCACUCGGGGAUGACAACAAGAAUCUCCAUGAUCAAAUCAACCACAACGGGGACCUCGACUUCAGUCAGAUCUGUUAAGCUCUUUGAUUGUACUGGCUCCUCUGUAAAGGGAUCUUCCUUCACCGAGGGGAGGUGUAGGUGCUCGAGGCAGACAUCACUCGGGACUGGUCUCCGAGUGGAUCCAAGUUUUGCCAAUUCAUCCGCUGCUUGGUUUUUCAGUCGGGGAACAUGGUGAAGUUCCAGACCUUCAAACUUCUUCUCGAGCUUCCUUACUGCGUUGCAGUAUGCAGUCAUGGUGGGGUUCCUUACAUCCCACUCCUUCAUUAUUUGGUUAACCACCAGAUCUGAGUCGCCAUAGAUCAUCGGGCGACGGACGCCGAGUGUGAUGGCCAUGCGCAACCCGUAAAGGAGAGCUUCAUACUCUGCUUCGUUGUUGGAGGAAUCGAAAUGUAUCUGCAACACAUACUUGAGUUUAUCACCCUUUGCGGAUAUGAUCACUACGCCAGCGCCGGAGCCAUUCAACAUCUUGGACCCAUCGAAGAACAUGGUCCAAUGAACCGAGUAGAUGUGAUUCGGUUGCUGUUGUUCUACCCAUUCUGCUAUGAAGUCAGCCAGAGCUUGAGACUUUAUAGCUUUCUUGGCUUUGAACUUGAUGUCGCAGUAUAGCAUCUCCAUUGCCCACUUUGCCACUCGGCCUGAUGCAUCCCGAUUGUGGAGAAUUUUUGAGAACGGAGCAUCAGAUAUGACAGACACCGAGUGGUCUUGGAAGUAAUGAGCCACCUUCUUUGCAGUCAUGUAGAUCCCAUAAAUAAGCUUCUGAUAAUGGGGAUACCUCUGCUUGGAAGGAGUCAGGACUUCGGAGAUAUAAUAUAUUGGCCGCUGAACCUUGUACGCUUUGCCUUCUUCUCCGCGUUCGACUGUCAGAACGGUGCUGAUGACUUGAUUUGUAGCCGCGAUGUACAGAAGAAGGGGUUCUUUACUGAGCGGGGCAGUAAGAACUGGCUGGGUGGAAAGCAGGGCCUUGAGGUCGUCGAAUGCAAUUUGGGCUUCGUCUGUCCACUCGAAGGUAUCUGAUUUCUUCAUGAGUCGAUACAGAGGUAACGCCUUCUCGCCGAGUCGAGCGAUAAACCUGCUCAAAGCCGCUAGGCAACCUGUGAGCCUUUGAACAUCAUGUAUUCUUACCGGCCGCUCCAUUCAGACGAUGGUCCCGAUCUUUUCGGGGUUGACAUCGAUCCCUCGUUCGGAAACGAAGAAACCGAGUAACUUCCCGCUGGGAACACCGAAUGAACACUUGGCUGGGUUGUGUCAGUCAGCAGGUCGGAACCUUUGCGUGACUUGACUACGAUAUCGUCCAUAUAUGCCUCCACAUUUCGACCGAUCUGGUCAAGGAGGCAUUUUUGGAUCAUGCGCAUAAAAGUUGCUCCUGCAUUCUUCAAACCGAAUGGCAUAGCGAUGUAGCAAAAACACCCGAAUGGGGGGAUGAAUGUUGUUUUUAAUUCAUCCGGACCAUACAGACGGAUCUGAUGAUAGCCCGAAUAGGCAUCAAGGAAGGAUAAACGCUCGCAACCCGCAGUCGAAUCGACAAUUUGAUCGAUGCGGGGGAGCGGGAAGUGAUCUUUCGGACAGACCUUAUUGAGAUGCUUGAAAUCGAUGCACAUACGGAGAGACUUGUCCUUCUUGGGCAUCAUGACCACAUUAGCGAGCCACUCGGAGUGGUGCACCUCGCGAAUGAAGUUGGCUGCCAAAAGUUUAGCCACCUUCUCUCCGAUUGCCUUCCUCUUGUGCGCGGCGGACCGACGUAGGCGUUCUCGGACGGGCCGAGCAGCAGGAUCCACAUGCAGUCGGUGCUCAGCCAACUCCCUGGGUACACCUGGCAUGUCAGCGGGCUUCCAUGCGAAAAUGUCCCAGUUCUCACGGAGGAAUUGGAUGAGCUCGGCUUCCUAUUUUGGAUCAAGGGUGGUGGAGAUGUUCGUCGGGGCGGCGGUGUCGUCUGUCGGGUGGAUGCUGACUUUCUUCGUGUCGCCCGCCGACUGGAACGCGGACUCGGAAGCUGGCUUCUUUGAACGCAUCAGGUCAGCGGGGUCGGCGGUCUUCUUGUACUCAUCCAGCUCGAGAAUAGCCAUCUUCUGAUCGGCAAUCCUCGACCCCUGCUGCAAACACUCCUCGGCUCGCUGCCGAUUGCCUGUAACCGUGAUCACACCUUUGGGGCAUGGCAUCUUCAGAUUCAAAUACACGUCACAUGGACAUGCCAUGAAACACGCAUACGCCGGACGGCCCAAAAUCGCAUGGUAUGCACCCUGGAAGUCCACCACCUUGAAUGUCAGCUUCUCCUUGCGAAAGUUCUUGUCAGAGCCGAAGACGACAUCCAACGCGAUCUGGCCGAGUGACUUGGCCUUUCGUCCUGGGACGACUCCGUGGAACUGCAUACUGCUCUCGCUAAGUUUGGACAUCGAAAUGCCCAUUCCCUUAAGAGUGUCGGCGUACAUGAUGUUCAAACCGCUGCCACCGUCCAUGAGGACUUUGCGCAGUCGGACUCCUUCCACCACCGGGUCGACGACCAGAGCUUGCCUCCCUUGGAUCCUGGCAAGAAGGCGUGUUCUUGCUUGGGUCGUCGUGCCCCCUCUUCUCCCGCGAUCUAUUUCCGUCAUUCUCCCCCAACCACAUCGCACAAACACAUGCAAGUUCUCCCCCCAAUCCCUGCCCCCAAAUACCGAUACACCUCCUGCGACGAGACACGCCAUUCCUCGCCUCCCCAUCCAGACCGGGUAUCCCACUGGAGGCCGCCGCUCCCAGCUCUCUCUCUCUCUCUCUCACACACACACACACACACACUCCAUCCGUUGCUCGCCGAUGGAAAAGAAGCACGCUCAGCUCGGCGGGUUGAGGGAGAAGGACAGGCGAAGGUCGUGUACUUCGGUGGAUGGGCGCGGACGGCCAUGGAUAGAAAGCUUGGUGAAGGUGUCGUACCGGAGUGCGCAGCCACGGACAGGGACACCAUGCAUCCGCCUGAGGUCGGGGUACAGCCGCACAUGAUCUGCUCCGUGCUCUCCUCUCUUGCAUUGUUAGUAGAUCUGAUGAUUACUACAGUUUUUAGCAAAAUAAAGAUUAACUUUCAUGUGGGGAUGUUUGUUUUACAACGAACACGAGCUGCUCCUCUGUAUUUAUGUUAUUGUUUUCUGCCCAUUUCCUCUUUACAGGAGCAGCGAGCAUAGCACAAAGAGGCUGCAAUCAUUUUAUCUGAUUUUUACUUGAAGAAUAAACUAUCAAUUUUAAAUGGUUUGCUCAGGAUGUGAAUUAUAUGUCAUGUAUAUUUGUUCACCGUCGGCAACAUGGUUGUUUUCUACCAAAAAUUACUAGGUUCCAAGGUAAUCUGACCACCUAAUAAAGAAAAGUGGUUCUUGAUCUGAUUUGUAGACCUAGGAGUUAAUGCAUCUGCAGUGCGGGUUGGGGACGGAGCGACGGAUUCCUGUCAAGGGGUUUGUCGGCUAGCGCAGAGGCAGGCUGCAUUAGAAUGCAAUAAUUAGAUUAAGCAAGGCAGCCAGGCAGACGUCUAGAAAACAUGCAUAGUGAUGGCUUGCUCAACUGCAAGUUCCACAAUAAAUGGUACAUGCAUGGAUCCCUUCUUUCUGUUGUAGCUUCGGUUCUGGUUCAUGAAAGCUUUAAUUAUUAAAGUUGGCUUGCUUUUACUGGUUAGUGCUUUUUUCAUCUUUCUUACUUAGACGAGCAUUGAUUUGUCCUUGCCAGCAACAAUCAUUUGUUUGAUUUUUGGAUUUCUGCAGUCAUGACUAUUGAGUUGCGUUGAUUUUUAUAUUUCUUAACAUUUGUGUAUCACUUUUACCUGCAUAUUCAAGAAUUUUUCUUUCUUGGUACUAGGAUGGAUAUUUUCUCCUAGAAUGCAGAUGGAUGUAUGAUUGAGGAGAUGAACCAAGCAUCCUGCUAUGAUAUGAUCGAGUUGUAUCUUGAGUACAUAGGAAAGUAGCUCAACAACUGACAUAAAUAGAGGUAUGAGUAUGACUUGAUGUUUAUUCGAUUGUUAACAAAGGACAUGUGGAGCAAUGUCACAACCCCUAUUAAUUAUGUUUAGUAUCAAUUGAUGUCAUGUGUUCCAUUCAAUUACUACAAUGCAGAUGCAUGCUAUGCAUUUUUUGGUGUAUGAGUUCUUUGUGACUUCCUCCCAUAUUCUUGAUCAAGACUUUCAUGCUACACACACAUACUACUAUAAACUUUAGUACUAUUAAUUGCUUGCUUUAUUUGGUCAUAUCUGAUUCUCUCUUGUUAUUCCGCUCCUACAUUGCCAAGCUCGGUUUCAUUAUCCAUAGAGUAUGUUUGUCUGACGAUAUUUCCAGAUAUUAAAAUAUAUGGCAAGCACAACCCCUGAUAUUAGCGCUUAUUCUUUUUUUAUUUUAGGUGGUUUAUUACUACUGUACUUGAGUCUUUUAUUGAUUUAUUUUUUACGCUGAAUUGUAGCAUGCAUGAGGAAGUUGAUGUAUGACUGUCUAGAACUUGUGACUGAUUUAGAUGACCAUCAUAUGGACCAAUACAAGCUCCAUCAGGAUGUAGAUAAUGGCCGUAAAUUCCUUCUAGACCAGUACAUCGAUAAAAAAAACAUGUCAAUGCACAACGCUCCAACAUUAAUCAUUCUGAACUAAGUCAUGUCUAGGUACCUCUAGAUUUUUUGCAGAUUCUGUGGACUCUUGUAUAAUCGAGACAAAGAUUGUUUCCUUCUCUUGAUACAUGAUGAGAUAUAGUACAAUCAAGAGAAAGAUACUUUCCUUUUUAAAAGGGUUAAAAAGAGAAUUUUGAGAAGAAAUGCACCUUACAUUAUAAAAUUUUAUCAAAAAAUAAAUACACUUUAUAUAAAGGAACAGAGGGGCAUAUUUUUUGAGUGAAAUUUCCAUAUACAGUACUUUGUCUUUGUCUGCGUUGUGCUACAGAUGAUAUCAAUAUUUUUAGCCCAACUCAUUAUUCAUGUUGUUCAUGUAAACUGGUGGAGAUAAAAUAAAUGUUUGCAUCAUCUAUGUGACUUCCAGCCUAUGAAAUUUAAUUCGACAUUUUUUAAAGCUGUCGUUAUUUUGUACUACUACUGGAUUAGUAUGGUUGCAUGAAAAACUGAAUUUUAUUUUCCGUAGAUACUUUUAUUCAUUUGAUACAAGGUCAUCAAAAUCACGACCAUAUAUAUGCAAUAGUCAGGAAUAUGGAUAUGUGAUUCUUACCAGUGUCAAUACUGUCCAUCUAGGUUCAUAACCAAGCAUGAAGGUCGAUCCAAAUAUGUGGAGCAUAAUACAAAUGCGGAAAUGCACAUUCACGUACAAUGACCAUAUAUAUAGAGAUAAUAUUACUGCAUGAAGGUUCGGAUUGUUCUUCACACCGAGUUAAAUUGAAGAGGCAAAAAUAUUGAAAGGUCUUCAUUUCAUAUUGUGAAUUUUCAUUUCUGGAUCAUGUCGCUUCAAUGAUGUGCCCAUGUACCAUAAUCUCACGUAAGAUGAUCAUACAGAGACAAUAUUGUGAAUUUUGAUAUCUGGAAUAUUUGUGAAAAUCGAACCAUGAAAUGAUGCCCACAAACAAAUGCAAGCCGUGCAUUUUUUUAAUCUAAUAAAUCAGAUUAUCCUAUUCUUCAAAGUAAGCACAUCAAACAUUGAGAAGUAACCAUAUGACUAAUAAAUAAAAUCAUUAUUUUUUAAUUCGGUCGCAACGCACUGACACUCAGCUAUAAACAUUCUAAAAAUGAUAGGGUAGUAUAUGAUAGGGUAGCUAUAAACACUGAUAUAUACUACCACAACGUAGUAUAUGAGACGUGGGGUGUAACUAUAUAUAUAUUNNNNNNNNNNNNNNNNNNNNNNNNNNNNNNNNNNNNNNNNNNNNNNNNNNNNNNNNNNNNNNNNNNNNNNNNNNNNNNNNNNNNNNNNNNNNNNNNNNNNNNNNNNNNNNNNNNNNNNNNNNNNNNNNUAUAUAUAUAUAUGGUCGUACGAGAAAUUAUAUUUCAUAUGCAUCAACGCGUACAAUAUGUAUUAACGUAAAAUAGGUUUGAAAUGAAAAACAAUUAAUGGAAAACACAAUAUGAAAAGGAAAAAUAAACUAUAACCCAUAAACCCUAAAACCCUAAACCCCCCAAAAAAAAACACAAAAUCUUUAGUCCCGGUUGNNNNNNNNNNNNNNNNNNNNNNNNNNNNNNNNNNNNNNNNNNNNNNNNNNNNNNNNNNNNNNNNNNNNNNNNNNNNNNNNNNNNNNNNNNNNNNNNNNNNNNNNNNNNNNNNNNNNNNNNNNNNNNNNNNNNNNNNNNNNNNNNNNNNNNNNNNNNNNNNNNNNNNNNNNNNNNNNNNNNNNNNNNNNNNNNNNNNNNNNNNNNNNNNNNNNNNNNNNNNNNNNNNNNNNNNNNNNNNCCUUUAGUCCCGGUUGGCGACACGGGACUAAAGACCUUCUCCAACCGGGACUAAAUUCUUGUUCUCCACUAGUGAUGUGGCGCACCUAGCAAGUGGUAUGGUGGACACACGAGACAUACUGGCAACACAAUAGAAGCACAACCACUGGGAUAUACAAAUUGAAACAUGAGCACAACCUAGAGACUAUUGCUUUCCUUUAACAGGUUUAGAUUACACAAAAGGAUUAUAAUAUGAGAUGAAUUAGAAUUAGGUUGGAUUAGGAAGUUUGGGGGCGAAUUCAUGCAGCCAGCCCGUGUGUCAUUGCGUGUCAUCGUUGAUCCCAACGAGGUCAUGCUUUGAGGAAAGAGNNNNNNNNNNNNNNNNNNNNNNNNNNNNNNNNNNNNNNNNNNNNNNNNNNNNNNNNNNNNNNNNNNNNNNNNNNNNNNNNNNNNNNNNNNNNNNNNNNNNNNNNNNNNNNNNNNNNNNNNNNNNNNNNAAAGAGUGGGAAAGAUAAUCUUGUCAACCUUGGUGUGGGAAUCCUAUUUGUGCCCAUGUAAAACAAAUGGGUGUGACCCACAAGCACAUUUAUUUGCUUGAGUGCUAACUGCAAACAGCAAACCUGUAUGAGCUGAGUUGUGCAGGUUUGAGUUUAAACCAGAAACAAAACAACCAUGAAGAAAAAUAAUGGGGAAGAUAAGCAACGAACAUAAAUAUGACCAACAUAUUUUGUACAUUUUCAAUCAUCCAUGCAUCUAUUAUAAAUCUCUAACCAUGUCAAUGUUUCAUCCAUAUNNNNNNNNNNNNNNNNNNNNNNNNNNNNNNNNNNNNNNNNNNNNNNNNNNNNNNNNNNNNNNNNNNNNNNNNNNNNNNNNNNNNNNNNNNNNNNNNNNNNNNNNNNNNNNNNNNNNNNNNNNNNNNNNNNNNNNNNNNNNNNNUAAGCUGCAAAGGAGAUGAUGACCUCAUGUAAUCUGCCUAACUACCCUCUCGCCUUUAGAUCAAGUACAACCACACUAAUGUCAUCCUGGCUAUGCUUGCAGAUUGCCAUGUUCAUGAGGAGGGUUGCAGCAUGGAUGCAGCCAACCUCUUCCUCUUGGCCUAGUAGUGCACCCCCUCUAGGAGCGCCUUGGUUGUUUUUUUGUUCGAAUUCUAGGCAAUUCCUCACGACAUUGCAGGCCAUCUGGUUCUCGAUAACAUCCCACAAGCCAUCACUCGCGAGGAUCAGACAAUCGUCAUCCUCCGAUCUAGUCGUCAUGGUUAUAUCUGGCUGACAUAUCACUGCGGGCUUAAGGAGCUUGUGCCCUGCAAGCAUAGUUCAACGUCAUGAGAUCGAAUACUAGAAGCAUAAAUUCAAAUAUGUACUAAAAAAAAAGUAAACUUCUAUGAACUUGUGAAAAAAUUAAAAAAACGGAAUAACUCUUUAGAAACUAGUAAGGGAAACAACUCUCAUAUAUUGAUGAAAACCAAGAAUAGAAACGUGAUCAUAAAAUAUUUCGUAAAAAGCAACAAUGUUCUAUGCAUAUCGAUGAACAUUCAUUUUAGUUUUAUAAGGAAUAUGAAUGCAACAAUACAUGAUAACAUCCUUUCUAAAGUUAACCGUGUUAAAAUGAUAUAAAUUCAUGAUUGUCCAAAUGAAAUAUUUUUUUACAAAUGAUAUCAUCCAUAAGGUAACAAUUGGUUUCAGCUAUGCAUGCAUCCAAAACAAAAUUAAGAUUGUUCACACAACUCAGGCUCCCGAAAAAAGGAUUUGACCCUCCCAUGUCAUUCCCAUGGGCGAAAGGGAGAGGGCUCCCACCACACCAGCCACCACCCUCCUCUCUCUCCUUCCUCCCUCAAUGCCGCCAGAGGACGUGGUCGGGAAAAGCCUGGCUGGGGUCGGCGGCGUCGGGAUGUUUUGUCUUCUCGCACAUGGACUCCGCCAUGGGGUGGAGCGGGUGGUCCAGGACAACACGAUGGCGAGGGUCGUGGUGGUGCGACGGCGGAUCCCCAUGAAGGCGGUGCUCUAGACCAGCAGCGCACGAAAAGAUUCAAGGUGGCGGGUCAUGCAUGUGAGGGGGUUGCGGUGGAUCAAGAUCUACCCCGGUCUGGGGUCUGUCUUCAGCCGACAACAUGGGCCAUGGGUAGUGGGGGCCGUUGUCCUCUGCCGUGGCGCCAAUGGAAUCGAAAUGAUGGAGGAAGCAAUGUGGUGGCGGUCCUAGUGCUCUUCUCGCGUCGCGGCAAUGAUCUGCAUGAUCGGUCCUCCCCGAUCUAGUCGUCGAUGUUUUUUGGAACUGCCGUCGGAGAUCUUGCCCAAGGAUACUUGGAUUAGAUAAAAUCCGGUCGUGCAUGACCAUAUCAGCGUGCGCGGCUUCGUAAGGGUGUGUCACGAAGCUCUGAUGUUUGUUGAUGCCAUGGGACAUAUGGGUAUCUCGAUUUACAUGGCAUAUAAAUUGGUAGAGAAAGUCAUGGUGGCUGAGAUUAAAUGAUCAGUAAGGCAGAGGGAGCCUCGGAGGCGAUGCAGUCAGCCAGGUGUUUCAAAACUUUCAGAAACAUCGAUCGAUGACAAGUGGGUCGAUAGCACCGGAGGAUUUCAUUUUUGGUGGUGCUCCUCAAGUGUGGAGUCAUCACUUCCAGAGUGAAAAUUAAGGUUUGACCUUCAUUGUUUGUGCCUACAAUUGUAUUGCUGAAGGUAUUGUUAGGGUUGGGACUUUCUCCAGGGUGAAAACCUAAGAUNNNNNNNNNNNNNNNNNNNNNNNNNNNNNNNNNNNNNNNNNNNNNNNNNNNNNNNNNNNNNNNNNNNNNNNNNNNNNNNNNNNNNNNNNNNNNNNNNNNNNNNNNNNNNNNNNNNNNNNNNNNNNNNNNNNNNNNNNNNNNNNNNNNNNNCGGAAGAUGAUGACUCUUGUGCGUUGUUUUCUUCUUGAAGGCAUCAUUUUUGGAGACCUUUUAUGUUCUGCGCGUGUUGUCUUUGGUGGUGAUUUGUGUUGUGAGGAGUUGCUUACUUUGACAGGCCUUUGUUUUGUAUCUUUUCGGGCUAUGUUCAUACUUAAUCUCUUUGAGAAAUCUUGUUGAUUCAGAAACUAGGUAUAAUUCAUAUCUUCGCGAUAUUAAUAUAUUGUUCUUAAGAAAAACAUGAAUCACUUUCUUAUAUUGAUGCAAAUAAACGUUUCAAAGUAAUCGUGCCCCCCGGGCCGAGUGCAUCAUCCAAUUGGUGCACACCGCUUCAGAGACGGCUACACAUCGUAGCUCAAUGUGUGGGUCAGCAGGCCCUAUAAUAUCCCAUGAUGCAUUUAAUUCGGCCGAAAAGUGUUUUUUGUCUAAAAUAUUUGUUAAUUUCCCACAUAUCUUGAAAUUUGAAGGAAAACAUAAUUUUUGAAAGUACAAAAUAAGGAGAAGUCCCUGCACCACUAUAAAAUGAAGGAAAUAUUUCAGGUUUUUCCAAGUAUAUUUGGAAAAAUGAUAGCACAUGUCAUAAACUUCUAGAAAAAUGUAUAAUCAAGGGGAGUCUUAGAAAAGUUCCUAGAAGUUGAGAAAAAUAAGAGCACCAUUCCAGGGACUCUUUUCACGUUAUUUGACUUAUUUUCUUCCUCACUCUCCACGAGAUAUAUGGAGGCCAAAGGAAGACUGAGAAAAAUAGGGAUACUUAUCCCACAAAAUAAAAGGAGUCAUCCUAGUCAAUCGCAACUCAUCCCUCUCUAUUUUUAGCUACAUUUGGAAUCAACCUUCCCCACCUCAAGAAAAUAGUUAUCUCCCUCACUAUCCCUUAUCUCUCUAUCGAUCUAUCUCUAUCUCUCUCUUCACUGAUGACACUCUCUUUUUUCAUGAAACAAACUAUUUUUGAGUGUGUCUUUAAUGAAGGGAUUUUACCAGUGAAAUACUUACACCCUUCAUUCAUUCGUUUUCUUUCUAGGUCCACUCCCUCUAUAGCUGGUGGUUGACAUAGAUGAGUAUGGGAAGACAAUGGUAGUUUCAUUCUAGUUCCCACUAAUUGUUGAGUAGUUGGUUUGAGUAUUUUUUUUGGAUCCAUGCUACAUUUCCAGUUGAAUUCAUAAGGUACCAUCCUAUUCCAGCUAGGAAGACAAUUCUAUCUCACGGGUUAUGAAGUCCUAGGGAUCGGGAAUUUCUCCACAAAGGACAAUGCGGAAAGUUGCCUCGAGGUCACGAGGACUUGAAAAUUCCAAGGUUUCAGAGUCCUCUUCUCCAGGUUUCACUUUCUUCAUCGAUGAUGGGUGUUUUUUUCCUUCCAGCAGUGGUGGACUCAGACAACAACUUAUAUCCUCGUCUCCGCUCAGGUGGUUUUGAUUUCGGUGAAGGACUAGGGAAAAAUCCCCUCAUGGUUGGCCUAUGCUAGCAACAACGAUGUCUGUAGGCGCCAUGUCUUCCUUCUGCUAUGGCCUUUGACCAUGUCUCCCCUAGAGUGUCAGGGGAAACCUUUAUUUUGGUUCGCUAGACCAGGCACUGGCACCAUCACGAAGUUGUGUCCUUCAUGAGGGCACUGCAUUGCUAUACGUAGAGUCCUUGGAGUUGGAGCUUGAGGUUUCUCAUUUUGCGGUAUGGGUUGCCUCUGAGGGCAUGGACCUCCAGGCUGCAAUGUAUGCCAUAACCAACCCCUCCAAUGUGUCUUCUUCCUCUGGUUUGGCUAGGUCUCGACACCCACUAGCCAACUUCUCUAGGAGAUAUGGGUGGGGCAGUACGUUUGCCCAGCCAAUCCUAUGGUUGUUGUCGUGUCUUGGUUAUCUAUUGCAUUGGUAGGAGCGGGUGUGGUGGCUUGGUGCCCCCUCUCUUCACCAUCUUGGAUGAAGAUUGGCCAAGGCGAUUUCUCUUGCUCUCAAUUCUUGUAGGCGCGGUUCUAAUGACAGGUAUUAGUGUGGAGUUGCUUGCUUUUUCGACAUUGUAUAUGUUGGUGGUAUUGUACUAAUCACUUGGCCCUUCUUCUAAGAAAUGAUGGUACACACUUCCAUGGUGUAGAAUAGAAACAAAUCCUUUUGAUAUAUGUACGUGUAUGGUCGCCAUCUCUCAUGCUAAACUUGGUGCCAUUACCUUGAUCACCUUUUUGGUAUUUUUUGUUGUUGGACAAAAGCCUUAUUGAUCUUGUGCCUUCUUGGACGCCCAAGAUUGUGUUCAUGUUUUAUCUUUUUGCAAUGCCUGGCUAGAUGAGUUAACACCGUUUGAAACAACCGAUGUAUCAAAAAGCAUCAUGAGAAGAUGAGUUUUAAAACUAUUUCAAUUGGCCACGGUACCUCAAACUAAGAGAUAGAGACAAGACAAGAACAACAAGAUAUUCGUAGUGAGAGAUUUGUCAGCGUAUUACGCCAGCAGAAACUUGUAAACAGCUGAGGCAGAUCUCGCCCGAUCUAGUGCUAGGCGGGGGCCAUGGAGGCAGUUAUUCGCGAGAACAGCGCUUUGUAACAUCAAGUACAUAUCUCCUACAUAUGGUAUGUAUCGGAAUAUGAUUGCUUCAACAUCAUCAGUUAGCCCAACCUUAUGAAAUUGAUGACGAAAUUGGUAAUGUACUAUGCAUCAAAACAAGAUAUUUGAGGAACAUGGCUAAGGGACAACCAGUACCUCCUUCAUGCACAUGAGAGAGAGAGAGAGAGAGAGAGAGAGAGAAAGAGAGAGAGAGAACCCAUUAUGGGAAAUUAUCCCCAUAUUGUUAUGAUUACCAUUACACCACAAUAUGUACCCAAAAAAGCAAUGUUAAGUGUUGCGUGUUAGAAAAUUUUCUCGUGCCCAACUACAAAUUUAAUGGACCUUGAUAUAUGUGGAUGUGUCUCAUAUGUCGCCUCGCUGGUUACACACCCACAAUUCAUAUCAAUCCGACGGCCCAUAUCGUUUUGUCCUACCUCUUAGUCGUAUCAUGUCACUCCCUUUUGUUGGUCAUGCAUGUCGAGUCACUGAGAUCCUUUCAUAUCCGUAGAUGUAUAGUCACCAUAUCUCAUACUAAAUUUGGUUGCAUUACCUUGAUCACAUUUUAGGUAUUGUUGUGUCGUGGGACAAGAGCCUUCUUGACCUAUUGCCUUGUUUCCUGCCCAAGAUGUUCUUCAUGGUUUAUCUUAUUGCAAUGCCUGGUAGGAUGAAUAAACAAUGGUGCAAUUAACCGAUGUAUCAAAAAGCAUCAUGAGAAGAUGACUUGUAAAGCCAUUUUGAGCGGCCAUGGUACAUGAUAGAGUCGAGACAAGAACACCAAGAUACCCUAGUGAGAGCUUUGCCAGGCUAUUGCGUCGAGAAAAACAUUGUAAAUAAUUGAGGCGGAUCUUGCCUGGUCAUGUGCCAAGUGGGGGCAAUGGGUAUGUGAUUAUUUUUCGAGUCCGAUGCUUGGUAAAAACAUCAGUUAGCCCAACCUCGUGAAAUUAAUGAAGAAUUGGUAAUGUACUUGAUGUUAUAGUGCAUUAAAACAAUAGGUUUGAAUAAUAUGGCUAAGGGACAACCGACAUUUCCUUGAUGCACAUACACAGAGAGAGAGAGAGAGAGGCGGCGGAGGCGGUGGAGACAGUUAUUUGUCGAAUCAGGUGCUUGGUAACAUCAAAUACAUAUCUCCGACAUAUGGUAUAUAUGGCAAUCUCAUUGCUCCAGCAACAUCAGUUAGCCCAACCUGAUGAAACAAAUGAACAAAUUGCUAAUGUACUUGAUGUCACUGUGCAUCCAAACAAGAGAUUCGAGGAACAUGGUUUAGGGACAACCAAUACUUCAUGCAAGCCAUAGAGGAGAGAGAGAUAGUAGACACUUCAAGGAGGUAUGGCACUUAGACAUCUAAAUAUAGCUUUUCUUCUCAUGGGCCUCACGCUAGUACUAGAGAUCGCAAAAAUGUGAUAGAGCCGUAGGUGGAGGACCAAUUGGCUAGAAAACCCUGUGAACCAUAAAGUCGCCGGCUAGAAAAAUUGGCUAGAAAAUAAGCCAUUAAGACAUCAAUGUUGCCACUGACAACAUUUUCAAGAACUCAAGUUGGGUAGACUCGAGGAAACUUUAUUUGACACACUAGCGCCACCGCCAUCGCCAUCGUUGUGCCAGCAAAGAUGCCUUUUGUUGUGUAGCUAGAGUCACCAUAGUGUGAAGGGUCAAAGCUAUGGACAACCGACAUUUACAGGAAAUCUCCAAGAAGGGGAAAGAUAUAACUCCACUUGGUAGAUCGGGGACUCUCCCUCCCCCACUCCCGCAACAUAUAUCAGAGAUGGAUGUGACGGAGGUGGGACGACGAUCUACCAACAGAGGAUAGAUGGUGGGGUAGUGCGCGAGGGUUGGACAGGAACACUUUUAGGAAAAAAGCUAGCAUAUUAUUUUUAUCUAGUCAUGAAUAAAAAUUAAUACGACCUUACAUAUAUCUAUGGAAACUUGAUUCAUUAUUGGGCAUGCAUAUUACCAUUGAUUUUAAAGCUUAACAUGACCAUUCUUACUAUCUAUGCUUGUUAAUUAGUACUCUUUGUGUUGGGGUUCAUAAGACACUCACAUAUCUUAAGAAUAACUUUGACCAUUUAAUCACCACAAUCAAAAUUAAUAUCAAUGGUUUAAAUUAUUAGUUUCUUUGAAUGUAAAUCUAAUGAUAUACGUUCUUAAUUUUGAGAUAGUUCUUAAUUCUGAACGAGACGAUAAUAAUAACAGUGCAACAUUUUAUUUUCAUUUUUUCACUAGAAGGCAACAAGUUGAUGCAUAGAAAGUGUCCUCCUUUAUUGGUAUAUAGAAGUACUUUUGUUUCCUUGUGUGUGUGAGGUCAUCUCCAACAGCAACCCACAAAUUUCCUUUCACGUCCUUCUACUAAUAGAGGAUCAAUCCAUGGACAUGGAUGCGGGAGGCCGCCAUCCAACCCUAUCAUGUAUACGUCCAACAGUAAAUAAAUAUUCAAAUGUACUUUGAUCCACAAUGCUUGCCGGAUCGCAUAACCGAUCAUAACCAAAAAAAAUAAGAAACUAUGAUUAGUUUUUACAUGCACAAAUCCAAAAGAAUAUCCGGCCGACAGUCCAUGUAUUUGCGCUCCGCCGGACCAGCAAUCUGAGUCAUUUGCUCCCCAAUCAAGGAGGUGUCGUAGCCACUGCGUAGGCAGCCUCCGCCUCCGAGUCCGCAUCAACCCCUGUCGUGCCCUCAUAGUCCGUCGCCACCAACACAUCUUCCUGCCGCUGCAACAUCUGGUAGCACAUGGAUUGGACAAUCAUUCUUGCAUCGUCAUCCAAAGAGUCGACAUUCAAGGUCAACAUUUCGCAUUAUCGGUGACCUUCACCAUCUUUUCCUCGAGCGCGGUCUUCCUCUCUUAGAUCAUGGCCCUCCUCUCUUCGAGUUUCAGCUUCUAGUCCAUCGCUUCCAUCAACAAUUUGAAUCAUCUCCCCUUCUUCUCCUCCUUGAUGUCCGAGCACCUCACACAUGCCUAGUCCUUCUUCGCCAAGAUGUCUUCGUACCUCUCCGUCAGCUUGACCGCCGUACCUUAUUGCUUUGCCCUCUCCUCCUCCCACUUGUUUGCUUGAAAAUUUAUAAUUUUUUUGACGGUUCUUGGGUUGGGUCGGUAGGGUCACCUGUUUCUUCCUCAUUGACCUGGACGGCGGUCUUGGCAAUGAAAAGGUUCCACUUUCGUCGGCCAUUCAACUUCAACCCACAAUGCAUGAUGGUGAAGGACUUAUUCUCCAACUUCUUGUACACCAGAUAAGCACGAGUAGGCUAUAAAUUGUAACAAAUUUCAACAAUGCAUAUCGAUCUAGUGAGCAAAAAAUCAUGUUCGUCUAGGGAUCAACAAAACUAAAGCAUAUCCGGCUAGCAAUCAACAUACUUGCUCAGUGAUUUGUGCACCACUAGGCCACCAUGUGAUGAUAUGCUUCAAGUGCCCUCAAUACUUGGGCAUGGCCUCUUGGAUGUAAUACCAUCAAUAAUUGAGGGACUUCCAUUCACGGUUGUGGAUGAGCGCAUCAGAGUAGGGCGUGAAAUGCUUGUGUUCAUGGAAUAAUAUGUGAAUAUUGCUCCAAAAGGUUCCUUAUUCUCCAUGCCAUAGAAUAGAUCAAUGCUAGUGGCCAACCAUGCAUCACACAACAGCUCGUCACCCCGUAUGUUGAAGAUUUCUCCUCCAUCCUUCGACUUUGGAUCGCCGGGUGUAUCAUCCGAAUCAUCGUCAUUGCUGUCCUCCUCCUCCCCCCUUCGGCUAUUGCUCUCCAGCAGCAAUACUGAUGUUGCCAUGUGCCAUCAUCUGUUUGGGUGUAGGAUUGCUGCAUGGCCGUCUGGGUGUAGGACUAUUGCUGCUGGUAGUUGCCGCCGGGUGGGAUCCGAGUCUUCCGCAUGCUUGUCCUCGUAGCCCCCUCCUGCUCCCUUGCCUGCAUCGUGGAUGAUGUCGAGCAUCUCCUUGUCCUGUUGUAUGCCAGCUCCCCCGCUCUAGGUAUUGUAGUGACCAUCAUGCAGAUACCCAUAUGCUCCCCAGCAGUCGUCCGGCCCGGACAAGCUGCGGCGACAAAUACUCGAAGAAGAGCGGGGCCACGUUAACGUUGAUGAUGUAAUUAAGGCACCAUAUCGGUGGGGGUUCUAAGCUGCUUCGCAUCGUAGUAGUACGGAGGCUUGUAAGGCUCUAGCCACGGCACCACCGUCUGUACUGUAGGCGCACCCGUCCGGCGGCGUCCUCCAUGGCAGCGUCGUUUGCCACAACCUCCACGCCCAUCGCCAUCACCAGGCCCACCGACGUCCAACCAUUGCGGGCUUUGCUUUGAUGCACCUUCGGGGGCUCCAUCUCCGACGGUUUCAUACGUCGGCGGCGGAAGGAAGGAGAGGGUGAGGGAAAAGUGAGGGAAUUGGAUAGGGACCAAUGGAAAAUGAAAGGAGUCGAUGAUUUUGGCGUGGAUAUAGAUAUAGUGGAUAGCAGCCUGUUGAUAUAGUUGUAUUUACUUUUGUUUCCUCUCAGAUAUAUAGAUAUACCAAGCCAAUAUUGAUGCACGGGUUUGAAACGUCUUUUUUUUCUUUUCUUUUUUUGCAUGGAAGAAAAUGUCAUGUGCAUAAAAAAGCAAACAACAACUAGGGCGUACCUAAUGCGCGAGACAUGGCAAGCACCCCCUGUACGCGCAGCUGCCCGUCCUCGGUGCGCCGCACUUUGCCGCCCGCCGCGUCCGCCCGCGCCCUCUCGUCGGCCCGCUCCAGCUGCAUCCACGCACCCAUCAUCAAGCUCAAAUUUGUCCGGCCAGAUGAGACCAUACCAUUCAUGCAUGACGCAGCUAAUCUCACCUUGUGGUCCUCGGAGAGGGGGGCGGCGUUACCGGCGCGGCAGAGCACGGCGCGGGAGUCGCCGCAGUUGGCGACGACGAUGCUAUCCCGGACCACGAGCGCCACCACGGCAGUGGACCCUACGAUGGGCCAUCCCGAUUCCGACAGCCCCAUCCCCAGUGCGUCCGCCCGCUCGAAGCUCCGCUUCAGCGCCGCCUCCCACGCGCGACGCUCCGCCUCUUCGUCCUUCUUCUCCGGGUGCUCCUUCCGGUAGGCCGUCGCCGCGCCGGCCAGCUCCUCGGCCAGUAUGACGUGCAUCUGGUCCCUGCACAGGGCCGAUACCUGCACGCCAAGACGAAGCAAACACACGUGUAGGCUAGGGCAUGGACGUGUCGACCACUAGACCUGGAGGAGGAGAGGGAAGAGGAGGUUACGUACCUGGGGGCCGCCGUGGCCGUCGAAGACGGCAAAGAAGUGCAUGGGGGAGCCGUCGGCCCAGGCGCAGAAGAACGGGCGCAGCGACACGGCGUCCUCCAUCCUCUUCCCGUGAUCCUGUCCCCGCUCCGACGCGGACCCGAACGCGAGGGACCACACUGCCGCCGCCGCCGCCGCUGCUUCAGCUGGCAGCAGGGGCGCCGGCACCGCACCGGAUCCCUCCCCUUCCUGGCCGCUGGUCAGGUACUCCUCCGAACCCUCUGAGGAUGCGUUGUACCCGGACGACGGCGGUGGGGACUCCACCUCGCCUUCCACGGAGGCCAAGGCGGGGUCAUCGGCUCCCAACUCCACGGCGGCGGGCACGUUGUUGACACCGGCGUUGGCCAUGACUACAGAUUGACGUUCAGGGGAAGGAGCAGAUUGAUUAGCUAGAGCAGCAGAGAAUUCGGUACGAAGCAAACCUGCGGGGAAGAAACGCACGCGCAAGAGGAUGAAAAAGCUGGAGGACGAAGAAGAACUAAAAUCCGGUCUUUGGGAGCGAAGUAGUUUUGUGUGACGUUUGUAUGGAAUUUGGGCUACGUGGCAGACGAGGCACAAGUGUUUCUUAUCCAUUUAUUGCUCGUAAUUAAUUUUCUCUCUUUUUAGAUAUGUCCUCAUCAUUAUCUCCUAUCUUUCAUUUAUUAUCUUCUAUUCUUUUGGGGGGAAAUUUAAUAUUGCUCAUUAAUCAAAGAUUACAAUCAUGGUUACAAAGAAGCUCUAUGUCAACUGGUUCUAAACCAACCACACAGCACUAAGUACAUGUACUCUGGCAAACCAUACAAGGUAAUCACUAACUGCUUUCUGGCUACGUCUAAUAUGAACUGUUAGAGAAGUGGAAUCUCUUGAUCCAUUGAUGUGCAGGAACAUGCACUUUAUACAAAGAGGGGGCACGCGAUGAUCCGAGGGGAUGCGUCGGUUCCAGUGAGAUGCGACGGUUGCGAGGGACAAGUUGUCCGUGCGUGUACAAGGAGAGAUUCCACUUAAUUACAUAUUGUAAUUUAAUCUUAAAGUGAACAAUCUAACUUAAUGGACUUUUUCCCCAGAAAAAACUUAAAUGGACUUUCAUGAUGUCAUUUUUUUGGCAAAGUGACUUCCAUCAUCACAUGAAUUUCAUCAAUCGCAAAGGAUUAUUUUGAACGAUCUCUAGUUUGAUUGGUUACCAUCGUAACACUGGACUAACCUGCCUAGAAAGAGAGAGGGGAAUAAGAAACGGACACGCGUAUGAAGGGGAAGACCGGAGGAUUGUGAACAAAAAACUUCGUAGUAGGAUUAUUUUCAGACAAAGCAAUUUUGCAUAGUAAAGUUUGUAUGGAAAUGAGGCGAGGCGCUGAUCUGUGUCCGCACGUUUCUUAUCUAUUUAUCACCGGUAUUAAUUUUCUCCUCUUAACCACUUAUUGUGCUUAUUAACUUUCUCGUAUUUUAUUAUUUCAUAUUUAAUGUCACUUAUUUUAUUAUUUUAUUUUGCAUUUUAUAUUUCUUAUCUAUUUUAAUGUUUUCAUAUAAAUCCAUAAUAUCUUCCAUUUAUUAACAUGAAUUUACGUUUUAUUAUUCUAAGUACUAAAAUAUACUGAUGUUUUCUUUGCCCAAGUAGUACACAUCUGUUUCCCGGAAAUUGCUUUUGGAGGCCGAGCUUCAUGGAGGCUUCCAAAUGCAAAAUUAAAAUUUCAUGAAAAUUCAUAUUCUUACCGUCUAAAAAAUUCUGAAAAAAAAUGUAGAUAGAUGAAGGUACAAUGCACAAGUGUGUAAAUUUUUAAGACUAAAUACGUUAAAAUUAGGCUGUGCAAAAAGAUAAAUCUGAGACUUUUUAACACAUGAUACUAUUCAUCUUUUCACACCAUGAAUUUAUCUUUUUUCUAUAGAUCGCGUUUCAAACUAUUUCAGCAUGAAAUUUCACACACAUACGGCUCACAUCCUUGUUUAGUUGCACAAUGUUUUUCGGAUUUUUUUGACACCAAAAUUUUCGAAUUUUGAAUUUUUCAAAAUUUUAGUCUUCAUGGAGGUCGAGAGCCAAAACGUCAUUCUCUCUGUUUCCCCUUUAGAUUAAUUAUUUCAUUGUUUUUUCUGUAUUUGCUAUCUGAAGCCACUAUCAGCACAAGCUCUUGCAGAGCUGUUCUAAGAAAAUUACUACAGAAAAGACAACUACCCAAUGCACCAUAUGUUGCAUAUAAUUUAUGUUGCUAUUAGAGUGAAGUCUGGGUACGUCAUUUAGGUCUCCACCCCCACAACUUUGUACUACAAAACAAUAAGGAAAUAAUAUGUAAUUAAUGCAUCAAGAUAAAUAAGAAAAUAAACAGUAAUUAAUAAUAUUGAUUAUAUGGUAGUCCCUUUAUUUCGGUUAAUAAGUUAUGUGUCUAUCUCAAGAUCGUCAAUUUGACCAGUGAAAUAUGAGUUAUAAGCCAUAAAAUGUAUAUCAUUUAAUUCGGAUUUGAAAUAAGUUUCUAAUUCUUCAUUAUUUGAAGAUUUUAUUAUGGUUAUUUUAUGAUACAUAAAUCACAUUACAUUGAUCAAAUUGAUGACUAGGGAUAUGUGCAUGCCUUAAAACUGAAAAUUAAGAAGUAUGCCUUCCUCUCCCAAACCUCAUACAAAUAUCGAAGAAAAGAGCAAACAAUUCAUAAAUGCUGAUAGUUCAUGACAAUGCUUAUAUGACAUGUGUUUCUAUCCACUGGUUCUUAUGGUGCUCUCUUAGGAUGGUAGAUUUUAAAAGACAACUACUCAUUGCAUCGUAAGUCACAUAUGAUUUAUAUAUGUUUACUAUUAACAUGUAUUUUAUGAUGGUCGUCCUGUCUCCUCUCCACAACUUUCUACAAAAAAUAUGAAAUAAUACAUCAUUAAUGCAUGAUAAUAACCAUAGAAAAAUAAAUAGUAAGUAAUGAUAUGGAUUGUAUGGCACUCCCUCUCUUUAUUUGGAUAUGACAUGUAUACAUCUCUAUAUCAUCAAUUUGAUCAAUGAACUAUGAGUAUAUUGGAAAAUGUUUCCAAUGGUAUAUUUUGUACAUAACUAUUAUUACGUUGGUCAAAUUGUGGUCUAAGCUUAAAAGAUGGGAAGUGUGUCUUCUUGUAUUCGCAACUGCCCUAAAUAAGGAUGUAAGUCAUACACAAUUAAUACAUGAUGAAAAUUAGUACUCCCUCCGUUCCUAAAUAUAAGUCUUUGAAGAGAUUAUACUACAAACAUCAUACGUAUGUAUAUGGACAUAUUUUAGAAUUUAGAUUCAUUUAUUUUCCUCCAUAUGUAGUUCAUAGUGGAAUCUCUAAAAAUACUUAUAUUUAAGAACGGAGGGAGUAAUGUUAAUUAUAUUCUACGUAUGUCUCUGUUCACAACAACGUACUGAUAGGACACUAAAUAAUACUUAAUCAGACAGAUGAUCAGCAAGAAAAUAACCAGUGUAAUAUUUAUACAUUUUUUGCGGAAAAAUAUCCGAUCUCGUCACUCAAGCACGGUAAUACAAUAAACAUAAAAAAUAAUAAUAAUUACAUCCGGAUUUAUAGACCACCUAAUGACGACUGCAAGCACUGAAUCGAGAGGAAGAGUGCCGCCGUCAUUGCCUCUCCCUCAUCGGAGCCGGACAAAACGUUUUAUAGUAGACAACCGUCUCCGAUGAAGCGUAACGUAGAUCAAAAGGAUGCAACGUGAAAUCACACAAAAAUAGGCGAACGACAAACAGAUCCUAACAAAUCCACAAAAGGCAUAUCCAGCGGAGACAGACCUUCACACGCCCACCAACGAUGCUAGAUGCCAAUGAGUUGUGGUCUUCCUCUCAGUGAUUCCGCUGAUUUGCUCAUGGCCAGUGAGGCUUCGUGAGAGUGUAGCGCAAAGCUUCACUUUAUUGACACGGCUAUGGGAUAUGUCCUAAUAUAGAUUUCCAUGGCAUUGCGAUAGGUGGAGAAAGUCAUAGUGGCUAAGAUAGGAGGUUUUUAAUGGUGUAGAGUGUUGGGGAACGUCGCAUGGGAAACAAAAAAUUUCCUACGCUCACCAAGAUCAAUCUAUGGAGAUUAACAUCUACAAGGGGGGGAGCGCAUGUACAUACCCUUGUAGAUCGCUAAGCGGAAGCGUAUAUAACGCGGGUGAUGCAGUUGAAGAUCAUUGCGAUCCAUUGAAGAUCCGUCCCGCGAUCCCAUCACGAUCCGUCCCGAUCUAGUGCCGAAUGGACGGCACCUCCGUGUUCAUCACACGUAUAGCUCGAUGAUGAUCUCCACCUCCUUGAUCUAGCAAGCGAGGGUGGAGAGGUAGAUGAGUUCUCCCAUAGCACGAUGGCAUGGCGGCGGUGUUGGUGGAUCUGAUCCGGCAGGGCUGUGACGUGCGCUACCGAAUCGAUCUAGAGCUGGAACAAGCUAGAGGAGGGAGAGAAAGUUGCGCCAUGACCUAAUUAGGUGCGGCUGCGCGCCAUAACCGUUUCGGAUGCGGCUGCCGUCUCUCCUCUCCAAUAUAUAUAGGAGGGAGGGGAUGGGGUGGAGCCAUCGCCUUAUUGGGUGCGGAGGCGCUAGGAGGAGUCCUGGUCCUAUUCGGACUCCUCUCCACCUCAUCACUUUGUGCGCAUAGGACCAUAGGUGUUGGCCGCCCAGCCCACCAGGGGCUGGUGCGCCACCUCUUAGGCCUAUCUGCCCCCUGGAGUGGGUGGCCCCUCCGGUGAACCACGAAACCCGUUCGUCACACCCGAUACAUUACUGGUAAUGUUCGAAACCUUUACGGAACCCGUAUACCUCCUUGCAAUAUAAAUCUUCAUUUCUGGACCAUUCUGGAACUCCUCUUGACGUCCGAGAUCACAUCUGGGACUACGAACAACCUUCGGUUACCAACAUACAUAACUCAACUAUACCGAAUUGUCAUCGAACCUUAAGUGUGCAAGCCAUGCGGGUUCAGGAACUAUAUAGACAUGACCGAGACACUCUCCGGUCAAUAACCAAUAGCGGUACCUGGAUGCGCAUAUUGACUCCUACAUAUUCUACGAAGUUCUUUAUCAGUCGAACCACGAUGCCAAGGAUUCAAUCAAUCACGUAUACUGUUCCCUUUGUUCAUUGGUAUGUUACUUGCCCGAGAUUCGAUGGUCGGUAUCUCUAUAACUAGUUCAAUCUUGUUACCGGCAAGUCUCUUUACUCGUUCUGUAGUACAAGAUCCCGUGACUAACUCCUUAGUCACAUUGCUUGCAAGCUCAUUAUGAUGUUGUAUUACCGAGUGGACCCUAGAGAUACCUCUCCGUCUUACGGAGUGACAAAUCCCAGUCUCGAUUCACGCCAAUCCAACAGACACCUUCGGAGAUACCUAUAGAGCUCCUUUACAGUCACUCAAUUAUGUUGUCAUGUUUGAUACACACAAGACAUUCCUCUGGUGCCCGUGAUUUGCAUGAUCUCUUGGUCAUAGAAACAGAUACUUGACAUGCAGAAAACGGUAGAAAUAAACUGACACGAUCACAUGCUACGUUAAUAGUUCGGGUCUUGUCCAUCACAUCAUUCUCCUAAUGAUGUGACCCCGUUAUCAAAUUACAACUCAUGUCUAUGGUUAGGAAACCUUGACCAUCUUUGAUCAGCGAGCUAGUCCUUAGAGGCUCACUAGGGACAUUGUGCUGUCUAUGUAUCCACACAUGUAUUUGAGUUUCCAAUUAAUACAAUUCUAGCAUGGAUAAUAAACGAUUAUCAUGAACAAGGAAAUAUAAUAAUAACUAAUUUAUUAUUGCCUCCAGGGCAUAUUUUCAACAUAGAGGAGUAUUGGAAGCGAUGAUGAAUGACGACACAUGUUCCUCCGGUGUGUCGGAUGUUGGUGACUUGCAGCAGCGACCUUGGCUAGAGGGUGCGACAAGAUAGGUGAACUGCAUUUUUUGUGGUGCUCCUCGAGCACCUAGUCAUGAUUUCCAUGGUAAAUGCCCAAGGUCUAGCCUUCAUUGGUUGUGUCUGGCAAUGGCCUUGCAGAAGGCAUCGUUUGUGAAAUCAGAUUUUCUCUAGGGGGAAAACUCAAGUUCUUCGAUCGAACGAUGACAAUGUUGGUGCGUUGUUUCCUUCUUGAAGCAUUGUUUUUGGAGAAUCCCUCUUUGUGGUCCAGGUGUUAUCUUUGGUGGUGGUUAGAGUGUUAUUGUUGUGAGUGUUUAUCACCGCGACGGUUUCUUUGUUUUAUAUUUCAUUUUUUUUUCAUGAUGAUGUGCAUCCUUCAUGUUUUACAUUUUCUUUGGUGUGGGUACUGCUAAUCAUUUGUUUGUGCGGUCUCCUAUUGGUUCUAUAAACCUUAUUUCUUAACUGAGGGAUAUACCAUUCGCUACUUUACUACAUCACUCUUACUCUUCAGGAAAUUCCCAACGCCAUCACAAGUAAUAAUGAUCACCGCAAGGUUAAUCCUACUACGAAGCACCUCACUGACUUGCGGCGGGACUACAAGGACCCUUUAUAGUCCCAGGACACACACUGCACGAAGGGAUCCCCACGCCAGCGCCGCCACCUCCUACGGCGUCGACCAACGAACCAAAAUCGGUCACCAAAGACAUAAUAUGGAAGGGAGCAACCAUCCCCAUCUUCCUUCAGCACGCCACAAAGAGCAAACGGGUGACCACCCCAGUGACACCCCUGCUACCGGAUAAUGGAGGGGGAGGUAGCCGCAGUUCCCUAUCUACGGCCGUGACCUCCCAAGUAGAUGCACCCCCACAUGGCAGGGAGUCCAUCCGGCGCACCACCGAGCCCCAUGAGCCUUCCCCCUCACCCCCUGGCUCCUGGGAUAGCCGGAUCUGGAGUCCAACCAUUCGGAAUCACAUAGGAAAGCCAAGGGAGGAAGAGAGGUACGCUGGGGGAGAAGGAGAACCUCACCACUGGCACGCAGUCACCCCAGAUCCGUCGCCCAAUCCUGCGUGAGACGCGAGCGUCGCCACCUUGCCUUGCGCUAGAACGAGGCGUCCCCGUAGAGGUGCCACUCCCGCGUUGCAGCAUAUCAAACAAGGAGGAAGGAGAUCCUCGCCACCGUCGACGUCAUCUAGGCUUAGCCCGACGGCACGGGGAAGAGGGCGAAGCGAGCGGGCGGGGGAGCCAGCGUGUAGGUUUUUUUUUUCUGUUUCUCGAGGGUGAGGGGGGAGCAAAAUUAGCCAGACUCUCAAAUAUGGUCCUCUCAAAUAUGGUCCUAUUUCACUGAAGUCUUAAUAGUACUCCCUCCUUCCAAAAUUAAUUGUCCCACAAAUUUAUAAAGUUGGAUGUAUGUAAAACCAAGAUACAUCUAGAUGCAUUCAUUUCCGUGAUAAGUAUUUUCGGACGGAAUGAGUAUAUAAUAGUAGUAAUGUUAUCAAUGAUCAAUCCAGGAAGACAAGUUCAACUGUCAGCACUAACGCUUCCUAGAGCCGAAGAAAACAGCUGGCUAUGGCGGCUGGAGCUCGAGGUAGACGACGGGGUUUUUCGCAGCGGAAUCACUUGUUGCUUUUCUGUUUCUUCCUUCUUAUUCACUUGCUGAACGGGAAAAACGGAUCAGGAGCUGCCCCCUCUACAGGAUCAUGCCAUCCCACGAUCAAGAGCGAGAUCGUGCCGUGAUCUAAGGCAUCGGGAGCGCACAUACCACGUCCUCAGGCGCUGUCUAACGGAAACGAGGAAAAAACUCUAACUGACAAAACUGACGGGAAACUAAAACCACUACACCUGCAGCUGUAGUAUCAUUCAGACACUUAGUAGCCCUGGCGAUCUGUCAUGCUAGAUUAUUAGCUAUCGAUCUCCCCCUAAGCUAGUUGUGACGAACUAACUAAACCUCAACCAUACCAAUGUGUGAGCGCAGCUCUAGAAACCACGUGCGCCCGAGUGACUUUGUGAAGAUGUCUGCGAGCUGAUCGCCGGUAGAAGUGUGUUCGACUUUGAUUCUUCCCUCCUCCACGCACCUUCGGAUGAAGUGGUAUCGCACAUCAAUGUGCUUGCUCUGGUCGUGGAAGACAUGAUUCUUGCACAGCUAGAUGGCCGACUUGUUGUCGAUGAAGAUGGUGAUGGCGCCGGUCUCCUCUGCUAGCAGAUCUCCUAAGAGCCUGCUCAGCCAAAUCCCCUGGCAUGCCGCAGUCGUUGCGGCCACGUACUCGGCUUCGCACGAGGACAGUGCAACGAUCUUUUUCUUCUGUGACUGCCAGGUGAUCGGAGCUCCCCCGAGGAACAAGACGUUACCGGAUGUGCUCUUGCGGUCAUCAAUGUCGCCGGCCAUGUCCGAGUCACUGUAGCCAACCAAGCCUCCACUUCCUCCCUUGAUGUACUUACACCCGUACCUGCGAGUGCCGGCGAUGUAGCGAAGAAGGUGCUUGACGGCGCCCAGAUGCGCCGUGUUUGGCGCCUCCAUGAACCGACUCAGAUAACCUACCGCGAAGGCAAUAUCUGGCCACGUGUGGGUGAGGUAGCGAAGACCACCGAUGAUGCUUCUGUAAUCCGUAGCAUCCACACGUGGUUCUGGCCCCUCCUUGCUUAGUUUAAGACGCGGCUCCAUGGGCACGUUCGUCGGGUUGCAAUCCGCCAUGCCCGCUCACUCCAGCAGCUCUCCAGCGUACGCCGCCUGCGACAAGGUGAUGUCUCCAGCUCCCUGCUUCACUUCUAGGCCGAGAUAAAAGCUAAGUAAGCCGAGAUCACUCAUGCGGAACCUGGCCAUCAUCUCCUUCUUGAAGCUUUGGAUCUCCUGGGAGUCGGCUCCGGUGACGACGAGAUCGUCGACGUAGACGCCAACCAGCAGCCACGCUUGCCGCUGUCCGUGCGCGUACAUGGCGUGCUCUGAUGGACAGCUUGCGAACCCAAGUUGUUGCAUGGUGCAAUCAAGCUUGGCGUUCCAAGCUCGUGGCGCAUGCCGCAGUCCAUACAACGCCUUGUGAAGACAGAAUACCUUGCGCUCCUCGCCUCUCCGCGCGAAGCCUGGUGGCUGGGUGACGUACACUUCUUCCUUGAGCUCCCCGUUGAGAAACGCUGACUUGACGUCGAGGUGGUGCAGCUCCCAGCCGCGUUCCGCAGCCGUGCCCACCAUGACGCGCACCGAGUUCAGCCUCGCCAUGGGUGCGAACGCGUCGUCGUAGUCCACGCCUUCCUUCUGUACGAAUCCCCUUGCGACAAGUCUUACUUUGUGCUUGACGAUGGUGCCAGAAGAGUCCUUUUUCAGCUUAAACACCCAUUUGAAGCCGAUGACUGUGUGACCUGCAGGCACAUCGGUUAGCGUCCAGGUGCCGUUCUCUUCGAUGGAUGCCAGCUCCUCCAGCAUCGCGCUUCGCCAGCUCUCCUGGGACGCGGCUUCGGCAAAGGUAGCCGGCUCCUCUUCGGCCAGUAGGAGAUGCUCCGUCGGCAUAGUUGACUUGGCCGGGCCGGCGUACACGUCCGCAAGGCGGCGGAAGGGAUGCCCCGUGAACGGAUCGUCAUCCGCGUCGAAUGAAUCAUGCCGUCUCGCAGGUGGUGUGACGAAUUCCACCGCCUUUGGAGCCACCUCCGGGGGCGUCCUCCUGCCCGGUCACUCCAUGGACACGCCGGUUGUUGGAAAUAUGCCCUAGAGGCAAUAAUAAAUUAGUUAUUAUUAUAUUUCUUUGUUCGUGAUAAUCAUUUAUUAUCCAUGCUAUAAUUGUAUUGAAUGAAGACUUAGAUACAUGUGUGGAUACAUAGACAAAACACUGUCCCUAGCAAGCCUCUAGUUGGCUAGCCAGUUGAUCAAGGAUAGUCAGGGUCAUCUGACUAUGUAUAAAGUGUUGUUGCUUGAUAACUGGAUCACAUCAUUGGGAGAAUCAUGUGAUGGACUAGACCCAAACUAAUAGACGUAGCAUAUUGAUCGUGUCAUUUUGUUGCUACUGUUUUCUGCGUGUCAAGUAUCUAUACCUAUGACCAUGAGAUCAUAUAACUCACUGACACCGGAGGAAUACUUUGUGUGUAUCAAACGUCACAACGUAACUGGGUGGCUAUAAAGAUUCUCUACAGGUAUCUCCGAAGGUGUCCGUUGAGUUAGUAUGGAUCAAGACUGGGAUUUGUCACUCCGUGUGACGGAGAGGUAUCUCGGGGCCCACUCGGUAAUACAACAUCACACACAAGCCUUGCAAGCAAUGUGACUUAGUGUAAGUUGCGGGAUCUUGUAUUACGGAACGAGUAAAGAGACUUGCCGGUAAACGAGAUUGAAAUAGGUAUNNNNNNNNNNNNNNNNNNNNNNNNNNNNNNNNNNNNNNNNNNNNNNNNNNNNNNNNNNNNNNNNNNNNNNNNNNNNNNNNNNNNNNNNNNNNNNNNNNNNUGGUUGGUUUAGAACCAGUUGACAUAGAGCUUCUUUGUAACCAUGAUUGUAAUCUUUGAUUAAUGAGCAAUAUUAAAUCCCCCCCCCCCCCCAAAAGAAUAGAAGAUAAUAAAUGAAAGAUAUGAGAUAAUGAUGAGGACAUAUCUAAAAAGAGAGAAAAUUAACUACGAGCAAUAAAUGGAUAAGAAACACUUGAGGGGUGGAGACCUAAAUGACGUACCCAGACUUCAGCUUACUAGCAAAAUAAAUUAUAUGCAACAUAUGGUGCAUUGGGUAGUUGUCUUUUCUGUAGUAAUUUUCUUAGGACAGCUCUGCAAGAGCUUGUGCUGAUAGUGGCUUCAGAUAGCCAAUACAGUAAAAGCAACGAAAUAAAUAAUCUAAAGGGGAACAGAGAGAAUGUCGUUUUGGUUCUCGGCCUCCACGAAGACUAAAAUUUUGAAAUAUUCAAAAUUCAUAAAAAUUGGUGUCAAAAUAAUCAGAAAAACAUUGUGCAACUAAACAAGGAUGCGAGCCGUAUGUGUGUGAAAUUUCGUGUUGAAAUAGCUUGAAACACGAUCUGUAGAAAAAAGAUAAAUUCAUGGUUUGAAAAGAUGAAUAGUAUCAUGUGUUAAAAAGUCUCAGAUUUGUCUUUUUGCACAGUCUAAUUUCAACGUAUUUAGUCUUGAAAAUUUACAAACUUGUGCAUUAUACCUUCAUCUAUCUAUAUAUUUUUUCAGAAUUUUUUAGAAUGUAAAAAAUAUGAAUUUUUUUCAUGAAAUUUAAAUUUUGCAUUUGAAAGCCUCCAUGAAGCUCGGCCUCCAAAAACAAUUUCCGGGAAACAGAUGUGUACUACUUGGACAAAAAAAUCAGUAUCUUUUAGUACUUACAGUAAUAAAAAGUAAAUUCAUGUCAAUAAAUGGAAGAUAUUAUGGAUUUAUAUGGAAACAUUAAAAUAGAUAAGAAAUAUAAAAAUAAAAUAAUAAAAUAAGUGACAUUAAAUAUGAAGUAAUAAAAAUACGCGAAAGUUAAUAAGCACAAUAAGUGGUUAAGAGGAGAAAAUUAAUACCGGUAAUAAAUGGAUAAGAAACGUGCGGACACAUAUCAAUGCCUCGCCUCAUUUUCAUACAAAGAUGGGAAAAUCUAAAAAGAAGCGUGCGUACAUGAGCCCUACCGUGUGGCGGGAUCAUGCUGCAUUCCUUCCCUAUGACCAGAAUUUAAAAACUUUUAUCUCUUAAACCGUUAAUUCGACCGAUGAUCCGCUUUCGCAGUUGACUUAGUUUCGGUGAAAUCUUCAAAACUAGAUCCCAUGUCGACAUGUUUUAACAAUUGUUUUUGACCAUACUCACCACAUUUGUUGCACUUACUUAUCAUAUUAGUAUGUACUUACUUGUCUGAUAAAAACUAACUUAAUCGUCAUAUUUUUGGAAAUUGCGUAUAAAUAUGACAUCUCAACAUAAUCAAACCGACAAGUACAAACAACUUAUUUUAGGCGAUUACGCGCAAAAAUAUGACAACUCAACAUAUUUAAAAUAGGUGACCAUAAGAAAUCUUUUUUGGUCAUCGUUUGUAAAUAUGACAACUCGGGAUAGUUAAACUAACAAGCACACAAAAUAGUUUUCUGGCAAAGUUGUAUGUAAGUAUGACAAGUUGGCAUAUUUUUAAAUUGGCAAACACAACCUAUGACAUGCUUUUAUAUCAUGUAUAAUGAAAACUGCUACAAGGCUUUGUACGAAACAACAUUAAAAAGUGUUAAUCAAGUUAUUUUUUUGGGCAAGUAAGUGGUUAAUAAUAUGGCAACUUGGUCUAAAAAAUGUGGCAAGUAUAAACCGAAAAAAUAGUUGAUGGAACAUGUUGUUAUGGGAUCUAGUUUUGAAGAACUCGUAGCGAGAAAGUCAAUGAUGAAAACGGAUCAUUGAUUGAAUUAUCGGUUUUAUAGAUAAUUUUUUUAAAAUUUCAAACAUCAAAGGGAAUCUUGCACGUGGCAUUGUACUCGUGCGAGAGCUCAAACCUAAAAAGGAGUACAUCGGACCCAACUGGCCAACGGAUCUACAGAUUGCAUGCACUAAUCGACGCUCCAGCGGCCACCGCAUGGUAACACAAAUAUGGGGCGCUGCUGCCUAGUUUGGUCCUACAAACUUUACUAUGCNNNNNNNNNNNNNNNNNNNNNNNNNNNNNNNNNNNNNNNNNNNNNNNNNNNNNNNNNNNNNNNNNNNNNNNNNNNNNNNNNNNNNNNNNNNNNNNNNNNNUACCAUAUAAUUUUGGAGCGUACGCUAAGAGCCAAUGUAUCUUUCUAGUACUACUUGCGAUAAUAUGAAGAAGAAAUUAAUUACGGGCAAUAAAUACGGAGUAGAAGAUAAGGCCAUUUUCCAUCAAUGAACAAAUAUAUACAGGUGAAAAUGAGGAAGCAGUAAUGCAGCAAGCCUUAUUAGUUUAGCAGCCCGCGCCCUUAAUAUGCAUCCAAAAAACGCGACGCGAGCACAAAAAAGUACUACAAGUAACCCCAUCUUGUGCGCCUCCAUCGAUCGUCCGUUUCUGUGGAGCUUCCUCGCUCAGUACUGUCUCGUGUUUCUUCUGGCCAAAUUGGUUGAUAGCCAAAAUGAAGAUGUUCUCCUGCUUCGGGAUCCGCACCCGUCCCGCUCAACCUGCUCUUGCCAAGGAUCAAUCCGUCGUCGGCAUCAACAACGUGCCCGCGGCCGGCGAUGGAUGCCACCUGCGGUCACCCGUCGGCAAGGAAGCGGAGGGCUCCGGUGCGCUAGUGCGGGCGGCGUGGCGCGGGGCAUACGGUGCGGCGGGGAAGUCGCGGGAGCACGGGGUGGCCAUGCAGGACACCGUGUCGAUGCGGCCGUCCUUCUGCACCUGGGUUGACGGCUCGCGCAUGCACUUCUUCGCCGUCUUCGACGGCCACGGCGGCCCCGUGGUAACCCCUCUACGAACGUGGCCAGGCUCUAGUAGCUCAACACCAACUUGUUUGUAGACUCUGUACAAACUAAUUUCCAUGGCGGUGCAGGUGUCGGCGCUGUUGAGGGACCACAUGCACGCGAUCCUGGCGGAAGAGCUGACCGGCGCGGCCGCAGCCCACCGAAAGAAGCAGCAUCAAGACGAAGGGGCGGAAGUGUGCGCGUGGAAGGGCGCGCUGAGGCAGAGCUUCGCGCGGGCGGACGAGCUGGCGGCGUCGGCGGUGCCAAGGGGCACCAUCAUGGGGUCGACGGCCGUGGUGGCGCUGGUGGUCGGCGGCCGCAUCCUCGUCGCCAACUGCGGCGACUCCCGCGCCGUGCUCUGCCGCGCUGGCCGCGCCGUGCCGCUCUCCCAGGACCACAAGCAGGUGAGCAAGCUGCUGCUGGUGUCAUGUUUGUUGUGUUUCUCUUCUUAUCGAAUAAUCACUGGGGAUUAAUGUGAGCUUCAUGCGUGGAUGCAGCCGGCACGGCCGGACGAGAUGGCGGCCGGCGGCGUGAUGCACCACAACGACGGGCCGACGGGGUCGCGAGCUUUAGGUAUGGACAACGACAAGUAGCGUUAACCUUCUUCUAAAAUGGUUAAAGUCAAGAAACUAAACAAAAACAAAAACGGCUAUCGUUCAUGCAUCAAAAUGUGUUCCCACCUCUGCAUGCGUCGUGUUAUGUUAAAAGCAAACAAGCCUCCUUCCUGGCGUUGUCAGCUACUGGNNNNNNNNNNNNNNNNNNNNNNNNNNNNNNNNNNNNNNNNNNNNNNNNNNNNNNNNNNNNNNNNNNNNNNNNNNNNNNNNNNNNNNNNNNNNNNNNNNNNGUUAGCGUUGCUAGUUGCAGGUGCAGUUGCUUCCAUGUGAUAACAUGGGUUCCUUGUUAUAUCAUCACAUUAAAUGCUAUUUAAUUCAAUGCACCUAUAUACUUGGUAAAAGGUGGAAGGCUCGGCCUUUCUGGCCUGGUAUUUUGUUCCACCUUUGCCCCCUUAGUUUUCGGCUACCGGUGUUAUGUUCCAUAAUUGAGCGCUCCUAACACGAUCGGGGUUGUUAUGGGGACCCCCUUGAUAAUUCGUUUUAGAUUAAAGCUGGUCUGGCAAGGCCCAACUUUGGUACUACAUUUGCCUAAUAACCUAAUAAUAAUGCAUAGGGACCCGCCGGCACCCGCGGACUAAUUUAAUCAACCAUCGGGCCAGUGCUCCUCAUGAGUGUUGGUCCAAAACAGAGCAGCUUAUUAUCGCUACCCGGGGCAACUCGGCGUUUGGUGAGGUAACCAUCGCUCAUCCGUCGUGUCCUGAGAACGAGGUACGCGACUCCUAUCGGGAUCGUCGACACGUCGGGCGGCCUUGCUGGAUUAGUUUUACCUUUGACGAGAUAUCUUGUGCAUCGGGAUUCCGGUGAUGCUUUGGGUAAUCUCAGAGUUGAGGUUUUCCACUAGGGAAUCCGACGAGAUCGCGAGCUUCGUGAUUGAGGAUUUCUAUGCGGCUUGUGGUAAUUUGUGAUGGACUAGUUGGAGCACCCAUGCAGGGUUAAAUCUUUUUGGAAAGCCGUGCCCACGGUUAUNNNNNNNNNNNNNNNNNNNNNNNNNNNNNNNNNNNNNNNNNNNNNNNNNNNNNNNNNNNNNNNNNNNNNNNNNNNNNNNNNNNNNNNNNNNNNNNNNNNNCAGGAAGGAGGCUUGUUUGCUUUUAACAUAACACGACGCAUGCAGAGGUGGGAACACAUUUUGAUGCAUGAACGAUAGCCGUUUUUGUUUUUGUUUAGUUUCUUGACUUUAACCAUUUUAGAAGAAGGUUAACGCUACUUGUCGUUGUCCAUACCUAAAGCUCGCGACCCCGUCGGCCCGUCGUUGUGGUGCAUCACGCCGCCGGCCGCCAUCUCGUCCGGCCGUGCCGGCUNNNNNNNNNNNNNNNNNNNNNNNNNNNNNNNNNNNNNNNNNNNNNNNNNNNNNNNNNNNNNNNNNNNNNNNNNNNNNNNNNNNNNNNNNNNNNNNNNNNNNNNNNNNNNNNAGCUCACAUUAAUCCCCAGUGAUUAUUCGAUAAGAAGAGAAACACAACAAACAUGACACCAGCAGCAGCUUGCUCACCUGCUUGUGGUCCUGGGAGAGCGGCACGGCGCGGCCAGCGCGGCAGAGCACGGCGCGGGAGUCGCCGCAGUUGGCGACGAGGAUGCGGCCGCCGACCACNNNNNNNNNNNNNNNNNNNNNNNNNNNNNNNNNNNNNNNNNNNNNNNNNNNNNNNNNNNNNNNNNNNNNNNNNNNNNNNNNNNNNNNNNNNNNNNNNNNNNNNNNNNNNNNNNNNNNNNNNNNNNNNNNNNNNNNNNNNNNGCACCGCCGACGCCGCCAGCUCGUCCGCCCGCGCGAAGCUCUGCCUCAGCGCGCCCUUCCACGCGCACACUUCCGCCCCUUCGUCUUGAUGCUGCUUCUUUCGGUGGGCUGCGGCCGCGCCGGUCAGCUCUUCCGCCAGGAUCGCGUGCAUGUGGUCCCUCAACAGCGCCGACACCUGCACCGCCAUGGAAAUUAGUUUGUACAGAGUCUACAAACAAGUUGGUGUUGAGCUACUAGAGCCUGGCCACGUUCGUAGAGGGGUUACCACGGGGCCGCCGUGGCCGUCGAAGACGGCGAAGAAGUGCAUGCGCGAGCCGUCAACCCAGGUGCAGAAGGACGNNNNNNNNNNNNNNNNNNNNNNNNNNNNNNNNNNNNNNNNNNNNNNNNNNNNNNNNNNNNNNNNNNNNNNNNNNNNNNNNNNNNNNNNNNNNNNNNNNNNCAUUAUUUUACAAAUAAUAUCUUCAGUGAUACUAAUUAACUUCAUGACACACAACAGGUGAAAACUGAUUUCAUCUAUAUAUGCCAGCAUUCAAAUAAUUAUCAAAGUUUUAAAAGUGUAAUGAGCAACACAAAUCAUUGUGUUAUCUUCAUGCAAAUAAAUUUCUAUAUAGGUAAGCUACUCUUGUAAGCUAGUUACACAGAAAACUUGUAAUAUGUAGAGUUCUCGUUCAAUCAUGGCGACAUUGGUCCACCCGAACUAUCCAAUCGGUGCAUAGCAGUUUGGUGCCAGAUGGUCAACCUAGCUCACUUUCUGGGUCUAGAGGCCUGGUAAAAACUAAUGAUACAAUGAAUCCCGCCCAAAAAGGUUUUUUGUCGAUUUAUUUUUUAUUUGUAAUAGCACUUGAAAUAUAAAAAUAAAACUGGUUUUUGGAGAAACUAUAGAGCAAUCCAUACACCACUGUAAAAUUACCAAAAUUCUUUGGGGUAUUUUUCCAGUAUUCUUCGGAAUCAUCUAGAAACUAAAAAAACACAGAAAUGUUGAUUGGGAAAUUUGGGCACCCUUCUAAAUUAUAUUUUCUCCCUAUUCGACAACCCUUAUUUUAUCCAUCACUCUCCAUGAAAUCUACGAAAACUUGGGAAGACUUAGAAAAAUAGCGAAGCUUAUCCCAAAAAUUAAAACACGCAUCUAAGUCCUAACAACUCAUGCCUCUCCAUUUUUAAGUAUGUUUGACCUAGACCUUCCCCACCUCGAGAAAAUAGCCUCUCCCUCCCUCCCUCCCUCUCUCUCUCUCUCUCUCUCUCUCUCUCUCUCUCUCUCUCUCUCUCUNNNNNNNNNNNNNNNNNNNNNNNNNNNNNNNNNNNNNNNNNNNNNNNNNNNNNNNNNNNNNNNNNNNNNNNNNNNNNNNNNNNNNNNNNNNNNNNNNNNNCGUUGCCGGCGGCGAUGCGCUGCGCGAGGCCCUCAACAAUGGCCGUCUUGCCGACCCCCGCGGCGCCGACGAGCGCGGCGCAAUUCUUGGUGCGCCGGCAGAGGAUGCAGACGACGCGGUCGAUCUCGUCUUGGCGGCCAAUGACGGGAUCAGUCGUGGCGGCGUCCAAGGUCCUGAGGCUGCCGGUGGCGUCCAAGGGCUUGAUGCCCGCGCGUUCGUUGUAGUUGGUGCCCCAAUGGCGUUUGUCGUACGUGAACUCGUCGAGCAACGUCCACGUUGCCCAGCCUAGAGCAGCAGUAGCAACGGCCGAUGCUCCGACCAAGAGCAUGCUAUCCGGGGAACACCACGACAUAGCUAGCUAGCUAUNNNNNNNNNNNNNNNNNNNNNNNNNNNNNNNNNNNNNNNNNNNNNNNNNNNNNNNNNNNNNNNNNNNNNNNNNNNNNNNNNNNNNNNNNNNNNNNNNNNNNNNNNNNNNNNNNNNAUAGCUAGCUAGCUAUAUGACCUCUCCAACUCCAAGUGAGGAAGAAGAAUAUAAUGAAGGCGCCGAGAAAAGCGUUGGAUUUGUUUCGAUAUGCGAUAUUCCACGUGCAGGUGCAGCACCAAGAUCGUCAAUCGCCGUGUGUCUCUCUAGCUAUAUCUUCUGCCUGUAAUUGUCGAUGUGCCGCACAAGAUGUAUUUAAGACAGAUCUCUUCCAAUCCGACUCGGUGUGUAAAACGACAACCUCUUGCAAAUUUUAAUUUUAAUUGGAAUUGGAAUUGGAGAAAGUAUGCAAUNNNNNNNNNNNNNNNNNNNNNNNNNNNNNNNNNNNNNNNNNNNNNNNNNNNNNNNNNNNNNNNNNNNNNNNNNNNNNNNNNNNNNNNNNNNNNNNNNNNNUGGGUACUGCCCUUACUUGGACAAGCAUCCCACUUAUGAUUAACCUCUCUCGCAAGCAUCCGNNNNNNNNNNNNNNNNNNNNNNNNNNNNNNNNNNNNNNNNNNNNNNNNNNNNNNNNNNNNNNNNNNNNNNNNNNNNNNNNNNNNNNNNNNNNNNNNNNNNNNNNNNNNNNNNNNNNNNNNNNNNNNNNNNNNNNNNNNNNNNNNNNNNNNNNNNNNNNNNNNNNNNNNNNNNNNNNNNNNNNNNNNNNAUCCAAAUCAGCCCCUCACGAAGCAACGCAUAGACUGGGGUUUAAGCUUCUGUCACUCCAGCAACCCAUCAUCUACUUACUACUUCCCAAUGCCUUCCUCUAGGCCCAAAUAUGGUGAAGUGUUAUGUAGUCGACGUUCACAUAACACCACUAGAGGAAAAACAACAUACAUCAUAUCAAAAUACCGAACGAAUAUCAAAUUCACAUGACUAUUAUCAGUAUGACUUAUCCCAUGUCCUCAGAAACAAAAGUAACUACUCACAAGACAUAAUAAUAAUCAUGACCAGAGGUGUAAUGAAUAGCAUCAAGGAUCUGAACAUAAACUCUUCCACCAAGUAAUCCAACUAGCAUGAACUACAAAUAGUAAUCAACACUACUAGCAACCUUACAAGUACCAAUCGGAGUCGCGAGACGAAGAUUGGUUACAAGAGAUGAACUAGGGAUUGGAGAGGAGAUGGUGCUAAUGAAGAUGUUGAUGAAGAUGCCUCCCCUCCGACGAGAGGAGUGUUGGUGAUGACGAUGGCGACGAUUUCCCCCUCCAGGAGGGAAGUUUCCCCGACAGGAUCGUCCUGCCGUAGCACUAGAUUAGAUCUGCUCAAGUUCCGCCUCGUGGCGGCGACGAAACCACGAAAAAGCUCCCGAUUGAUUUUUUCUGGAACGAAACCCUUCAUAUAGCAAAAGAGGGGGGCAGUGGGCCGUCAGGGAGCCCACAAGCUUGCUAGCCAGGCUUGUGGCGCCCUCGUAGCUCCCCUCUCGUACUUCUUCAGCACAGUAUUUUUUAUAUAAUCCCAAAAAAUUCCAUGUAAAUUUUCAGGGCAUUUGGAGAUGUGCAGAAUAGUGGACUAAGAUUUGCUCCUUUUCCAGUCCAGAAUUCCAGCUGCCUGAAUUCUCCCNCGGCGGGUGGUACUGCUGGUUAUGAACUUGGUAUUGACGAGCGUUGUGCUGCGACCCGCCCUGUGGUCCUUGGUUAGGGAAACCCCCGAAUGUGACCUGUCGCGACCCAGACGGGCCGGGUUGCUCCUGCCGCUGGCCCCGCUCGCCGCCUUGGCUCCUUUUGAGCGCNNNNNNNNNNNNNNNNNNNNNNNNNNNNNNNNNNNNNNNNNNNNNNNNNNNNNNNNNNNNNNNNNNNNNNNNNNNNNNNNNNNNNNNNNNNNNNNNNNNNNNNNNNNNNNNNNNNNNNNNNNNNNNNNNNNNNNNNNNNNNNNNNNNNNNNNNNNNNNNNNNNNNNNNNNNNNNNNNNNNNNNNNNNNNNNNNNNNNNNNNNNNNNNNNNNNNNNNNNNNNNNNNNNNNNNNNNNNNNNNNNNNNNNNNNNNNNNNNNNNNNNNNNNNNNUCGUACAGCAGAAGCGAUUAGAGAUCGCGGUUGAUGUAGUGGAACGUCCUCACGUCCCUCGAUCCGCCCCGCGAACAAUCCCGCGAUCAGUCCCACGAUCUAGUACCGAACGGACGGCACCUCCGCGUUCAGCACACGUACAGCUCGACGAUGAUCUCGGCCUUCUUGAUCCAGCAAGAGAGACGGAGAGGUAGAAGAGUUCUCCGGCAGCGUGACGGCGCUCCGGAGGUUGGUGAUGACCUUGUCUCAGCAGGGCUCCGCCCGAGCUCCGCAGAAACACGAUCUAGAGGGAAAACUAUGGAGGUAUGUGGUCGGGCAGCCGUGAGAAAGUCGUCUCAAAUCUGCCCUAAAAGCCCCAUAUAUAUAGGAGGAGGGAGGGGGACCUUGCCUUGGGGUCCAAGGGACCCCAAGGGGGUCGGCCGAGCCAGGGGGGAGGACUCUCCCCCCCCAAACCGAGUCCUACUUGGUUUGGUGGGAGGGAGUCCUUCCCCCUUCCCACCUCUCCCUUUUUUUUUCUUUCCUUUGAUAUUUUCUCUUCCUUGGCGCAUAGGAUUUGGUGGGCUGUCCCACCAGCCCACUAAGGGCUGGUGUGACCCCCCCAAAUACCUAUGGGCUUCCCCGGGGUGGGUUGCCCCCCCCCCCGGUGAACUCCCGGAACCCAUUCGUCAUUCCCGGUACAUUCCCGGUAACUCCGAAAACCUUCCGGUAAUCAAAUGAGGUCAUCCUAUAUAUCAAUCUUNNNNNNNNNNNNNNNNNNNNNNNNNNNNNNNNNNNNNNNNNNNNNNNNNNNNNNNNNNNNNNNNNNNNNNNNNNNNNNNNNNNNNNNNNNNNNNNNNNNNGGCCCGAGUGCCAUGAAUUUUAUUAUGUUGUCACCAAUAUAUGUGUGUUUUAGAUCCGAUCUUGCAAGUUGUAGUUACCUACUAUGUGUUAUGAUCCGGCAACCCCGGAGUGACAAUAACCGGAACCACUCCCGGUGAUGACCAUAGUUUGAGGAGUUCAUGUGUUCACCAAGUGCUAAUGCGUUGGUCCGAUUCUUUACUAAAAGGAGAACCUUAAUAUCCCGUGAUUUCCUUUUGGACCCCGCUGCCACGGGAGGGAUGGACAAUAGAUGUCAUGCAAGUUCUUUUCCCUAAAGCACGUAUGACUACACACGAAAUGCAUGCCUACAUCACAUUGAGAACGGGAGCUAGUCACAUAUCUCUCCGUGUUAUAACUGUUGCAUGAUGAAUGUCAUCCGACAAAUCACCAAUCCAUUGCCUACGAGUUUGUCCCACUGCUGUUGUUACUUGCUUUGCUCUGCUGUUGUUACUACUGUUGCUGCUAUUGUUACUUGCUGCUACUGUUACNNNNNNNNNNNNNNNNNNNNNNNNNNNNNNNNNNNNNNNNNNNNNNNNNNNNNNNNNNNNNNNNNNNNNNNNNNNNNNNNNNNNNNNNNNNNNNNNNNNNGGAAGACGCGCGGGCGCGGGAGGCCGCCGCCGUAGAACCUGCCGGGACCGAGCGCGACCACCAUGGUGACUGAGAUCCGGCCGGCUGAAGUCUUCUUCGUCGGCCUGUUGCUCCGGCGAUCUCCCUCGCUCGCUCUCGCUCUGUGGAUCUGGGUGAAGGUGAAUGAGGGAGGAUUGCGGCGGCGGUGAUGGGGAUGGAUGAGAGAGAGGGGGGGCGGUGAGGGCGUUUAUAGGUGGAAGAGAGGCGCGCGUGGCGCCAAGAAAGUUG